rnacentral:lncRNA from 1 species
GAUAGUUGUUUUAUUUAUAAUAUGAUAAUAACAACCACCUAGUGGUAGCUGAUUUAUUUAUUACAUGCUAAUAACAACCAUGAGUUGAUAGUUGAUUUAUUUAUUAUAUGCUAAUAACAGCUAUCAGCUAGUGGUUGAUUUAUUUAUUAAUUGCAGUCUUGUUCAUUUACUUCAGUCUUUUUAUUUAAUUAUGUUAAAUCAUAUGUGAAUCCUAAUUUGUACUUGUACUCACAGAAAAUAAACCUAAGAAUUCAUCAAAGGAAAUAAAAGAUAAACGACAAUACAAAUAUUGCGUUUUGUUUUGUCUUAUUUUUUAAAAUUUUAUUUUCAAAUAUAUACGCAUGCAUGAUAAAGAUUCACAAUUAUAUAUAUAUAUAUAUAUAUAUAUAUAUAAUCCGUCGAGGUGUUUUAGUUGACUAGCUAGUAUAAACUACCAUCUACCAAAUCGUUAUUAGCUAACGAGCUAGUGUAAAUUUUCAUCUUGGAAGCUAGUAUAAACUAUCAUCUAUAAAAUUGUUAUUAGUAGAGGAACUACGAAUGUAAACUAUCGUCUAACAAACUGUAUUAGUUGAUGAGCUAGUGUAAAUUACUAUCAUUUACCAAAUAGUUAGAUAGACUGUUGGCUACAGUCAAAUGUGUUUUGGAUCAAUUCCUAUAUAUGUGUGUGUGUGAAAAAUUCAUGAAAAUCUAAAACUUAGUUGUUUUGGUACUAUUGAAUUGAUUUAUCUUUUCAUCUUUAUUUUUUUUUAAUUUACUACCCGACCCAAAUCUUUUCUCUUCUCGUAUCAAUAGUAAGUUUAAGAUUGGAUGAUAUUUUUGUCCCUUCAUUUUUUGUCAAUUGAGUCCUUAAAGUGGUCAAUUGAUGUCAAUUCUGUCUCUUUUCUCCAAAUUAACCCAAUUUCUUCUAAAUUGAAGUACAUGCUCGGCAUAUAUAUGCGAUUUAAGUUGGGGCAAAAAUGUCUCCUAACACAAUAAUAAUAAUAAUAAUAAUAAUAAUAAUAAUAAUAAUAAUUCAAAAUUAUCUAAUGAAAAGACAUAAUUUAAGCAGUACCAUCUUGUAAUUUAUGUAAUCACUUUAUUUAAUAUCACAAUAAACCAGCUAGUGAUAGUUGUUUUAUUUAUAAUAUGGUAAUAACAAGCACCUAGUGGUAGUUUGAUUUAUUUAUUACAUGCUAAUAACAACCAUGAGUUGAUAGUUGAUUUAUUUAUUAUAUGCUAAUAACAGCUAUCAGCUAGUGGUUGAUUUAUUUAUAUAUCGUGCUAAUAACAACCAUCAACUAGUAUAUAGUUUCUUGAUUUACUGUUGAUCGGAAGAUUACUGAUCGUUCAUUUAGGUGUUGGUGGGACUAAUGUUAACACCAUAGAUAACUAAACCUGUCUUCAUAGUCACGUUUUCAGUCCCGUCAAGAGCAAAUAUGAUAUCUCCAUAGUCAAACUUAUUGAAGAAUUCCCCAGCUUUGAGCGAAAAUGGUGUGUUUCUCGGAUAAUUCAUCAAUCCAUAUCCGUUCACUUGCGAGGAUCCAUUCGGAAGAGUAAGUGUAAGACUCACCGGACUUGCUAUGUUAAAGUUGUCUUUCAGCAGCACCACAAAAGAUACCUCAUAAGAUAAAUUUUCAAGCUUUUCUGUCAUAUAGUUUCCGUCAACAUGUAGGACUAAGCUACCAAUUAAUUCAGCACUGUCAGGACUGUACAAAAUGAUAGUAGAAUUAAAGUCAGAAACUUUUGAUAUAAGGAGCUUAAAUUCAUUAGGUGAUUUUAUUGAUUUAUUUAUUUUUUGCUGGAAUAUUUUUAAUGCGAGUCCUUCUAUCUAACUAGACUUCAAUAAAAUUUCUAUAGUCCUUCUAUCACUUUAAUUUAAUGACAAAGUUGCUUAUAUAUCCCUAUUUUUAACUGAAUAAAAUUCAGGUGUUUAAACACAAAUCUUGACCUUUGACGUCAAUUAAGUUAACUAAAUCUUAUUUCUACUUACGUAAACUUCCAGCCUGAAGGGUUGGCAUAAUUGAGUUUACUGGCAGGUACAUAAGCGCCAGAACUCUGAAUAAGACGAGAAAAAAAAAUUCAUAUCAUCCAUUACAAAAAAAUUUCACUUGCAAAAUUUACAAAUAUUAAGGAUUAUUUUUGUUCUAUAGCCAACUUUAGCUAUAUAUAUGAUGUUUGUUUACAAUUUCAGUAGACUUACCUUCUGGCCUAUUCCGCCGUUUUGGAGCAACUCCAUUUCCUUGGCUUGGGACAACAAUGCCUUGAGGUCAACCUCAUUAUGCCUCACUACUUGUGCCAUCUCCUCGAUCGAUCGAUAACUAUCCUUUAAUUCUGCUAUAUAUAUAUAUAUAUAUGUAUUUUCUGUUUCUAUUCUUGAUGUCUAUAUAUCUCUCUUCCAAAGGCUAGCUCUAUUUAUACUGGCACAAACAGAGGGUACUGCGAUUAUUAUAUCCCAUAAUAUCCUAUCUUCAAAUAUUCCUUCCCUUUUCAAAGUAGGGAUCCGAUCCUGAUAAGUUUAACAUCAUCAUCAUCAUCAUCAUCAUCAUCGCCAAGGAUAUAGAGCAGCAGAUUCUGUUUAAUAAUUUUGUUGGAAUAAUUCUUUUCCAUUUCCCAGUUCAAUAGUUCUUUCUUUAGCUUGUUGCGCAGGCAAAAUUCCAUGAAGGCGAAAGGCACGUAGGCAUACUAGUUGUGGGCAAGGAAAUUGUACCUUGCUAGGGUUAGGAUUUCGUGUUGGCUGAGGAGGAGAGAAAUUCACGAAGAGCACGGAAUUGAUUGGUUGAUUGAAGAGGGGAGAACGACAGGUGGGCGAUUACUCCAACGACGUGUGGCAGAACCCCUAGAAUCCAGGAACCGUGUUAGGGUAGUAGGGAUUCCAAGAGCCUUCUUGAGUCCUUCGUUCUUGAGAGAAUGUCUAAACCCCUUUUAGUGCUUUUAGGUGGAAUCUCCGAGCCUUUAAGUCACCAAAAAGGGUUCUUUGAUCUUCCGAGAGUCCAAGUCUUGAGUCUAAAGAGAAGUCUCUUUCCCAAUGGAAUGGAAGGGUAUUUAUAGGGUUUUCUGGAAAGUAGUCAUGUGCGAGGCACAUGCUUUCAGGGAAAUUCCAGAAAUGCCCUUUAGUCAUUAGAAUAAUGCCCAUGUUGCCCUGUCCUUCUAGCCACCAAUCCAAUCCCUCAAUUAAUUCCCACAUCGAGCCGCCUCCACGAGUCUUCUGCCUCGGGACACGUGGAGGCUUCUCCCGGGUCUAGCACAUUUAUUUAUGACUUUUUCAUCUUCAUUCCAUUCGGUUAUGCGAACACUAAUUUGCACAUUUAAUGAGGCCGUGGAACCCUAAUUGCGCAUUUAAUUCAAUUAGGUCAUGUGAACUCUAAUUUUACACUUUGGCCCACAUUUGCCCCCUGCGCGAGAGUCGCAUUUUCAAAUAGACGAUCGUGCAAGAAAACUGCAAGCCUUUGAAUGAUUUUGCGGGACUUCACUUUACAUGUCUUGAAGACAAUAGUCCUAGAAGAGGGAACUCCUAGGGAGCCAAACCCUUAGAGUUAAACCCUAGGAAGGCAAGACCUAGCGAGGCUCUUCCUUGGACAUAUUGAAAAAUCUUCUGAAAUCUUUCUGUAUUUUGCCCAAUAUUUAUUUCCAAUUCCGCAAGCAGAUCAACUGUCCGAGCAGCCUCAAUACGAACAGAAACAGAUUCCGAUAACUUGGAAUGGAAAAUAGAAUUAAGACCAGGCAAAACAUUGAAUAGAGCGAUGUAGAGAUCUAAAAUUUCAAACAACUUGAGAAACGAUGGACGGGUACUACUAACGCCUUCUGCAAAGUUAAUCAAGUGCAAGGCGGAUUCUUUAACUAUACCCAUAAAACACACAUCAAAUGUGGAGUUACCAAGUCCACUAAAGAUUUGUUCACAGAGUUUCUUCUCCUUUAUGAAGAGAUCUUCAAAACAAACACGAGAUGCUCGUAUCCACAAUUUGAUCUUUGGUGCCAACAUAUCCCACUCCAAACUCCGGAACUCACCGAUGCUAUAUUUACCGACGCCGAGGUGUCGAAAUUCUGCAUCCACAAUCAACUUCCUUGAAGUCCUGUAGAAUUCAACGCAGUCGCCAACAUUACCGGCUGAGUUCAAUCGUUCAAUGAUACUCCUAAAACCAUAAACUUCGUCAAUAUGUCCAUCAUCCUGUAAUUCAUAGCUAAAAGUAUCGGUUAUUGUACUUGAAAAAAUGGUAGAACUCCUAUCGGCCAAGAAAGCAUUGUGGACUCUGUUGGUUUGUCGGGUCAAUAUGACCCGAAACUCUAACGGAAGGGUUUCCAUGCCCGUUUAGAUCAUGUUUUGAUGCUUUCAGUUUGGGGAUCUGAGAUUAUUCUCGAUCGUCUGAAGCUCGUCAAAAGUACUGAUCAAUCUCAUGGCGGUCUCCGUCGAAGUCGAAGAUGAUGAAUUUAAUAAUUCCGCCCGAAUAUUUUGUGUUCUACCAAUUCCAUUCAGACAAUACAAAAGAGAUAUAUAUAUCUGCCUAAAAAUUGAAAACCGAAAAUCAUCUCUGAACAGCAGGCUUUGAAAAUUACUCCUACUAGUAGUUUAUAAAUAUAAAUACUUUGAAGAUUGUAAGAAGUUCAUAGCCAUCCACUAGUAAAAGUACUUACCAUUACUAAUUGAUGUCACGUUACCGCAAUUAGGACGGAGAGAGAAAGUCGGACCAACUCUUUUUUUUUUUCAAAUCAAACAUUAAUUUUUUAUUUCCAAAAUCAAAUCUUAAUUUUUAUUUUCAAAAUAAAAUCAAAUCUUAAUUUUUUAUUUCCAAAAUAAAAUCAAAUCUUAAUUUUUUAUUUCCAAAAUAAAAUCAAAUCUUUCUUAAUUUGAAAAGAGAUUUUUUUUUUUUGAAAAUGAAAUAAAAUAAAAUCUCUCUUUUUUUUUUUUGGCAAAUCAAAUCAAAUCAUUUUUUUUUAUCAUUCACGCAAAAGAUUUAAGUGCAUGAAUAAAAUAAAAUAAAAAUGCAUGAAUUUAAGAGUCAUAUAAUCUCACAGAUCUAAUGAAGGGGAAUUGCCACAUGCCUACGACAUUCUCUAUGAAAAAAAUGAUGAAUUAAGGCAAAACGAGAUCCAAUCAUGUAUUAUUUUUUUUUUGAAAAUAAAAUAAAUCUUAUUUUAUUAUCUUUCAAAAAAAUAAAAUAAAAUCUUAUUUUAUUAUUAUUAUUUUUUAAAAUAAAUAAAUAAAUAAAUAAAACAUUUACUUAUCUUAUUUUUAAGAAGUAAGGAGUCGAUGAGAAUGUCUUGUAUCCAUAUUGAAGCCUUUGAUAAUUCUUUGAGCAAAGAUGAUUAUAGCUUUUUGAUGAUUCUGACAUCUUUUAUAUGAGACAAGUCUUCACAUGCUUCCGAUUUUUAUUUGCCAUAAAGAAAGAAUCCAUUAAAGCUUCACAUGCCAGUUGCCACUCCUCUGUUAGCCAACAAAAAAAAAAAACAUUGUUUUGCUGCUUUAUUUGGGUGUUAUAGCCACAGGCAAGCCUCUUUCUAUCCACGCCGAACCCUACUGAUUCAAUUUUUUAUUAUUUUUUUUUUAUUAAAAAAAAUCAAGAACUUUUGGAACACUUAUAUUUAGAAGAAGCUUGUACGUAUGGGAAUUGAUGAUCCAAAAACCCACAACCCAAUUCUUAAUCUCAGUUUCUUUCUUGCUAAUCUUUCUCAGUUGAUGAACCCUUUGGAUAAUAUUAACGAUCCUCUUAGGAGGUUGCAAUAUUCAGAUCCCACUCAACUACUAGCCAAAAUCCAAAUUUUACAUAACCUAUUGCAGGCCAUAAAUGUGAGUCCUUCUUUCCCAAAUAUUAAAGUAGUAAACGUGAAUAAUCUCUUGGGAUCAUAUAAUUAUCUUAGCCAAUUUGAUGGAGUGAUCACGAGUGAAGCUAUCAACCCCAUGAUUAAUCCUAUCCCCAACAACCGGCCUUUAAUAUAUAUACUCCAAUCCCAAACUCAUUUGGAUUCUUUAGCCCACAAAUAUUUAACAAUGUUAAUAGCUUAAGUGGUGUUGCAUGCAAUAUUACUCAUCAAACUGAAAAUCAGCUUCCGGAAAGUUCCAAUACCAAGGAAAUGGACAGUAUGAAGCCUACAAACAUCCCCUCCGGUUCAACCAACUCUGACAAUAUCUUUGAGGUUUUGGAGAAAUUUGUUGAUUGUGAUCAAGCCAAUAGUACUUCCUUCUUGCUUCUUUUUUUUUUUUAUUCAGGUAACUCUAGUCUUUCUUUUGUCUUCCGAGCCCCAUUACCUUGAUCAUAUCUUGGUUUUUUCCCUCGGAUCAUAAAGAAAGAUUGGUAUUUUUUUUUUCUUGCAGGCCCUCCCUGUUGAACAUUCUGCAGACUUGGGAACAACCAAGGAGGCCCCGUUUCUCAAUAAUUGGGGAAGGGAUCCCCUCUUUUGGUCUUUCCGACGUCUUUUGAGAGCGAGUCUAGACUUAUAAUCGUACAACACUUCCUCCGCCAGAGAAGAAAGGCGUGUUUCUUUAUGUCGCGGCUUGCGGAGGUUUGGGUGACUUCCUCCCUUCCGAUCGCAUUCUCCGCAUGUGCAUAGAGAAACAAGAAUAGCCUUUCAGUCCCUUUCGCUUCCUGUCUGACUCAUCUGACCGCCUUCAAGGAUGGCAACAUUGGACCGACUUCCCGUUGUGUGCUCUUCUUCAUACACAUUCAUUACUACUUGGGGGGGAAUUCACCCCUAUUCUAGAGGAUGUCUCUGCCCUCCACCAGUAGGUCGUACUUCGGUUUGCCCCCUGCACGUGAGUCACACCUUUGGUGGGACAACCGUGCAUAAUUUCUCCAGCAUUGAAAUCUUGCUACAAAUUUCUUAAUGAUUCGCGGAGCACGAUGGUGCAAGCCUUGAACAUAAAAUCCCUAGGAGGGGAGACCUGUAGGGGGCGAGCCCUAGAGAAGCUCUCCCUGGCUAUCUUGGAAAAAAUCUUCUAUCUUAUCCUUCCGAAUAUUACUUUCUUUUGGAAGUUCUCUCAUUUUCAAAAUUAAGAAGUCAACGAGAAGGCACCGAGUGAACAUACUUCAAAUUGGGGUGAACAAGCGAUGAAGGAGAUCUUUCCUCUAGGUACCCGAAUCCUGAGCGGCUUCAUUCUGGAACAUUGAUUAACGAGCUAGGAGAAGUAAAAGGUAAGAGGGGAGAGCCUCUGUAGGUGUUUGAACCCCAGGGGCCGAACCCUAGAAGACUGCCUAUUCCUUCACUCUUUUUUUCCUUCUUCCUUUCACUUGAAUCUUGGUCGUGUCCUAGCUUGGUUCCCCAAUAUAGUUGAUCGGAUACAUCUUCAUAGGACCCUUCUCCAGAUUUUCUUGCUCGAUUGUCUUCUGAGACUUAUUCUCGAAAUGCACAUUCUCUCUCUAUUAUCUGUGAGCAGAAGACUUAGAGGUGUUUUAGUUGUGAAGUUGAUGACUUCUCGAUCCUUCUUGGGCCUUGACAUGUCUCCCUUCCGUGCUAAGCUGGAUCUCUUCACUUUCAGUUAUCAUGUCAUUGCACUUUGUUCGGAGGUCACUUCACGUCCUCAUGAGAAUGACUUUCUUUAUGUAAGGGCCUCAGGAGCUUCAGGACGUCAUGGAUAGAUUGAAGGCCAAGCUUCGGGAAAUUGAUUCAUCUGCCCAAGACCUUAAGGAACUGUUAGCCUGAAGUUCGAAAGGCUCGAGAUACUGCCAUUGUCGACUUGGAGGCUUUAGCUAUGCCCCCAGUUCAGUUUGAUGUAUCAUGACCUUUGGAUCAUGACUUCAUGUAGCUUUUAUUUCUUCCAUCACUUUUGAAGAUAAAGUGUAUUAUCGAGGAUUUCAGGGUCAAGUGUCUCAAUCACUUUUGAAGUUGAAAGUAUAACUCUUUUUUUUUUCUGGAUCGAGGGCUGAUUAAUCAGGUGCCUCAUUACUUUUGAAGUUGAAAGUAUAACUUUUUUGGGUCGAGGGCUGAUUAAUCAGGUGCCUCAUUACUUUUGAAGUAGAAAGUAUAACUUUUUCGAGUCGAGGGCUGAUUAAUCAGGUGCCUCAUUACUUUUGAAGUUGAAAGUAUUUUUUUUUUGGGUCGAGGGCUGAUUAAUCAGGUGCCUCAUUACUUUUGAAGUAGAAAGUAUAACUUUUUCGGGUCGAGGGCUGAUUAAUCAGGUGCCUCAUUACUUUUGAAGUUGAAAGUAUAACUUUUUUGGGUCGAGGGCUAAUUAAUCAGGUGCCUCAUUACUUUUGAAGUAGAAAGUAUAACUUUUUCGGGUCGAGGGCUGAUUAAUCAGGUGCCUCAUUACUUUUGAAGUUGAAACUAUAACUUUUAAGAAAUUUGCUCUGAUCAAAAUUUGAUGUAUUUAUUUAACGAUCAAGAUAUAAUACAUUUUUUUUUCAUUUUCUAGUCUGCUAGGGCAGUAGCUUAUUCAGCAUUAUGCUUCUUAUUAUAGUUCGAUUUCACCUGCCGCUAAUUUUUCAUGAUAAAUUCUCCUCAAAUUACGACAAUUCAUGAUGGAAUGUCCUGGGUAUUGAUGAUACACGCAAAAGUCUGAUCUCUUCUUCAUCUCCUCGGUCACAACAAAUCUGGGUUUUGGAGGCUUCACCAUUCCAUUUUCUACCCAUUUCUCAUACAAAUCUUUAAAUAUCUCCUCACCACAAGUGAUAGCUUCGGGCUCUAGCGAAUUUAUAUUCUUUUUGAUUCUUUCCCUCUUGCCCCCCUGUGGCUCUGACUGAGAGUCUGUCAAAGCCGUAGUAGCUGUCCUCUUACUCUUCCAGGUAGCAAUCGGAUGGUUCACAGAUACUGCCAUAAUUUCUCCAUGGUCCUGUGCAAAGGUGGAAAGUGUCGCAAAGGAAUCACAAGACUUAGUGAUCAAGUGGGGCUUGAAGGCGUCGAGGGCGCCGUUGUUGCAAAUACUCACUAAAUUCUUCUCUUCGAUUGGCUCCACACACUUCCGCGCCUGGGCCCGAAAGGUGGAAAGUGUCGCAAAGGAAUCACAAGACUUAGUGAUCAAGUGGGGCUUGAAGGCGUCGAGGGCGCCGUUAUUGCAAAUACUCACUAAAUUCUUCUCUUCGAUUGGCUCCACACACUUCCGCGCCUGGGCCCGAAAUCUGUCAACAUAAUCAGAUAACUCCUCAUUCGAAUUUUGUUGAAUUCUCAUAAGCUCUAUAAUUGACACUUCCUUCUGAACAUAAAAGAAUUUUUUGAAAAACUGGUGUUUCAUAUCAUCCCAAUCUCGAAUCGAACCCUUCUCCAAAUUGUAGUACCAGCUGAAGGCACCGUUAGUGAGCGUCUUGUUAAACUCCCUCAAUAGAAUAUUGUGGUUGCUCACUUCAUCUAUUCCCAACCACGAGGACAUCGACUCCACAAAUCUUGCAAUAUGCUCUCUCGCAUUCCCUUUCUCUCCACUAUACUUAGGGAACUGAAGUGGAUGUUCAAUGUACCCAGCAGGGUAUGGCUGUCUUCUCACAUGCGCCGGGUAUGGUGGGGUGAAAUCCAGUUCCGCAGGCCUGACUGUCUGUCUACGCAUCUGAUUGAUUACAUCCAUCAUGUCUUCCCUUGUCGCAUAUUGACUGGUUUCUGGAGCCUUUUGGGACGUCAUCGCAUACUGGUUUAUCUGAGGUGUAUGUGGAACACAUGUUGAUGCACACUUGCCUCAUGUAAGAUUGGUUGUACUUGCUGGAUUAUUGGUUGUAUAUGGCUUGGGAUGGUUGGUAUCUGCACUUGUGAAAAUGCUGGGAGUGUAAUCGGGAUGAUGUUUAGCUGAGGCUGGCUAGCUUCCAAUCUAAGUGGUGGUACAUCACCACUGUUCUGGGGCUCCAAGUUGAUGACUGGAAUCGGCUGACUCUCCAUUGCUGGAGGUAUAAUCUGAUUCUCUUUGUUGUUGUUGUUGUUGUCCUCCACUUCUCCUGCUCGUCCCCCUUGCGAACUUCCUGGGAACAUGGUCUUGAAAGUGGGGAUUUGCAUCAACUGCUGGCAAAAAUUCUCCAUUUCUUCUUGCUUUCUCUGCAUCUCUAGCAUCAUGGCCAUCAUCAUCCCUUGCCCUUCUCGUGCUUCUUUCAAUGCUUUAAGCAUCUCCAGUUGCACAGCAUUCGUCUGGUCUCCCCCUGCAUCUUCGCCUUGCCUUCUUGCAUUGGUUUGUUGUUGAUUGGCCAUAUGUGGUGAUGUCGAACUCCCUUCCAAAGCGUCUUCAAUAAUUGGUUGGUCAAAAUCCAGGUUUGCGCCUUGGAAAACUUGAGUUACUUGUCUUGGAACUGGAUCCGGUGACGUAAUGCUAUUUGUUGGUGAAGCAGCUCUUCCUGUAAUUCUCCCACUUCGAGUCGUGGGCAUACCCUUCACGAAUUAUACACCUCCCCAGCAGAGUCGCCAAAGAAAUGUGGGCAAGGAAAUUGUACCUUAGUAGGGUUAGGGUUUCGUGUUGGCUGAGGAGGAGAGAAAUCCACGAAGAGCACGGAAUUGAUUGGUUGAUUGAAGAGGGGAGAACGACAGGUGGGCGAUUACUCCAACGACGUGUGGCAGAACCCCUAGAAUACAGGAACCGUGUUAGGGUAGUAGGGUUUCCAAGAUCCUUCUUGAGUCCUUUGUUCUUGAGAGAAUGUCUAAACCCCUUUUAGUGCUUUUAGGUGGAAUCUCCGAGCCUUUAAGUCACCAAAAAGGGUCCUUUGAUCUUCCGAGAGUCCAAGUCUUGAGUCUAAAGAGAAGUCCCUUUCCCAAUGGAAUGGAAGGGGUAUUUAUAGGGUUUUCUGGAAAGUAGUCAUGUGCGAGGCACAUGCUUUCAGGGAAAUUCCAGAAAUGCCCUUUAGUCAUUAGAAUAAUGCCCAUGUUGCCCUGUCCUUCUAGCCACCAAUCCAAUCCCUCAAUCAAUUCCCACAUCGAGCCGCCUCCACGAGUCUUCUGCCUCGGGACACGUGGAGGCUUCUCCCAGGUCUAGCACAUUUAUUUAUGACUUUUUUGUCUUCAUUCCAUUCGGUUAUGCGAACCCUAAUUUGCACAUUUAAUGAGGUCGUGGAACCCUAAUUGCGCAUUUAAUUCAAUUAGGUCAUGUGAACUCUAAUUUUACACUUGGGCCCACACUAGUAAAUGAUGAUUUUCUUCUAACCAGAAGUAUGAGCAGGUUAAAAGUAGAAGAAUAAGCAUCUCGCAGGCCAAAAAUCAAUAAAAAAACGAAAAGAAGAAAAAGAAAAGAAGAAGACAGCAAUAGCAAGACCAUAUUUUUCUUCUUCUUUCUUUUUAUCUUUUCUUUCUUUCUUUUUUGUUUCUUUUUAGACGGAGGGUUUUAUUUCAUCUUUGAAAAUAAACCUAAGAAUUUAUCAAAGGAAAUAAAGGAUAAACGACAAUACAAAUAUAUAUUUUUAUUUUAUUUUCAAAUAUAUACGCAUGCAUGAUAAAGAUUCACAAUUAUACACACAUAUAUAAUAGGCUACAACCAACAAUCUACUAAACAAUUUGUAAACCAUCGAGGUGUUUUAGUGACAACCUACCGUCUACCAAAUCGUUAUUAGUUAACGAGUUAGUGUAAAUUUUCAUUUUGGAAGCUAGUAUAAACUAUCAUCUCUCAAAUUGUUAUUAGUAGAGGAGCUACGAAUGUAAACUAUCGUCUAACAAACUAUAUUAGCUGAUGAACUAGUGUAAACUAUCAUUUACUAGAUGUAUGAGCAUGUUAAGAGUAGAAGAAUAAGCAUCUCGCAGGUAAAAAAAUAGGAAAAGAAGAAGACAACAAUAACAAGGCCACAUUUUUCUUUUUCUUCCUUUUUAUCUUUUUUUUUCUUUUUUGUUUGUUUUUAGACGGAGGACUUCAUUUCAUCUUUGAAAAUGUGGGUAAAGAAAUUGUACCUUAGGUUUUCAUGUUGGCUGAGGAGGAGAGAAAUCCACGAAGAGUACGGGAUUGAUUGAUGAAUUAAAGAGGGCAGAAGAACAUGUGAUCAAUUACUCUAAUGACAUGUGACAAAACUUUUAGGAUCCGAGAACCUUCUUAGGGUGCCAAAGAUCCAGGGAGUCUUCUAGGGUGUGCUUCGGGUUGAGAGAGAAUCUCCAAGUCUUCAAUCUUUCGAAAAGCCCUCUUCUUCAUAGAAUAGAAGGAGUAUUUAUAGAGUUUCCUGGAAAGUGGUCACAUGACAGACAUAUGACCUCGAGCAAAUUCCAAAAAUACCCUUAGUCACCAGAGUAAUGCCCAGAUCGUCCUGUCUUUCUAGCCACCAAUCCAAUUCCUCAAUCAAUUCUCAAAAUGAGUUGCCUCCAUAAGCCUUUUACCAUGGAGGCUCUUCCUUGAUCUCAUGAUACAAAGCUCUUAUUGCUCAAACCAUGCUUACUUGCUCUUCCUUCUUUAUUUAAGAAUCUCGUCGCCAGAAAUCAUCGGAAGAACUCUGCGCAAGACCCGGGAAGCCGCGUGUUACAAACCAGUCCCACAUCGAAAGAUAUGGAAAAAAAUUAGUCUAUAUAUAAGGAAUUAUGUUACUACCAAUAAUAUACUUUUAAGUCAUGACCUUUUGGGUGAGCCUGUGGUGGGAUAAGAUGACCCAAUAAUAUACUAUUGGGUCAGUGGUUUAAGGCCUUGGGAUUCGGACUUGGGAUUUGACCCAAGAUUUGUUUUGGGCAAUUUUACUCAGGUUGUUACAUAUGGUAUUAGAGCCGACUCUCGAAAGCUCGGGUCGGAUCAUCCGAUCGGGUUGCCGGAAGUGGGGACACGAAACCAGCCGAUAUUAUCCCACAAUGGCUAAAGAGGCAAAGAUCUGUGGAACGUAUAUGUGAUCGAUUUUGAUGGAGAUGUCAAAAAUUUAAGUGGGGUAGUUUAUAACACCUCAGUCCCACAUUGAAAGAUAUGGGAAAUACUAUUGUGCAAUGAUUUAAGCUAUCCAGCUAUAUUGUUAUAGUUUGGAUAUAUUCCAGUAUGAGAAUUAACAAACCCUGAAAUGGGAUAUUUUUAUUGCACUCUGGGAGUGGUGACGUUGAACAUGGAAGUUGUUCUGGAUAAGAUAGUAUUGAUUAAUAAAGGGCAUAUAUAAAGGGCUGAUCAUCCAUCGUGCUCAUAAGAUAAGAUGGUUCACAAAUAAAUUUUUAAGAAAACCUUUUCAAGAAAAGAAAAAGCUUGUUCACGGUCUUAUGACCUCUCAGAUGUUCAAUAUUGAUAUGAUAUUCCAGGAAUAUGAAUGAUUCAAGAUUUAAUUGCUUUACAGUUUUGUUUCACUGUUAAAGCAUGUCUCAAAGAAAACAUUUAAUUAUUGUUAAGAUAUUAAAGAAUGCUAUUACUUAUUGAGCAAUUGAAUGCUCAUUCUUGUUUUGUUAUAAAUGUUUUCAGCUAAUCAGGCUCCAACGGAGGGGUCUAAUAGAGACAAAGGAAAAGGAAAAGCUACUGAGUAGUAGGUAUAUGUUGUAAUAAAUAGUUUAUAUGUUUGUAGAUAUUUAACUAUCAUGUAAUAAGCACUUAAUGGUUACGUACCUGGUAUUAGAAGAACUCUGAUAUAAUAAAUCUAUCAAGUUUGAUAUUAUAUUAUGUUGAAUGCUUGAUAUCUUGAAGCACUGAAUAAGGGUUUAAAAUACCCGAAUUUGGGGGCGUCACACGCCCGAUUCGCCUCCUUUGCGUAUGUUUAACAUGCUCAUACAACUUGUCUAAUACUCCAUUGAUUAAUUCUAAGUAUCAUUAUAUUUCAUAACUUUCAUGUUUAAUAACUUAGAAUAACAUAUUUUAUCGUCAAAAGCAUCCACGUAGUACGAGCAUGCCCGACGCCCUCCGAUCGCCUCCGAUCGAAUGCACAAUAGUCCUAAAAAUAGCCAUUUUAGCCCCUUCUCCCGACCUCAAAUCUCAAAACUUAUAAAAUAAAAGUUUUAGGUCAACUUCUAAUAUUUUCGAAUCAUCUUGAAUCACCUCAAUCAGAGUUCGUAUAAAAAGGUUAUGCAUGUUUUACUAAAGAACGUCAAAGCUGACUUUCUGCACUUUUGGUUCAGCGCCCAUCCUAGGCCUAUUUCCAACGCCCCGGGGCUGGACGGCAGUACGUUCUCAGCCAAAAACUUCAAUUUUCAAAAAUCUUCAGUUUUGAAUGAUUUCAACAUGUCUACUUUGAAAUAUCAUAAAUUUCUCCUCCGAUAUCGAAAUGAGCUCGUUCUUAAUGGGUUGAAAAGCUUGCAACACCCUCUACAAAUUUCUCAGGACAAAAUAAUUUUCUGGAUUCUCUAACAAUCCUUUAAACUUUCUCAAAAGUCCAUCGAGACUAAGAUUUUUAUCAUUCAACAUACUUUACCAAAAUUUUCUGCCAUGACUUCGUUUUAACAUAUUUUUACUCCGUUCCAAUUAGAAUAUCUUCAUAAAUUCCUUAUCUAUAAAUCCUUAUUCCCGAAUUUUAUUUAUUACAACCCUAUCAACAAUAUUAAAAUCCAAUUUAAGUACUCUAAAUAAAUAAUGUCUAUCCUUUAAGCUUUGGCCUACGAUUCCAUUCUUGUUACCACUUCUUAUGCAAUUUAACAAGUUAUUUAUCAUGAUCAAAGCACACAUAACUUUAUUUACUCAAGGUCCUUCAUACUCUUUCAUUAAACAACCAUCGCCAACAACUAAUGAUUCAAGAAAGACUUCACAGAAAUGAAAAGAUGGAUGGUUCUUACCUUCUUAGUUAUUCUUCUUCUUCCUAGCUUAUGCUUUGUUAGCAUGAUAUACAUUGUUGGGCCCUCCAUCUACCAACUUAAGCUUUUAAGAUAAGUUGGUUACUUAACAUGGUAUCAAAGCUUUGGGUGUGCAAGGUCUUGGGUUCGAAUUUUUCCAGCUGCACAAUUAUCUUUCUAUUAAUUUAACAGUGCAAAUGCACUUUAAUUUCUCCCUUCUCUAUAAAAAAAAGUUGCGUUUGAGAGGGAGUGUUAGCAUGAUAUACAUUGUUGGGCCCACCAUGCAUCUAACAGCUUAAGCUUUUAGAUGAGUUGGUUACUUUGCUCUUCUUUCUCUUCUUAUUGGUAUUCGGCCUCUCUAUUUCUCUCUCUCUCUCACUCUCUUGUUUUCUUUCUCUUCUCUCUAGUUUGCCCUCUCUUCCUUUUUUUUUCUUGCAAAUGAAAUGAAUUGGCUAAGUGAAAAAUCCUCUAGAUCAAUUGAAUUCUCCACUAACUAACUCAACCAUACUUCUAAGGUUAGGUUAACUCGUGUAGGGUUAGGGAAUGAUAGGAUGACACUUGUAAGCUUAAUGUUUAAGGAUGACAAGAAGAUAUAAGCUAGCAUUAAAUUAAAUUUUCACCUUGCUAGAUGAGUCACACAUACUCUCCCUUUUGCUUCUUUAAUUGGUUGGAUCACCCCUCCCUUUCUUAGCUCAUAUUUUAAUUAUCCCAUGUGGGAUAAACAUCAAUCCUCUCCCUUAUCUUACUUUUUCACCCAACUUAUCUUUUAUGAGAUAACUACUAAGUCUCAUUCCUUAUCUUUUCUUCGAUAAGCCUUGUCAUUAAUCCUUAUCUCUUCCUUGUUUUCCUUCAACCCAAACUUACCAUAAAUAGAAAGUUUCCAUCUCACCUUCUCUCUUCUCCUUGUCCAUAUUCAAAUCCCCACAUGUUUAAUUCUAGCAAAUGACACUUGCCCUCUUAUAACUUUGGCUCCUAGUUUGGCUCACUUUUUGGCUCAAAGACCAAGCCAUGGCUCCUAUCCUUUGACUCUAAGCUUAAGCCACUCAAACCUUAGGCUCAACCCUUAGCUAAGCCCCUUUAAAUUCCUAACCAAGUCAUUUAAACCUUAGGUUUGGUUAGACUAGAAUUAAUUUAAUUUCUCUUUUUCUUUUAAAUUAGUUAGAUUUCCUAAUUUUUUAGUUACAUUUUUCGUAAUAUGCUUGGUUAGCUGACAAUCCGACUUUUGAUUUUCAAAAAUCCAAUUUCGCCACCAUUCCUUCUUUCCCGAAUAAACGCUAUGUAGUUCUUCGAAAUUUUAAAAAAAACGAAGUUGGGUUUUUAGCGUGAAUAGUUUUUUUUCAUACGACUUUUUCUAGAAAAAUAUUUUAUUAGAGAUUUCAUCUCGCCUUCUCAAAUAAACACUAUGAUGUAAUUCAAAAUUCUCGAAAAAGUAUGUUUAUUAGCGUUUUUCUGUGAUUUUAAAAAUAGUAACUUUUUCGUCUUUUUCUCGAAAAAAUUAUAUUCUCCCAAAACUCCCAACACUUAUACAUAAUCACGUAACACGUAAACUAGGUCAUUAAUCGACCUAAAUCAUGUAACACAUAAUAAUAUCUAUAAAAUUUUAUUUUAUUAGAUAUUCACAAAUAAAACCUAUUUUCAAGCCUAUCUGAAUUCUCGGGUCGUCACAUAGUAUUUAUAGAGUUUCAUGGAAAGUGUUCACAUGCCAGGAACAUGACCUCAUGGAAAUUCAAGAAAUACCCUUAGUCACCAGAGUUAUGCCUAGAUCAUCUUGUCCUUCUAACCACCAUGCAAUCCAAUCCCUCAAUCAAUUUCAAAAAUGAGUUGCCUCCAUAAGCCUUCUGCCUUGGGACCCAUGGAGGCUCCUCCUCGAUCUCAUGCUUCAAAGCAAUUGUUGCUCAAACCAUACUUUCUUACUAUUCCUUCUUUAUUUGAGAAUCUCGUCGAUGGAAAUCCUCGGAAGAACUCUGCGCAAGAACCAGGAGGCCGCGCCUUAGGGGGGCAAUCCUUAGGGGGCGGAACCCUAGGGAGCUGAACCCUAGGGGGGCCUCCUUCAGUUCUUUUCGUUCGUUUCAACCUUUCUUGGUCAGUUUUCAUCAUUUUCUCAUGAUUCUUGGUCCUGUAAGAAGCCUUUCUUGUCAUAGAGAUUAUAAGGCUAAUCAUUAUUUGGAGUUUCACAAGAUUUUAGUUUAUUUUUGUAGUCCAGGCUUAUUUCUUUGUCAUUGCAUCGAUGAAACCCCUUCUAGCAUGCCAAUCGAGAAAAUGAGGUAGCAUAUGCCCUAGGGUGCCGAACCCUAAGAGGUAAUUUAGAUUUCUUUUGUCCAUCUUUUGUCUGUUUUCCUUUUUUCAUUACGAUAGUUCCAACCAAAUCCAGUCGGAGAAGAAAUUGGUUUUAUCUUUUCUUUAAGGAGAAGUCAUCUUGGAGUGGUUGAACCAUAGGGUGGCCGAACCCUAAGGGGCCAAAAUCCUAGGAUUUUUCCCUUUUUGCUGAUUUAAUGCUUCGUUCAUUAAUUGAAGUCUUGUUCAUUUACUUUCGUCUUUUCAUUUAAUUCAAUUAAAUCAUAUGUAAACCCUAAUUUGUACUUGGGCUCACAGAAAAUAAACCUAAGAAUUCAUCAAAGGAAAUAAAAGAUAAAUGACAAUACAAAUAUUGCGUUUUGUUUUGUCUUAUUUUUUUAAUUUUAUUUUCAAAUAUAUACGCAUGCAUGAUAAAGAUUCACAAUUAUGUAUAUAUAUAUAUACAUAUAGAUACAUAAUAUGGUAAAUAAUAGGUGGUAGUUGUUUUAUUUAUAAUAUGGUAAAUAAUAGGUGGUAGUUGAUUUAUUUAUUACAUGCUAAUAACAGCCAUGAGUUGAUAGUUGAUUUAUUUAUUAUAUGCUAAUAACAGCUAUCAGUUAUUGGUUGAUUUAUUUAUAUAUCGUGCUAAUAACAACCAUCAACUUGUAUAUAGUUUCUUGAUUUACUGCUGAUCGGAAGAUUACUGAUCGUUCAUUUAGGCGUUGGUGGGACUAAUGUUAACACCAUAGAUAACUAAACCCGUCUUCAUAGUCACGCUUUCAGUCCCGUCAAGAGCAAAUUUGAUAUCUCCAUAGUCAAACUUAUUGAAGAAUUCCCCAGCUUUGAGCGAAAAUGGUGUGUUUCUCGGAUAAUUCAUCAAUCCAUAUCCGUUCACUUGCGAGGAUCCAUUCGGAAGAGUAAGUGUAAGACUCACCGGACUUGCUAUGUUAAAGUUGUCUUUCAGCAGCACCACAAAAGAUACCUCAUAAGAUAAAUUUUCAAGCUUUUCUGUCAUAUAGUUUCCGUCAACAUGUAGGACUAAGCUACCAAUUAAUUCAGCACUGUCAGGACUGUAAAAAAUGAUAGUAGAAUUAAAGUCAGAAACUUUUGAUAUAAGGAGCUUAAAUUCAUUAAUAUAGUACAAUUAAUGCGAGUCCUUCUAUCUAACUAGACUUCAAUAAAAUUUCUUUAGUCCUUCUAUCACUUUAAUUUAAUGACAAAGUUGCUUAUAUCCCUAUUUUUAACUGAAUAAAAUUCAGGUGUUUAAGCACAAAUCUUGACCUUUGACGUCAAUUAAGUUAACUAAAUCUUAUUUCUACUUACGUAAACUUCCAGCCCGAAGGGUUGAAAUAAUUGAGUUUCUCAGCAGGUAUAUAAGCGCCAGAACUUUGAAUAAGACAAGAAAAAAAAAUUCAUAUCAUCCAUUACAAAAAAAUCUCACUUGCAAAAUUUACAAAUAUUAAGGAUUAUUUUUGUUCUAUAACCAACUUUAGCUAUAUAUAUGAUGUUUGUUUACAAUUUCAGUAGACUUACCUUCUGCCCUAUUCCGUUGUUUUGGAGCAACUCCAUUUCCUUGGCUUGGGACAACAAUGCCUUGAGGUCAACCUCAUUAUGCCUCACUACUUGUGCCAUCUCCUCGAUCGAUCGAUAACUAUCCUUUAAUUCUGCUAUAUAUAUAUAUAUAUAUAUAUUUUCUGUUUCUAUUCUUGAUGUCUAUAUAUCUCUCUUCCAAAGGCUAGCUCUAUUUAUACUGGCACAAACAGAGGGUACUGCGAUUAUUAUAUUCCAUAAUAUCCUAUCUUCAAAUAUUCCUUCCCUUUUCACAGUAGGGAUCCGAUCCCGAUAAGUUUAACAUCAGCAUCAUCAUCAUCACCAAGGAUAUAGAGCAGCCGAUUCUGUUUGAUAAUUUUGUUGGAAUAAUUCUUUUCCAUUUCUCAGUUCAAUAAUUCUUUCUUUAGCUUGUUGCGCAGGCAAAAUUCCAUGAAGGCGAAAGGUACGUAGGCAUCCUAGUAAAUGAUGAUUUUCUUCUAACCAGAAGUAUGAGCAGGUUAAAAGUAGAAGAAUAAGCAUCUCGCAGGCCAAAAAUAAAAAAAAAAUCGAAAAGAAGAAAAAGAAAAGAAGCCACCAAUAGCAAGACCACAUUUUUCUUUUUCUUUCCUUUUUAUCUAUUCUUUCUUUGAUUCUUUUUUAUAAUUUUUUUUAGAUGGAGUCUUUGAAAAUAAGCAUAAGAAUUCAUUAAAGGAAAUAAAAGUGUUGAAAGUUGUCUUGCAUUAGUCUUCUCCAAAUUCUGUUCCCCUUAGACUUUAGAAUUUAGCCUUUCCCAAAAUUCUGUUCCCCUCAGAUUUCGGAAUUUUGCUUUCCUCAUUUCUUGUUCUCCUCUCCAGAUUUCUCCUAUAAAAGGGAGCUUUGGUGUAAGACCCCAACUUUUAUGAAUAAAGACGAAUUUUUCUAUAAAUAUAAUUUUUGAUUAUUAAGAUGUGAAUUUGAAAAAAUAUUAUAGUUGUGAGUAAUAUUUAAAAAUUUUACAAAGUAAACAAGGUGUUAUAAAAUAUUCGGUUGGUCGAGGAAUAUUCGUUUUAACAGGGAAUAUUCAUACGACGACACAAUCAUUGGUGGACCCCACAACGAAAGUAUUGUCGGAGUUAGAAAACGACAGAAAUAUCUUAUUAUGAAAAUAAUGGCGAAAAUUUUACCGUUAACUGUUGAAAUACCCGUUAGUAAAAGUACAGUAAUACGUAUGGUUGCAUAGUAGUACACGGUAUUAAUUAUUGAUGCUUACGUGAGAAGUCACUCAGUUAUACUCAAUUAUUGUUACAGUAAUUGUUGUAUCAUAUCUCUUAUAUUAUUGAUUCAAUUAUUGUCAGUAUCAUCUGCAUAAUAUUUUAUAUUAUUAAAUCAAUAAUUGAGACGAUAAAGUUAUUCAUAUUAUUAUUUACAAUAUUGACGAUGUCUAGAAGUUCUGUCAAGGAGAGGUUAGGUCAUUUAAUUGCGCGCCAAUAGGGAGAAAUCCUUAUCGGAAAGCCCCUCUUUCCUGAAAACGAUCUGGUUGUUAAUAUUGCGAGUUAUAAUAAUGAUGAAUAAAUUGAAGGAAUUUUAUGAAAUAUUUGUUGUAAGUUUUGCUUAUUAUAUGGACCCCCAUUUAACCAUUUUUCAAAAUAAUCGGUAAAAAAUUAUUCAGUAUUUUUUUUAAUAAAAAAGGUGGGGCCACAUGUGGGGCCCACUGAAAGAAAAAUGGGGGGGGGGAGAUGUUUAUGUUUGUCAUGGGUGAAGGUUUGAUUAUAUAUAUAUAUAUAUAUAUAUAUAUAUAUAUAUAUUAUAAUAAGUCUUUUUUUUAUGAAAAAUAGAAUAUAUUAAAUUUUAUUUGCAUAGUAUUUUACUAUGCAGUGCACAGUAAAGUUUUGUGAAUUAGAAAUUCGGCGCCCGUGAAAUUUUCGAUUGUUUUGUCCGUGAGAAUUUCAAACAGUACCCCUUCCAUCAUCCUAUAAAUAUGACGCUUAUUUUGAAUUGAAAAUCACACAAGAAUCAGAGAAUUUUUUUCUAUAAUAUUGAGUAUAUUUCUUUCGAGUUUUAGAAAGUUUUGAGUGUAGAAAACAGUGAAAGUUUUUUUCAAGAAUAUCCCCGCUAUACCAGUCGAAAUACUCUUCUUAGGAUGUUUUUUUGUUCAAUAUUCGUAUGAAAUAAUAUUUUCUUCCAUACUCUGUAGUAUGUAAAUAAUAUUAUUUCGUUUUAGAUUUCGAAUUCUAUAUCCAUUUUGUUAAAGUUUUGGCUCCUAUACUCCAUGAAAUUAGUAGAAUAUCCUUAAAAUUUGCGUUUCAUCCAGUAUCUUUUCAUGGAAAUAUUAUUCUGAGCAUUCUUGAUAAGUUUUAAUUUUUUCAUGCCAGAGUACUAUAUACGGGGUACUAUUCUCAAAUUACUAUUCACGGGGUACUAUUCACUCGGUUACUAUUCAUCCGAGGCACUAUUCAUGACAAAAAUUAAUUUUUUUUCGGUCCAAAUCAUUUUUGUUACAAUAUUAUUCGUGAAUUUUACUCCAUAAUGCAGUAUCAUAUUGACAAUUUGGACAUUAUUAAAUUAUGGAUAAAUUAAAUUAUAAAUCUUUAAAAAUUUAUCUUUUGCUUUCAUUUAAUUGAAUUCUUAUAUCAUUGUCAUCAUCCUGAUGCUUAUAUUAUAAUGAAAGUCAUUUGUGGCCCGUAGUGCAUAGAUGGACUUGGUAUGAUUAUGACCAGGGAUUAUUUGGUAUAAUCAUGACUGUAAUAUUACAAAUGAUGUGGUAAAAGUCCUCAUUGGCCCGUAGUGCAUUGAUGAACAGUUGUUUUCAUGAUCAUGACCAUUGAUGAAAACACGAAUAUCUUUGGCCCGUAGUGCAUGAAUAAUUUGUGGUUGUGAUACUAAAGAAUAUCCUUGGCCCGUAGUGUAUGGAUAAUUCAGUGAUGUGUAUUAUUUAUUAAGCUGAGUCUCAGCGAUACAAUUGAUGAUAAACCUUUUAAAUAAUAGAAGAUAGUAGAUUUUAUGCUCUACUUAACUCUUCUAAUAGAUUGCUUGUUCCUCUGCAAUUAAACUUGAUGUUUAUUAUAUUUUAUCAGUUUAACAUUGUUGAAGGCUAAUGAUAAUUUAUUCUGUGUUAUCUUAGUCAUAAUAUUUCUUACUGGCUAGUUGAGCUCACCCUUUACUUUCAUUGUUCUCUUCAGGAAAUGAGAAUAUAGCUGGGAUCGACUAGUCGGGGAACGGAGUGACGGUCCAAAUGAUAACAUUAGUAGUCCUCACUAUUCUGUGAAAUAGUGUGAUAAUAAAUGUAAUGAGGACUUAUUUUGAGUUUGAAUACUGUCUAGAAGACAAUAUUUGUAUUAAAACUCACAACUCAUGUUAUAUAUUUAAGUUUAUAUUUGUAUUCUGUACCAUGUAUUUAACGAUUCAAAAUGGGUGAUGUAUACCUAUUCUGGGGGCGUCACAGUUGGUAUCAAAGCUUGGGGAUAUGAUCCCUGGCUGAGAUGAGAGACUAGAACUAGGAGGGGAGAGUCAGGUAAUUCCUUUGCUAGUAUGACCUACCUAAGUUUAUUUGUUAUUUAAUUAGUCGGUCAGAAUAUAGGGAUAAUAUGUUGCAUGUCAAUUAACCCUUGUUUUGUGGCAGUAUUUGAAAAUGACAUCCGAGAAUGUUGAGAAUAGCAAUGGAGUACAUGAGACCGUUGAAUCACCAACGAUCAAUAACCAGGAUAAUGUGCAUCAGGAAGGCAAUAAUCCUCAUGCAAACAAUAACUCCAACAAAAUAAUGAACGACAAAAUGUUUAUGAGCUUUCUUCAAUUCAUGCAACAUCAGGCAAGAGAGACUCCUGUUCAAAAUGUAGGUGGAAAUACCGGCAACUCUCGAACGGUCACCGCUAAGCAAUUCAAGGAGCUGGGACCACCGAAGUUUUUGGGAAAGCCAAAACCACUUAAGGCGGAGACAUGGUUAAAGCAGAUCACUAAGAUAUUUGAUGUCUUUGGAUGCUCCGAGGAGCAAAAGGUUCCCUUUGCCACCUUCAUGUUGCGAGGAGAGGCAGAUCAUUGGUGGAAAUCUGUAAAAUGUACCCAGCUUGCCACAUUAAAGAUGUCUUGGGAGAAGUUUCAAGAACUGUUCAACGACAAGUACUUUUUCGAAAGUAUUCGUUAGAUGAAGGAGGUGGAGUUCAUCAGGUUGGAAUAAAACAAUAUGACCAAGACGCAGUACGAGGCUAAGUUUGCGGAGUUAUCCCGGUUUGCAUCUCAUUUGGUUGUUAAUGAGGAGAGAAUGACGCGGAUAUUUUUAAGAGGUUUGAAACCUGAGAUAUGUCAAUAUCUCAUUCUCACAAACUUUGCUUGUAUUCAGAUGUUGUGAAUAUUGUAAUAACUCGAUAUUUUCUAUAUAAUUAAAUCAGAAAUUUUACGUAUGAAUUUUUUUAUUUAAUUAUUAAAGUUGGAAAUAUGUGCCAGGUAAUGUGUAUAUGUAUAUAUGUGAUAAAUAAAAUAUAUUUAUUACAUGAAUAAUUACCAAUAGUUUUAUUUUAGAAUUAUUGCUCAUUAUAAAUUAUAUUAUAAUAAUAAUUAGUUUUAUACUAAAAAUGUUUUCAUUAAUUCUAUUCUAUGAAAAUAUGUUUAUAUAUUAUUUAAAAAUUAUAUGAAAUGAUUAUAUAAUUAUUAUAAUGAUUAUUCUAUUUUAUUAUAUGAAUUUAGUUCAGAUUAUUUAAGUUAAUUAUUUUAACUUAAUUAUUAUUGUUAUGUAUGCAAGAUAAAUCAGAUAUGGAAUCCAAACCCUAAUUUUGGAUUUUGAACAAGGAAUGAGAAUAUUAAUAUAAUAUUAAUUAUAUUUUUAUUUUUCAGUGCUAUAAAUAUAUAUGUUAUGUUUGUAAGGUUAAUCUGGGGAGCAAUUUUCUUAUGACCUGAUAAAACCCUAAUUUGAAAGUCAAUUACGACUGUAAAAUUUGUUAAGUCAUUGUGAUAUGUGGUCUAUGAUUUGUAUUAUAAGUAUUAAUGUUAAUUCUAUAAAACCCUAAUUAGUAAUUUAAAACUCUAUUUUUCUUAAAUUAGGAACCCUAAACAGUACUUAGCUAUCCGCUAAGUGAAAACCCUAAUUUAAAACUCAGCUAUGAGUCGAGACUGUUAUGUAACUGUAUUAUUAUGUUUAAGGUUAAGUAUUAUAGAAUUUUAUAUUAAUUAAAGAAACCCUAAUUAACAUUUAGAAAUUCUAAUUUCUAGAAACCCUAAUUUCUAAAUUAGUAACCCUAAUUUGCUAAAACAAAACUCUAAUUGUUAAUUUGGCACGCUUAAUGAUAAUUAGUAAAAUUUAAACCUAAUUUUCAAGUCUAUGUAAUGAGGAAACCAAAUUAAUUAUGAAACCUUAAUUUGUAUUUUUAGAAACUAAAAAUUUCAAUUUUUUUAAAAUUAGAAAUCCUAUAACACUUUGUGCUAACCCUAAGGGUCAAACCCUAAGGGUUUGAUAAGUUACUAGUUUGCCCUUAAAUUGAUUAGCCAAAUGACAAAAAUACCCCUCUUGCAUUAUUGGACAUAACUUGUAAGACUAGCCAAUUUUGAGUUGCUCAACAACUCUUACCAGCCCCAUGUGACUAAAAUGCCAGCAAUCAAGCUCUAGAUAUCAGCCAACUUGAUUUCAUGUUUUAUAUAUAUAGACAUCAAGAGAGAGAAAUUUCAUUUAUUAGCCACAUUUGUACACAAACUCCUUACCAACUCUCUCUCCCAAAACCCAUGAAAUGUUGUAGUAGAUCAGUCCCGUAUUGAAGCCCCACUAACACACUUAAGCAAAUCAGCAGCCAGAAUCAAGAAUUGAUGCUUAAAGGUAUAAAAUCCUAAGUCAAAUUUUGAUCUUGUAUGCUAUAUUGGAUUUGUGGUUUUAAUGUUUAAUCAUGUUGAAUAAGGUGUUAAUAGGUGAUCUGGGUUGGCACAUGUUAGAUCCAUAACAUCAAAGUGCUCGAAAUCUAAGUUUUUCAAAAUAUGGAAAUUUUUGUUUUUGUUGUCUGACAGCGAAUGUCAGGCCUUGUAGAUCUGUGCUUAUUUAUUAUUUUGAUGAUUUAAAUGUUUGAAGUGGUAGUCUGGUAUGAGGUCUUUCAUAUGAAAAUGGAAUCACUGUUAUUGGAUGUCUAGAUCGAAAAUUAUUGAUGGUCAAAGGUCGUUGACUGACCAUGACCGAGUAUGAAUCUGGGCAACCUUGAAAGCUUUUUCAGCGUCUGAAAAUGUUUUGGAAGGCUUAGAUCUGUCAGUGUGUAAAUGAUUUGAUGAUGUUAUAAUAUCCAGUUUAUAGCUUGUCAUAUGUAAUUUAUAUUUGUGGCUUUAUAUCCUUUAAACAAACAAUUGAUCGAACUUAGUGGAUGGUCAAACCUGGCCCCUCGGUCACGAUUUCAUUUCUGGGAAUUUCCAGAAAAUCGAAAGAACAGCCCUCUGACAGGGUUUGACCGAGUAAUAUCUUGUAGAUCUGUUGAUGUUAAACUGAUUUGUUGUUAUAUUAUUGUUCCUGGACAUAAGGACUACAUCUUUGAGGCAUUAGAUCACUUGAAUCAUGAACGGAACCUAGAUUAAAUCGAGGAUGAAAGUGACUGGUCGACCACCUGGGUUUCUGGAAAACCCAGGAAUGCUCUGACAACAUAUUUGCAAGCCUAGAUCUCCUUGUGUGUUUGUUGUAUGACCUAGAUAUUGAUUGCUAGUUAUAGUGUUGUAUAAUGACUUCAAUAUUGAUGCUUAAGUUUGCCCAAAAACGAAUUAGACAGAGAAUUAUUAGUGGUCAAAGUUGACCCCUCAAACACGAAGCUGUCAGUGUUCUUGAGCUCAAGAACACCAACAGCGACGCUUAGUGUCACUAAAGGCCAAUAGCGAUGGUUUCUAAUAUUUUUAAUUUCUGAUUUUCUAGAAAAUACUUAAAAAUAGAAAAUAAAUUAUAAAAAUUACAAAAAUGGUUUUAAAAAUUAUUUUAAAUUAUGAAAAUUAACUUUUAAUUAUUUGGGAUAUUUUUUAUUAAUAUUUAUAAUUAUUUGAAUAUUAUUAAUAUUUAAUUUAUUUAAUUAGUGUAUUAAAUAAAUUAGAGAAAAAUGAUUUUAAUGUUAUAAAAAUCAAUUUAAAUAAGAAUAAAGUGUUUAAAAAUAUUUUUGAGUUAUAUAUGUAACUUUUAAUAUUUUUGUGAUGAAUUUCAUUAAUUAAUUAAUAUUAAUGAUAAUUAAGUUAUUUAAUAAAUGUAUUAAAUAAAUUAUGAAAAAUAGAAAUUAUGAUUUAAAAAUCAUAUAAAAGUGAUUUAAAGAUUAUAAAAAAAUAUUUUAAGUUAUAAAAUAUAACUUUUGAUAUUUUGUCAUGAAAAAUAUUAAUAAUUUUAUAUUAAUAAUAUUAGAUUUAUUUAAUGAUUAUAUUAAAUAAUUUAGUUUAAAAUGAUUUUAUUAUUAUAAAAUUAUUUUAAAUGAAAAUAAAGUGUUUAAAGAUAUUUUAAGUUAUAAAAUAUAACUUUUAAUAUUUAAAGGAUAAUUUCAUUAAUAAUUUAAUAUUAAUGAUAUUAAUUUAAGAUUUAUUGAUAUUAAAUUUAUUCAAUAAUUAUAUUAAAUAAAUAGUUUUAAAAUGGUUUUAUUAGUUUAAAAAUUAUUUAAAAAGGAUAUAAAUGAAUUAAAAAUAUUUUAAGUUAGAAUUAAUAACGUUUAAUAUUUGGAUAAAUAGUAGAUUAAUAUUUUAAUAUUAAUGGUAAUUAUUUAAAAAUGAUUUUAAAUGUUUAAAAAAUUAUUUAAGGGUAAUAUUAGCACUUUAAAAAUAUUUUGAGUUAUUAUUAAUAACUUUAAUAUUUUGGCAAUGGUUUCAUUAAUAGUUUAAUAUUAAUUAAAUAUUAAUGAUAAUAUGAUUAUUUACUAUUUAAAUCAUUUAAUUAUGAUUCUAGUGUUUGAAAAUUCAUAAUAAAUUAUAAUAAAUGUUUAAAAAUUAUUAUAAGUCAUUUAAAAAUAAUAUGACUGAUAUUUGUAGAUAUUGAGAUACAGGAUAGAGUCUUAGACUCGAUAUUUACCUGAUAAAGCCGUCGGUAGACCGACAUGUUUCAAAAAUUGAUCUAGACUUAGAUAUUUUGACUGUAUUAAUAUUUGUUUGUGAUUCAAUGACUGUUGAAUAUGUGUGACAAUGUGAUUAGGUUAUAUGCUGACUGCAAUAAGCAGUGCUAUGUUAUUCUAAUCGAACGAAUGAUCUUAUUAAUGAUAGAUUUUGGUAUUAAAGAUAAAACUAAGUUGCGUAUUGUAAGCAGCAGACCAGGCAAGUAUCAUAUAUUUGCAUUUUGUUUAUGUGACGCCCCCAAAUCCGGGUUAUCUUUAACUCGGGUUUGGUGCUUACGAUUCUAGAAUACCCAUUCAUACUAAAAAUAAAACUGUCUUAUAUUACAUAAACAUUGAACUUAAAUCCCAGGUUCUAGAGACCUUUACAUACAAGCCAAAUAUUAUUACAUCAUAGUGCUACAGUAUUUAUUACAUGCACUACUUAGGUUCAUUUAAGCACAUGCGCUUAAUAAUUGACUACUCAACAACCUUGCCCUUUCCUUUGUCUUUUCCAGAUGGACCGGCAACCUCAAUUUUAACUGAAAACAUUAUAUUUAACGCAAGGGUGGGCAACAAGUUUGCCCAGCAAGGAAAUAAGCAGCUAAAUAUAAGAGAACAAAAAUAUUACAGUAAUGGGGAUAUCAUACAGAAGGUAUAGAACAAAGUAAUUCUUAAGAGUGUUGAGUCAAAAGUCAGGAUUUAUCAUGCUGUAAGGUCAAAUGACCAGUGAACACUAUACUAGAAUUUACAGUAAUAAUACUGCAAUCUAUGAAUACAAACAGUUAUAAAGCUGUUUUAUAUCCUAGACUCGUACUUCAGGGGAUCAGCCUAAGUACCCUAUAUUGUGCACAACAUAACAGUCUAAUAAAACUUUACAUGUCCUUCAGAAUCAUAUAUACGGUACAAUACGCCCCUAAAAAAGGGUUGUUCGUUCACAGCAUUAUAUAAGAAUCCAUACCACAAUAACAAAAUGGUUUGGAAAGAAUUAACUGAUAAAUUCAUAAACAAUAUCAAUAUAUCUCAACCUUUGUCCAAGCGAAGUAAUGGUAUUGACAUACUUUCAAUAUAACUUUUAUUCAAGAUAGAAAAGUUGAUAUACUAUUCUUUUGAAGCUGAUUGGAAUAAAAAGGCUAUUUAACCUUAUAUUAUUCAUAAAUAAGGACAAACAGUUCAGAAAUUAAAGAACCUGUCCACUGCAGAAUAUUUGCUCAAUAAAGAGUAAGGAUUAGAAACUUGCCUUGUUUGUAGUCUAUCGUUUAGGAUUUCAGCUUAAUUGAAGUAUUUCUCAAAGUCCUACACAGUUAUUUGUAUUAACAAGCAUGUUAAUCACAUAGCUAUGUUAUAUAGUUUGUAAGCUCACAUAUCACAUAAUUUCAGUGAUUAUGGUUGUAGUUAAAUUAUUAUUUUUGAUACAUUUUUCAAAUAUCUCAUCCAUGCUUUCAAGAGACAUUUUUCACUUUGAUGGGUUUCAACAAGCUUUCAACAAGUAAUAGAAAUCAUAUUACAGUCAUCAUUUGCAUUAACCAAGUAUGUUAGCCACAUAGCUAAGUCAUAUAUCAUGUAGUUUUAAUGGUCAUGGUUAGAUUUCCUAUAUUUGAUACAUUUUUCAAAUACCUCAUCCAUGCUUUCAAGAGACAUUUUUCACUUUAUUAGUGUUCAAUAUGCAAUACUUUACAACUACCAUCUCCAUUUCCUUAGUAACAUAGUAUAUAAUCAUUUUAUGUUUCCUUUACUUAAUUUCUAGCAUAUAAGGUGUUUUCAUAGCUUAUUGUCGGUUUUGAAGGUAUUUCUUAUAUGUAUGGUUAACCUAUAGUCUUCCUCAUAGUUUAUAGAUUCAUUUUGACACACCAGUGUAUCAAUUAUCACUGUUUUCACCUAUGAUGCUAAAACAGCCCUUUGAGGCUUUAAUUUUUUUAAACAUGACUUAAUGAUCCCAAUUUAGGUUUACUGUUUAUAUUAGAUUUCAUUUAGAAUUUUUCUCCUACACUUGCUUGCAUCAUAACUCUACUCAUUUAGAGAAACAUAAUCUAUCCUUUAUAGAUAAUCUGGUUACUAAAACUAAAUUUGGAUUCAAACAUGAAUUUUACAAAACAGUCAUUAUUGUAGCUGCUAUACCACAACUGUUGUUUCCCAUUCUACUUGUUGUGGCUAUUGGUAUCAGCUAUAUGCUGCCACUAUUAGGCAGUAAGUCACAUCACUCAUGCCCAAAAAUGCUUCUAAAUUAACCUUUUCAGCUGGCUUUGCAGGCUUUGCAGCCCUUAAUUGAGCCUUACAGCUCAAUAAUCUCUGUAACACAUUUCAGUUAUUAGUCUUAUCUUAUAACUUGCUAUUCCAUUAACAUUUUCUAUGUAUGAAUGCACUGCCAACUGCUACUGCUGGUGUUGCUGUUGCUGCCAAUGGGCAGCGACUAUUAUUUUCUUACCAUAAGCUGUUUGGUCUGUUUCAAGUGCUGCAGUCACAUGUCAUCAUGCUCCAUCAACUAGAGUAAACAAAAAUGCAUGAACUUAACUUACUAACUGCAGCCCAAGAAAAACAAACUCAGCUGUCAAAAUGACAGUGCAGUCAUCUACUUGAAGUUGCCAAGGACAACAGCUAUCCGAAGCUUUUUGCUACUGUCAUUAGCAGCCUCCCUUGCUCCUUAACCCAUUCCCAACAAUCCUCUAACCUCAGUUUUGCUAUAUUUCUAGGAAUAGGCCUCAUGGCUAUAAUCUUUUAGAGUUAUAAGGUUAUCCCAGUUGGCCUAUUAAGCUUUGGCUCCUUGGUUUAGUGACUGUUUCAACAGAGUAGGCAAAGGAGUUUGUCAAGCUAGAAUUACUUAGCCUAAAAACUGAACUAUGCUAAAAAUUUCUAUGCCAAAACAUUACAGUCAUCACAUAUGUUGGGUAAAUCAGGUAAAUAGUGUACUAGUUCUACUAUUCAGUUUCUUUUUACUAAAACAGUCCUCUUAGGUCUUUUAUCAAACAGUUGGUGGGCAUGGUUAUAAGCUACUAGUUCCAUAGCCAUUUGUUUAUAUUCCAACUCAUAUUUUCCCCUUAUUACUCCACAGCCCACUUAUCUCCUUGUGCUUAAAUUAUAACAAUAUCAUAAUGGCAUAACAAUCAAUGAAAUGUUACAACAGUUUAUAUAUAGCAGCUUAACACCCACAUAGCAGUCCUCAAAUCCAUACUAGGCCUUUUAGGCUAAAUGAUCAAAACAGUCCUUAAGUUUUUAACACAAGGAUUAAUAUAACAUGUACAUACUAUGUUUUAUGGUUUAAAGACCCCAAUACCAACCAUCCUGUCUUGACACUAUAACAGCUUUAGACUAGCAAUUUGGUCAUGGUUUAUCACACCAAACCAAUAGCAAGCACUGAUAUGUAUGCCUUUCUAACACUAAAACAUUUUACCUACCAUAUUUUCAUGGUUUAAAGCAUCUAGAGGCAAGGUCCUUAAGUUUAAAAUCAAAACAGCCUCUCAUAGGCUUUUAAAGUAAUAUAAGAUAGCAUGCUUGGGCAACAUGAAAACAAGGACUGCCUACUAUGAAUAUAUUAGAAGUAAGGCAUGAUCAUCAUAAUAAACUUCUAAUAACAGUCCACAUAAUGCAAUAACAGUUCAUAUAAGGCAAUAAUAAUUUAUAUAGCAACUAAAGUCCUUCUAACAGUCAUUUAUGCUUAUUCUAGUCACCACAACAAGUAUACUGUCUUAGUCCAUUCUGUAUACUAGUUCUGGGCAUGGUAAUAUAUUUUACAAUCAUAAAUAACCAACCAUCUUGGACUCCUUUCCAGCCACACUGUUUUGCCAUUAUAGCAGUUUUAGACUAGCACCUUAGGCACAGUUCAUCACAGCAAAACAGUAGCAACAUAGCAUAGCGUAUCAGUCCAGUUAUUACAAUAACAGUUGGUAUAUCACAAGGAUGAUGCUACAGCUAUUCAAGUCUCUUUUAGGCCAUUUUGGCAAGGUUUUAGUAAUAAGUUAUCAAAGCGGUCAUUAGUGUGCAAUACAAAGAUUAUUACCUCAUGUACAUGCUAUAGAAUAUAUGUUCAUGUUUUAAGAGCCUAUAUACAAGGUUUCUUGCUGUUAGUUCAUAACAAUCCCUUAUAGGCUUCAAUUUAAUACACGGAAGCAUGAUCUGAAAAAUUUAGUUAUCAAAAUAACAUGUUUAAACAUAAACAUAUACUCGAGGUAUUCUUUUUCUUUCUAUAUAAUCAAGUAGACAUGCUAUUAGGCUCUAUUUACAGCUAGCAUACCUUGAUACCAUAACAGUCCAAUUAGAGCAAUAUUUUAGGCAUGGUCUAUUACAACAAAAUGGUAGCAAGCACUGACAUGUUUUCCUUUCUAACACAGGCACCUUUUAUUUAUCAUAUAUUCAUGAUUUAAAACAUCUAAAGGCAAAAUCUCUUUGCUUUAAGCCAACACAGCCCUCUUUAGGACCCACUUUCCAAAAAUAACCAUGGUUUACCCUUAUGUUUACAAGGAUAACAUGGAUGUGCAACAUAGAAGUUUAGACUAUCUUCUUUAUAUGGUAUUUAAGAUGCAAAAAUAUAUUUGGAUGUCAUAGAAUGCCUUACCCCAUAUAUAUCAGUCCUUAUUAAGCCUCAAAUCUAGCAUACCAGUUUCUCAGAAUAGUGGCCAAGUCUUGGUUAAUUGCUUAGAUUACAUAUAUGCUAGUAUACAAUAGUUAUACCCAAUACAUCAUGCCACAUAUAACAUAUAAGCAGUCCUUUAUUAAUAAUCAUAGCAUAACAGUCCAUUUAACAUCAUAGCAAUUCAUAUGGUAACACAGAUCAUGCUAACCGAAAUCAUAAUAUCAUUAACUUUUUAGCAGCUCCUUAGCUUGACAAAUUAUCAAACACCUAGAGUGCAGUCUAUAUACUUGCACUUAAUACAUAAUUUCUAGCCCUCUGCCCCCAGCCGUAUGGCUUAAACAAUAUCAAGCAUAAGACCACACUUAUCAGUACCAAACCCAGCAGUUCAAAUAACAUGAAAGCAGUCAGUUAUCAUAACAGCCAUACACGUUUUUGGUCAUUGACAAUUCAUUUUACUAAUUAAUUUAAUAGCCAUCCUAAUCAUUUAUCAAUUCAGUUGUUACCCGGAAUGAAUGGAAAGAUUAGAAAGGCCAGAAUUGGCUUACCUUGCUGAUUCGAAGGUAUCAAGUGGUUGAGCUGCUUAAUUCCUUUUCCCCUCUAGCCGAACUCUUCACUCUUACUCUAUAUGACCGUUGCUGCUAAUUCUUUUGGACUCAGUUAAGUGAUGAGGCUAAUUGAUUUUGGGUAAUAACCUGGCCUUUUUAUGGCUGAGCUUAGCUUCCUUACAGUUGAUCGCAUCACCUUCUACUUGCCCCCUAACAUAUAAUCUAUUACCUCUAGCAGUUAGACUGCUCUGCAGCCACCCUACAAGACCCUAGUCUCUCUGCCAUGCCUUAUCUGUUGCUAACCUGUCUACUAACUAAUAACUGACUAACUUAUAGACUAACUACUGCUAACAACAGAACAGCCUCAGCUCCUAAGUUUACCCCUGUGGGCUGUUGGAAAAAAUCCUAAGGCAAGGCUGGGCAGUGGUUUCAUUUUGGGCCUAGUCCCUUUAACCCAAAGUUUUACUUGUUAAUUUGCUAUACUCCAAUGGGUUUACAGGAUUGGGUUUUGGACAUCCAUUUCACUCUUUAACACUUGGAGCUGCCGAAUUGGGCUAGCAAAUAGACUACAUGCAACGAUCAUGGCAAAAUUAUUAAGGCCCAAUAUUUUAAUAUGGACUCUUGUUACAUUAAAACACAUGGACUAUUAUUUUCUCUAGCAACAAUAGUUAUAACAUAUAUCAUUAAAAUGACUAUUCUAUGUAAUCUUAAAUAAUUCAUGAUGGCACAUAAUUUCUUUGCCCUUUAUAACUCAAGAUGCUAAACGAACUAUUAAAUAAAUAAUAUUUUUAUCACAAUGAGAAUUAACAUAUCAUAAAAAAAAAUUUAUACUCAAAAAUUGACAUUACAAUAAUUAAAUAUUACAUAGGAUGAACUACAGGCCAAUGAGGACUUUUACCACAUCAUUCGUCACAUUACGGUCAUUAUUAUACCGAAUCAUCCCUGGUCAUAAUCAUACCAAGUCCAUCUAUGCACGUAAGCCAAAGAUGACUUUCAUCACAAUAUAAGCAUGAGGAUGAUGACAAUAAUAUAAGCAUUAAUCAAACGAAAAUAAUGAUAAAUUUUAAAGACUUUAAAUUUAUCCAAAUGUUUAUCAAUCACUUAAUAAACUCAUAAUCUAAUAUUAUUAAUAUUAUAACAAUAUUUUAAUCACUUCUUGAACUUAUAAACAAUUUAUUCUAAUUGUUUACACUUUCCCAAAUAAUACAUUUUAAUCAUUCAAAAAUACCAUACUCAUAAGAUUUCAUCACCAAUGAUCAAAUCCCUUAUCAAAAAUCUGCAUAUACCUUAUAUAGGAUUUCCAAGCCAUAAAAUCCAUUUUACCAAUUUUUCAACUUCACAUAACAUAUUUAAUUCAUAUGUUCGUAACUAAACUAUUUUCAUGAAAAAUACCAAAUCAGUCCAAAAAAUUAUUCUUUUUUGGGAUUUAGCAGAAUAUAGUCCCAUAUUGAACAUAUAUUUUUCUCAUAAUUUUUAAAAUUCAUUUACUAUUUUUCAUAUGGCCAAAACUGCCGAAUAUUUAGACAUUUAUCAUAAAUUGUACUUUUGUCCAAAAAUUCCGAAAUUUACAAGGUAUACUCCUAUUAUAUAUGUGUACUCCCAAUAAAAAUUUAACCAAUUUUGGAGUUAACCACAAGGAGUUAUAAGGGUUUACUUUUAAAAUAGUUUUUUCCCAUAAAAUUCAUAACUCCUAAUCUAUACAUCCAAAAAUUGCCAUUUUUGGACACAAUCUAGAAAUCUCAACAAACUAUCAUUUCAAAUGUUUCCAAAAUUUUUGAGGGUCAGAAAAAUUACGAAACUGCAAAUAGAUUUUCACCCGUCAUUCGGUAAUCCAGGUAGACAGAUCAUUUCCACAAUUUAAUAAGGAAUGAAUACAAAGGAUCAUUCACCAUGCAUGCGGUAAUCCACAUAGACAGGUUAUUCCAACAGAAUAAUAAAAAAUAGAAUAACAACAGAAUUCACCAGGCAUACGGUAAUCCGCGUAUACAGGUUAUUCCAAUAGAAUAAUAAAUAAUGGAACCAGGUCAUGCGUAAUCCGCAUAGACAGGAUAUUCCAACAGAAUAAUAAAGAAUGGAAUAACAACAGAAAUUCACCAAGCAUACGGUAAUCCGCGUAUACAGGUAAUUCUAACAGAAUAAUAAAGAAUGGAAUAACAAUAGAAUUCACCAGGCAUACGAUAAUCCGCGUAUACAGGUUAUUCCAACAGAAUAAUAAAGAAUGGAAUAAUAGAAAAUUUUCACCACGUAUGCGGUACUUCGCAUAGACAGGUUACUCCAAUAUAAUAAUAAAGAAUGAAAUAACAAAAGAAUUUCACCAUGUAUGCGAUACUUCGCAUAAACAGGUUAUUCCAACAUAAUAAUAAAGAAUGGAAUAACAACAGCUCUCUUCAUGAAUACGAAAGAAAUAAUAAUACCCCUUACCUUAGAAGAAACUGGAUACUGGAAUAGUGAGGUAGCAGGCUUCUCUUCUUCUUUCUCUCUAUAAUUUCUCUCUAUAAUAAUUGCUCUAUAGCUUUAGUGAAUUGGUGAGAAAUGAAGGAAGAAUGAGCUUCUGUUUAUAGGAAAACAUAGUUUCAAUAAUUGCACAUUUUGGGGCUCGAAAUAUUACAUUAUAAUACCUUCCUCUUUUUCUUUAUUUUUAAUUUAGCCCUGCAAGUAUUAUCAAACUUGCACCACCUCCUCUAAUAGUAAAUCAUGUGAAUUAAUAGUAAAUCAUGUGAAUCAAUAGUUCUAGACAUGUGAAAAUACGAAUUACAGUAUAGUACCUCCAUCUAUACCUCUAUUUUUAACUUAGUCAUGCAAGUAUUAUCAAUCUUGCACCAACUCCCCUAAUAGUACCAUAAUGUGAAUCAAUAGUACACACAUGUGAACAAAUAGUUAUAAUCAUAUGAAUUAAUAGCAAUUAAAAGCUCAUUUAUCCGGAUAAUUACCCGAUUGGUCAAUAUAACCUCCAGACAUCAAUUAUCAUCGAAAUAAAUGUCGAUUCCCACUAACACUAAUAAUUCCAACACAAUGGAACUAUCAAUUUCAUCUUUAAUCAACACAAAUUUAUUCAUCAUUAAUAUUAUAACUCAUAAUAUUUAACAACAAGAUCGUUCCCAGGAAAGAGGGGGCCUUCCGGUAAGGAUUUCUCCUCACUGGUGCGCAAUUACCUAACCUCUCCUUGACAGAACUUCUAGACAUUGUCAAUAUUGCAAUUUAAUAAUAUUAAUAAGUUUACCAUCUUAAUUAUUUAUUUAAUAAUAUAACAUAUUAUGCAGAUGAUACUGUGACAAUAAUUGAAUCAAUAAUAUGAGAGAUAUGAUGUAAUAAUUACUGUAGCAAUAAUUGAGUAUAACUGAGUGACUUCUUACGUAAGCAUUAAUAAUCAAUACCGUGUGCUACUCAAUUCGUCAGCUACCACGUUCGCUCUUUCAUGAUGAUAUUGAAUGGUACGAUCGUAAUCUUCUACAGCUCAAGCCAACGUCUUUGGCACAUUAUACGAUUAUUUUAGGUAAAGAAAUAUUUGAGGGUUUUAGAAAUGAGUUUUGUACUUGGGUCAAUACAAAAUAUGAUUUCACGCUCUGGGGUAGGCAAGGAAGUUCUUCGAGAAUACGUCAGAAUAUUUAUUAACAAUAGAAAUAUCAUUUAAAAACUGUGACUCUCAUCCAAGACUUGGACAACACAUGAAAUGAAGGUUUCUACUAACGAAGUUUCAACCAAUAAGUCAAAGUCUAACUUCUCUGGGGUCAAAUUUAAAUGUUGAGCGCAAGCAAGAGAGAUAAAAGAAUGGGUAGAACCGGUAUCUAAUAAGGUAUAGACUUCGCAAAAAUUUAUAAUUAACUAACCCGUGCUAACUUCGUUCGGGUUACUCGCUUUUUGAGAAGUCAUGAAAAACGCUCUUCCUGAAACCACCGACUUUGUUUUGUCCAUAUCCGCCUUUGGUGCCACCGUCCCAGCUGGACUUGACUUUGGUGCACGACAAAAUCGGGCUAAGUGUCCUUUUCCAUAAUUAUAACAUGUUUUGGACUGCAUCACGCAGUUUGGACUGAUAUGUCCCUCCCCUCCGCAUUUGAAGCAUACAAUUGGUGGUCGUUCUCCUUCCUUGAAAACGGGUGUUGGUGCUGCUGUCUUUGCAUCUUUGUUGAACCUUCUCUUCUUGAAAUUUCCACUCCUAUUAUCUUGGUCAUGAUUACCACCGAAGUGGUUACCAUUCUUGGUGUAAGACCCCAACUUUUAUGAAUAAAAAAUGAAUUUUCUAUAAAUAUCAUUUUUGAAUAUUAUGGAGUAAAUUUGAUAUAAUGUUAUAGUUGUGGGUAAUAUUUAUAAAUUUUGAAAAGUACGCAAGUUGUUAUAUAAUAUUCGUUUGGUCGGAAAAUAUUCUUUUUGUCGGGAAUAUCCGUACGACGACACAAUCAUUGGUGGACCCCCACAACGGAAGUAUUGUCGUAGUAAGAAAACGACAGAAUUAUCUUUUUAUAAAAAUAACGGCUAAAGUUUUACCGUUAAAACUGUUGAACUACUCGGUAGUAAAAGUACAGUAAUACGUGUGGUUGCAUAGUAGCACACGAUAUUGAUUAUUAAUACUUACGUGAGAAGUCACUCAGUUAUACUCAAUUAUUGCUAUAGUAAUUGUUGCAUCAUAUCUCUCAUAUUAUUGAUUCAUUUAUUGUCACAGUAUUAUCUGCAUAAUAUGUUAUAUUAUUAAAUCAAUAAUUGAGACGACAAAGUUAUUAAUAUUAUUAAAUUGCAAUAUUGACAAUGUCUAGAAGUUCUGUCAAGGAGAGGUUAGGUAAUUGCGCGCCAAUGAGGAGAAAUCCUUACCGGAAGGCCCCCUCUUUCCUGGGAACGAUCUUGUUGUUAAAUAUUAUGAGUUAUAAUAUUAAUGAUGAAUAAGUUUUGUUGAUUAAAGAUGAAAUUGAUAGUUCCAUUGUGUUGGGAUUAUUAGCGUUAGUGGAAAUCGACAUUUAUUUUGAUGAUAGUUGAUGUCUGGGGGUUAUAUUGAUAAAUCGGGUAAUUUAUCGGAUAAAUGAGCAAUUAAUUGCUACUAAUUCACAUGUUUAUAUAACUAUUUGUUCACAUGUGUGUACUAUUGAUUCACAUUCUGGUACUAUUAGGGGAGUUGGUGCAAGAUUGAUAAUACUUGCAUGACUAAGUUAAAAAUUGAGGUAUAGAUGGAUGUACUAUACUGUAAUUCGUAUUUUCACAUAUCUAGAACUAUUGAGUCACAUGAUUUACUAUUAAUUCACAUGAUUUACUAUUAGGGGAGUUGGUGCAAGAUUGAUAAUACUUGCAGGACUAAAUUAAAGAUAAAGAAAAAGAGGAAGGUAUUAUACUGUAAUAUUUUGAGCCCCAAAACGUGCAAUUAUCAAAACUAUAUUUUCCUAUAAAUAGAAGCUCAUUCCUUCAUUAUUUUUCACUAAUUCACUAAAGCUAUAGAGCAUUUAUUAUAGAGAGAAAUUAUAGAGAGAAAGAAGAAGAAAAGUCUACACUUCACUACUCCAGUAUCCAAUCUUCUUUGAGGUAAGGGGUAUUAUUCUUUCGUAUUCAUGAAGAGAGUUAUUUUUUUUCAAUACUCGUUAUUCCAUUCCUUAUUAUUAUGUUGGAAUAACAUGUCUAUGCGAAGUACCGCAUACAUGGUGAAAUUCUUCUAUUAUUCCAUUCUUUAAUAUUCUGUUGAAAUAUCUUGUUUGUGCGUUUUACGCAAGACCUGGUUCCAUUAUAUAUUAUUCUGUCAGAAUAUCUUGUCUGUGCUUUACGCAUGACCUGGUUCCAUUAUUUAUUAUUCAGUUUGAAUAACAUGUAUACGCGGAUUACCGUAUACCUGGUGAAUUUUGUUGUUAUUACAUUCUUUAUUAUACUCAGUUGGUUAAAGUUUUGGCUUUUAUACUCUAUGAAAUUAGUGGAAUAUCCUUGAUAUUUGCGCUUCAUCCAAUAUCUUUUCAUGGAAAUAUUCUUCUGAGCAUUCUUGAAUUUUACAUCACAAAGCAGUAUCAUGUUGACAUUUUGGACGUUAUUGGUUCCUGGAUAAAUUAAUUCUUGAACUUGUUUUAUUGAAUUCUUAUAUCAUUAUCAUCAUCCUCAUGUUUAUAUUCUGUUGAGAGUCAUCUGUGGCCUGUAGUGCAUAGAUGGACUUGGUAUGAUUAUGACCAGGGAUUAUUCGGUAUAAUCAUGACUGUAAUAUUACAAAUAAUAUGGUAAAAGUCCUCAUUGGCCGUAGUGCAUUGUUGGACAAUUGUUGGUAUGAUCAUGACCAUUGAUGAAUACACGAAUAUCCUUGGUCGUAGUGCAGGGAUGAUGUUGAUUAUUUAUUAACCUGAGUCUCAGCGAUGAAAAUGAUGAAAAACCUUUUUAAAUCAUAGAAGAUAAUAGAUUUUAUGCUCUAUUUGACUCUUUUAAUGGAUUGCUUAUUUUCGCUGCAGUUUUUGAUCUAAAACUUGUUGUUUAUUAUAUUCUAUCAGUUGUUAUACUGUUGAAGGCUAAGGAUAAUUUAUUCUGCAUUAACUUAGUCAUAAUAUUUCUUACUGGGCUUGUUGAGCUCACCCUUUUCUUUCAUGGUUCUCUUCAGGAAAUGAGAACGUAGCUGAGACUAGUCAGGGAACAGAGUGACGGCCCAGAUGUUUGCAUUAAUUGUCCUCACUAUUCUGUGAAAUAGUGUGAUAAUAAAUGUAAUGAGGACUCCAUUGAGUGUGGAUAUUGUCUAGAUGACAAUAUUCUUCUUAAAACUCUUAGAUUAUGUUUUGUCGUAUUUUACACGACUGUUGUAUAAUUAAGUUGUAUUUGAAUUUUGUACCAUAUAUCCGGCGACUCAAGAUGGGUGAUGUAUACCUAUUUUGAGGGCAUCAUAGUUGGUAUCAAAGCUUAGGGAUAUGAUCCCUGGUUGAGAUGUGAGAUAAGAACUAGGAGGGGAGAGACGGGGAAUUCCUUUGUUAGUAUAACCUACCUAAGUUUAUUUGGUAUUUAAUUGGUCGGUCACAAUAUAUGGAUAAUAUGUGACAUGUCAAUUAACCCUUGUUUUGUGACAGUAUUUGAAAAUGGCAUCCGAAAAUGUUGAGAAUAGCAAUGGAGCACAGGAGACCGUUGAGUCACCAUAGAUUAAUACCCAGGAUAAUGUGUAACAGGAAGAAAAUAAUCCUCAGGUAAACAAUAACACCGAUGAAAUGGGGAACGAUGGGAUGUUCAGAGGCUUUAUGCAAUUCAUGCAACAUCAGGCGAGGGCGGCUCCUGUCCAAAAUGCAGGUGGAAACACUGACAACUCUCGGACGGUCACCGCUAAGCAGUUCAAGGAGCUGGGACCACCGGAGUUUUUUGGAGAGCCAAAACCACUUAAGACAGAGACGUGGAUAAAGAAGAUCAACAGGAUAUUUGAUGUCUUGGGAUGCUCCGAGGAACAAAAGGUUCCUUUUGUCACCUUCAUGUUGCGAGCAGAGGCAGAUUACUGGUGGGAAUCCGUAAAGCGUACUCAACUUGCCGCACUGAAAAUGUCUUGGGAGAAGUUCCAAGAACUGUUCAACGAAAAGUACUUUCCCGAAAGUAUUCGUCAAAUGAAAGAGGUAGAGUUCAUCAAGCUUGAGCAAAAAAAUAUGACUGUGGCGCAGUACAAAGCUAAGUUUGUCGAGUUAUCUCGGUUUGCGUCCCACUUGAUUGAUAAUAAGGAGAGAAUGACGCGGAUGUUUUCAAAGAGGUUUGAAACCCGAGAUACGUCAAUACCUAAUUUCUCACAAACCGUGUUUGUAUUCAGAUGUUGUGAAUAGGGCUCAGUUAUUGGAGCGCGAUAAUGAAUCAACCCAACCAAGAGAGAGCAGCCGACAAGUCGAUAAUACCAGUGGUAGCAGUCAUCGAAGCGGUGACAACAAGCGUGGAGGGAAUCAACAUGCCAAAAAUGGUAAUCACUUCGGUGGUAAUCAUGGCCAUGACAAUAAGAGUGGACAUUUCAAGAAGACGAGAUUCAACAAUGAUGGAAAGACGUCAGCACCAGCACCUGUUGUUAAGGAAGGAGAACAAUCGCCGGUCGUAUAUUAUAAAUGCGGAGGGGAGGGACAUAUCAGUCCAAACUGCGUGAUGCAGUCCAAAGCAUGUUACAAUUGUGGAAGAGAAGGUCACCUAGGCUGAUUUUUUCGUGCACCAAAGUCAAGUCCAGCUGGGAUGGAGGCAUCAAAGGCCGUCCCAGACAAGACAAAACCGGUAGUUCAACGGAGAGCGUUUGUCGUAACCUCCCAAAAAGUGAGGAAUCCGAAUGAGGUGAUCACGGGUAAGCUAAUCAUAAACUCUAGCAAAGUCUAUACCUUAUUUGAUACCGGCUCUACCCAUUCUUUUAUUUCUCCUAUUUGCGCUCAACGUUUAAAUUUGACUCCGAAGAAGUUAGACUUUGACUUAUCGGUUAAAACUCCAUUGGGAGAAACCUUCAUUACAUCCACUAUUUAUAAGUCUUGUUUGAUUCAAAUCGGUAACCGUACAUUACCUGUCGAUCUUUUUUCUUUGAAAAUACUUGCAUUUGAUGUGAUUUUAGAGAUUAAUUGGUUAACUACUCAUCAUGCUAAAAUCGAUUGUUUUCGUAAGGUUGUUAGCUUUCAUAUUCCUAACCAACCUAUUAUGCGAAUUCAAGCAACCAAACAACUAAAAUCAAUCACUAUCAUAUCAAGCCAUAAAGCUAUUCAUUUAUUAAAAAAUGGAUGUCAAGCUUUCUUAGCCCAUGUCACGGAUUUAAAUAAAAAUACGUCAGAUUUGAAUGAUAUUUCUAUUGUUCAUAAAUUUCCUGACGUAUUCCUUGAAGAAAUUCCUGGCCUACCCCUAGAGUGUGAAAUUGAAUUUUGUAUCGACCUUGAAUGUGGUACAAAACCCAUUUCCAAAGCCCCAUAUCGAAUGGCUCCUAUUGAACUUCAGGAGUUAAAAACCUAACUACAGGAAUUAUUAGACAUCAGUUUCAUUCGUCCUAGUACAUCUCCUUGGGGUGCUCCUGUUCUAUUCGUGAAGAAGAAAGAUGGAAGUAUGCAACUUUGUAUUGAUUAUCGGGAGUUGAAUCAUGUCACCAUCAAAAAUAGGUACCCGUUGCCUCGCAUUAAUGACCUGUUUGACCAGUUGCAAGGAGCUAAAUUCUUUUCAAAGAUUGAUCUUCGUUCCGGAUAUCAUCAGUUGAAGAUUAAAACUGAUGACAUUCCAAAGACUGAUUUCAGAACUCGGUAAGGGCAUUAUGAAUUUCUAGUCAUGUCUUUUGGAUUGACUAAUGCUCCUGCUGCCUUCAUGGACAUGAUGAACCGAGUAUUCAAGGAAUAUUUGGAUCACUUUGUGGUCGUCUUUAUUGAUGACAUCCUCAUAUACUCCAAAAGCCGUGAAGACCAUGAUCAACACUUGAGGCUGAUACUUCAAAAACUUCGUGAGAACAAGCUUUAUGCCUAGUUAAAGAAAUGUGAGUUCUGGCUUGAGGAAGUUGCAUUCCUUGGGCACGUGAUAUCAAAUCAUGGAAUAUCUGUUGAACCAGCAAAGAUUGAAGGAAUCCAAAGCUAGGAGCAACCAAAGUCAGUGACUGAAAUACGUAGCUUUCUUGGCUUAGUUGGUUAUUAUCGGAGAUUCGUGGAAGGAUUUUCUCGAAUCGCUACUCCAUUAACUCAGCUGACUCGAAAAGAUACAAAGUUCAGUUGGAGCGAGAAAUGUGAGAAGAGUUUUCAAGAACUCAAGAGAAGACUCAUUUCAGCACAUGUUCUGACAAUACCAUCUGGCUCGGAGGGAUUUGUCAUCUACAGUGAUGCUUCAGGCAAAGGGGUUAGGAUGUGUUCUCAUGCAACAUGGAAAAGUCAUAGCCUAUGCCUCACGACAACUCAAAGAAUAUGAGAGGAAUUAUCCUACUCAUGAUCUAAAGUUGGCAGCAGUCGUUUUUGCGCUUAAGAUUUGGAGGCAUUACCUGUAUGGAGAGAAGGUGGAGAUCUAUACGGAUCAUAAAAGCCUCAAAUAUUUCUUCACUCAAAAGGAACUCAACAUGCGGCAAUGACGAUGGCUUGAGCUGUUAAAAGAUUAUGAUCAUACCAUCCAAUACCAUCCUGGAAAAGCGAACGUAGUAGCUGACGCAUUGAGUAGAAGAUCAUAUGCGGGUACGAGUGCAAUAUUGUCAACGCUAAGACCCAUUUUGUAUGACUAACGAAGGAUGGAGAUAGAGUUAAAAACUCCAGGGACCCAUGUGAUAAUGACGGAUAUACGAGUAGAACCGACUUUAAUCAAUAAAGUUAAAGCUGCUCAAGCUACAGACCUGGAGCUGAUGCAUAUGAGGAAGAAAGUGCAAGAAGGUGCUAUUCCAGAAGCAAGAAUCGAUGAAGAAAGAAUACUUCGAGUCAACUCCAGACUUUGUGUUCCUAACGAUUUUGACUUGAAGUAUAAAAUCAUGAUGGAGGCAAACAACACACCGUUUGCAAUCCAUCACGGGAGUACCAAAAUGUAUCGUGAUCUUCGACAUACAUUUUGGUGGAGCAAUAUGAAGAGAGAGAUAGCGGGGUUUAUCUCAAGGUGUCUAACUUUUCAACGAGUCAAGGCGGAGCAUCAAGUGCCAAAAGGUCCAUUGCAACCACUUGAAAUUCCAGAAUGGAAGUGGGAGCACAUUACCAUGGAUUUCGUUACUGGUCUUCCCAAGGUUUCCCAAGGCGUAGAUGCGAUUUCGGUCAUUGUUGAUAGAUUGACCAAGUCUACUCAUUUCUUACCGAUACGAGAAACUUAUACACUUGAACGUCUUGCUAGUAUGUACAUAAAUGAGAUUGUAAGAUUGCAUGGCAUGCCAGUAUCCAUAGUUUCUGAUCGAGACCCAAGAUUCACUUCAAGAUUUUGGGUUAGUGUGACGCCCCCAAAAUAGGUCCACACGAACCAUUCUGAGUCGCCAGAUAUCACACUAUAAAAAUCAAAUACAAACUUUAUUUAUACAACUGUUGAACUGUCGUGCAGAGUACGACAACAGUUAACUGUGAGUUUUAAUACAAAUAUUGUCAUCGUAGACAGUAUCCAAACUCAAAUUGUUACAAUGCCAUAUAAAAUACAGCAGCAAAUAUUUUAAGACCCCAAAGAAGAACGAGAAGAUUACUAUCAUAUUCAUUCUAAUGAGGUGCACUUUUGACGCUUUCAAAGUCGGGUUCUCAUCACCCUUAUUGUUGUUCACCAACAUCAAUUAUUAAGUGACGUAUAAAAUACAACACACACAUCUUAGGUCUUUAAUACAAUUAUCGGUUGCAUAUCAUGCCGUUUUAUAAUGUAUUGAGAAAUUUCGACAGUCUCGGACCAUCACACUAUUUUCCUGUUAUCCCCGCUCGACCCAGCUACACUCUUAUUACCUAAAAGGAAUUGUGAAGCAAAAGGGUGAGCACAAUUAGCCCAGUAAGGAAUAUCAUGGCUAAGAUAAUUAAUUUAUCAACAGCCUUUAUCAGAAUAAAUCAGAGAUUUAGAACAUAUGGUAGAUAAUAAAACGUUUCAACCAUAGUUGCAGCGGAACGAGUAAUCCAUUAGAUGAGUCAAGUAGAACAUAAUGUCUACUAUCUCCUCUAGAUUAAAAGUCCAUCGUUGAUAUUUUAUUCCUGUAAUACUCAUCAACAGUUCUUUGUUAUACUUAAGACAAAUAAAACUUUCAACACUUGUCUUCACCUGAACCACCAAAGAUGUUAGUUAAAUUCACAAUUCAUAUUUAUAAUAAUGUGAAUUAACAGUUCCUUCUUUCCACCAAGACUUAAUAGAAUGUUUACUCAAUAUCUUUACCCCAAAGGCUGAAGGUAUUCAAAUGUAAUAACAAUGAUCAUACCAAUCAGUUGUCUAUCUUUGCAUUACGGGCCAAAGAUAUUCAACUAUAGAACCAAUGGUCAUGAUCAUACCAAUCACAUCAUUGAAUUAUCCAUGCACUACGGCCAAGGAUAUUCGUUAGUAUCACUAGUGGUCAUGAUCAUGUCAUACACCUGUCCAUCUUCACACUACGGGUCAAAGCUAUCAAAUAACAGAUCAUCUUUGCACUACAGGCCAAAAAUAUUCAACAACAUAUCGUCUUUGCACUACAGGUCAAAGACAUACUACUGUAAAACCAAUAACCAACAAUAUAAUAAAGAAUGGAAUAAUAAAAGAAUUUCACCAUGCGUGCGUAAUCCGCACAGAAAGGUUAUUCCAACAUAAUAAUAAAGAAUGGAACCAGGUCAUGCGUAAAUGCACAGACAGGAUAUUCCAACAGAAUAAUAAAGAAUUGAAUAACAACAGACUUCACCAAGUAUACGGUAAUCCGCGUAUACAGGUUAUUCCAACAGAAUAAUAAAGAAUUGAAUAACAACAGACUUCACCAGGUAUACGGUAAUCCACGUAUACAGGUUAUUCCAACAGAAUAAUAAAGAAUUGAAUAACAACAGACUUCACCAGGUAUAUGGUAAUCCGCGUAUACAGGUUAUUCCAACAGAAUAAUCAAGAAUGGAAUAACAACAGACAUCACCAGGUAUACGGUAAUUCGCGUAUACAGGUUAUUCCAACAGAAUAAUAAAUGGAACCAGGUCAGGAGAAAUUCGCACCGACAGGAUAUUCCGACAGAAUAAUAAAGAAUAAAAUAAUAGAAGAAUUUCACCAUGUAUGCGGUACUUCGCAUAAACAGGUUAUUCCAACAUAAUAAUAAAUAAUGUAAUACAUAAGGAUUUCACCAAGUAAAGGGUAUGACGCUUAUACAGUUUAUGUAUAGGGUAUGCCUCAUAUACAGGUUAUUCCAACAGAAUAAUAAAGAAUGGAAUAACAGAAGUUCUCUUCAUGAAUAAGAAAGAAUAACACCCCUUACUAUAAUAAUAUUAUCCCUUACCGUAAAAAAACUGAAAAUAGAGGUAGUGAAGUAGCAGAAUAGUCUUCUUCUUUCUUUCUAUAAUUUCUCUCUCUAGAGUUUCAGUGAAUUCGUAAGAAAAUAAUGAAGGAAUGAGCUUCUAUUUAUAGAAGAAUGGAUUGCAUAGUAACUAACUCAUGAACGGUCCAAAUUGAUUUACUUUAAUCUGACGGUCCAUAUUUAAAGCAAAAUCUUUUAAAUAAAAUAUAAUAUAUUCUAUUUAUAAUCUAAUAAAAUAAAUAACUUUAUGUAAAUACUAUGCAGGCACUAUGCAAAUACUAUGCAUAAUAAAAUAUAAUAUAAUCUAAUUAUUGUCUAAUAAAACGAAUAACUUUAGAAAAGUAUUAUGUUUUAUAUAAAAAGAUUUUACUAUUAGUCUAAUAAAAUGAAUAACUUUAUAAAAGUAUUCUGUUUUAUAUAAAAAGUUUUUCUGUUUUAUUACGUUAAUAAUACGAAUAAAACAAAACUUCAUCAUCGCUUACUUUGAAAAUUUUUCAAAUGUCACCCUUAACUUUAAACUUUUAUCAAUUUAAUCAUUUACCAAAAUAGAAAAAUUGAAUACUUUUAUUUCAUAAAAUUCGGGGUCUCACAGUUAGUUUGCAAAAAGCUAUGGGCACGGAUUUACGAUUUAGUUCGGCAUAUCAUCCUCAAACGGAUGGGCAGUCGGAAAGGACUAUUCAAACUCUUGAGGAUUUAUUAAGAUUAUGUGUCCUUGACUUCAAGGGAAGUUGGGACAAGUUCUUACCAUUGGUGGAGUUUUCCUACAACAAUAGUUAUCAAGCAAGUAUUGGCAUGACUCCAUUUGAAGCGUUGUAUGGAAGAAAGUGUCGUUCUCCAGUAUGCUGGGAUGAGGUGGGUGAAGCAACGUUGUUGGGACUGGAGUUGGUACGUAUGACUACGAAAAAGAUUCAAACGAUCCGACAACGUAUAAAAACCUCACAAGAUNNNNNNNNNNNNNNNNNNNNNNNNNNNNNNNNNNNNNNNNNNNNNNNNNNNNNNNNNNNNNNNNNNNNNNNNNNNNNNNNNNNNNNNNNNNNNNNNNNNNUAUAUAUAUAUAUAUAUAUAUAUAUAUAUAUAUAUAUAUAUAUAUAUAUAUAUUGUCCAAAAUUAAUUUUUAGUUUUUGAGAUGGCAUGUAACCAUCACAUAUAUAUUUCUCCUUAAUGUGAUUGCAUUUAAGCCAUAACAAAGAAAAAAGUUUAAAAUAAUCUUUGGUGACAGCCAAGACCAUCACGAAAAGAAAACCACAUGUGAUGGACCUUUAUGAUUACAUUUAAAGUAAUCUCAACAAAUGGUAUUAUAUGAUGGACUUUUUCAACAAUCACAAAAUAAUAAUAUACAUGACGGCUCCUAGUAGUGGUUAUUUUUUCCAUCACCAUAAACUAUUUGUGACGGACAAGACAAUCACUAAAAAACAAGCAUAUAUGAACAACAAAUAUAUUAGGCGAGGAAUUUACUAGCAAUCACAAAAUAGUAGUAUAUAUGGUAGAUGUUACUCAAUGUCUAAUUGUGCCAUUAUUAUUAAAUAUUUAAGACAAUCAUUACAAUCACUAAAUUUUUCGCGUAAAUUGUACAUCUCUUUUUUAAGUCCCCAUUAAUCUUUAUUUUGCUUUGUUCUCUUUGUAAACUCAUUGUUUUUAUUGUGAAUUCAAAGGAUUUAGAGUUUAUCUCGUUUUUAUAUAACUAACUAUUUACGUUUGUUCUCUUUGUCUCGGUUGGUAUAUAUCUACUUCUUUCUAUGCAAGAAGUCUAGAGUCCAAAUCUCCACCCAAAAAAGAAACAGUGCAAAUGAUGGAGCAAAAUUCUUGCUGUUGGGGAAGAGCAGAUGGACUAAUUGAUGUAACCUUCAAAUUGGUGGGAAGAAAUCUGAAAUGGAAGGAGCAGUAAGCAGGAUUUUUUUUUUUACUAAAUUUAAAUUGUAUUAAAGGAGAAAGAAUGUACAAAAAUCAUGGGAAAACCCAAUCAGAAUAUAGUAUAUACAUCACCUCAAUCAGAAUAUAACAUAGACAUCAUAGGACAUGCCAUAUGAUGUCAUGACUAAAAAAGAAAAUAAGGCCAGAUGCCCAAACAAAAGAGAAACAAUCUCAACAUUCAUGAGAAUACAAUGCAUAGAAAUCAGACACAAAACCAAGAAAAACCUCAUCCAAAGUAGCAGCAGCCCACAAUAGCAGCAAAAGAAAAAUCAGUCCAAAGACCAAAAGGCAUCAUCCAUAACAGAACCGAAAGAGCCUACUGCAGACUAGCAGCACAAUAGAGCACAAGGCCCAACAAGAGAAGCCAACAACAGUUUAGCAAAGCAAAACAGCAGACAGGACAUGGAAAGCAAGAGCAACAAACCCCAAGAGCCCAAUGGCAGCCAUAGAAGUGCAGCAGCUGCAGCCGACAUCAAAUAAAACAGCAGUAAACGAUAGCAGCCAUAAGUACAGCACCACCCCCCAAAUCUGCAGCAUCAAGACAUAGAAAUAGUCACAAUACUGCAGACCAAAACACGCAAACAAUGCAGCAUAAGCAACAAACAGAGCAGCAAAUAGGUCUAUUUUCCUGCUUGUUUUCAAGGUUGUGUAGUAUUUAUUGUCAUUUUAGUAUUUUACAUAUAUGUCCAUUAUGGGUAAAAUAAGUUGUUUGGCAUGGGCAAUGAUGCCAGUGAAGGUUUUCUUUCUUCAGUGCUUGAUGGAAGCUCUCGAGCUGUAGUCACUACAAAGAUGAGGAGAUGCUGAAACCAUUUUCGAGCACAGUGAGAUAUAAUAGUUACAUAUAUGAAUAUGCCAUCUCAGAUGAUCAUGUUGGUGUAACACAGAAGCAUGUCUUCCAUGUGCUGGUACCAUUUCUCCUUCCUUUUCUGACAGUAGGCCUAUGAUUUCUUCUGGGAGUGCUGAGAAAGAGACUGCUAGACUAGAAUAUUGUAUACGGCACUAGAAAUAGGGCAGUCUUUCUGUAAACUGCAGAGCUAUGGUUCCUUGGAAUGAUCAUUGCUUUACAACGCAUUGAGUUUUUUUUUUCUACAUUUCUUUUUCCUGGAAAAGCCUAUUUGAGGGAGGAAAUAGGAGAAGUAGAAAUUUGUUGUGGGUAGAGAUGUUUUGGAUUUGUCCUUGGUUUCAGUAAUUAAACAUCUGCCAUUUUUAUUUGCGAUUAUAUCCGGAGGAAGCUUUUAUAUACUAGAUUCAUAAAUCAAGAAGUUCAAUAUAGGGAGCACCAGCUGCAACAGCAGCAGAGCAUGAGCAGCAACAUUAAUGUAGGUGGAAGCAUUGAAAGGACGUUCUAUUUGUUCAUGCCAUUUAAUCAUGGCAAUCAUUCUAUUUAUUCAUGGUAAUCAUUUUAUUUGUAUAUGCUUGUUCUUAUAUAGCUUAUAUUGACAGAAAAUUUAAAUGGAAGCUAUGAGAACCACAUUUUAUCAAGUCUUUCAGGUGGGUUAGCCUCUGCAUAGCUCUUACUAUUUCUUGCAGCUCGAGGAGCUAAAGCUUCCUAAAGUAUAGAAAUCACAAAACCAAGCAAAUAAGUUUAAAAAAAAAAAAGAACUAAAGAUAGAGUCGCAUGUCUUUCAAAUAUGUUUCAAAAAAAAAACACAUUCUCUAAAACACUGGUAACAGAGCUUCUCUAAAACUGAAUUUCAUGUCCAAGUUCAUGUUAUCAACUUAUAGUCUUAUAUGUAAUCAACAUAACUCAAACGACUUCCUCUUUUUCUAAUAAUUAAUAACAGGGAAAAAAUUUAAAAAUAUGGGUGAAUUGGAGAAAUAUAUCUUACAAUAACAAAGAAAAAGGGAAUCCUAGUCCAGAAACUUGUGCGCGCUCUCACGAAAGAUGUCUCAUGAGUAAGCCUGAAUCUUGACGGAUCUGCAUGUUCAUUGUAGGAGAAAUUUAACAUAAAGAGAUAGCCUCAUGUACACAAAUAUUAAAAUGAAUACUAAAUUCAAACUACAGAAUGAUAAAUAGUCAUUUCUUGAUCGUGCAGCGACAUAACAAUGGAAAACUCGGUCCUGAGAGGCAGUUUCCUGCUCCCAGACCUUCCAGCCACGAAUCUGUACAAGUUAAAAACUUAUUAGCAUUAUAUGUAGAAUCAAUCAGGUGAUAAUAUGAAGAGUGAUAGUGUUUUAUAGAAAAUGAAAAUAUUCGAAAAUUGUUUCGAACAUAUAUUAAAAUAAAUUAUUGUCCUUUUAUUUUAUUAAAUAAAAUAUUAAAAAAAUCAUUGUCUUCUUUAAUGCAGUUUAUAAAGAAACACGGGAAAAUGAAUAUAGGCCAAGUUAGUGAUAAAAGAAAGUGAAUGACAGACUUGGCAGGAACUCUAUUACUGUAGAAAAAUAAAGCAACAAUUGAAAGGAUUCUUAUUUCGAUAAUGAAAGGAAAUAAUAAUCGACUGAUAAUUAUCUGGAACAUGCCAACUACUAUAUAUAUAGGAAAACAUAACUAAAAAACUCAGCUACGUAGGCCUAAAUAUCAUCAUCUUCUUCUUCUUCUUCGAAAUAUUCAUCAUCAUUAAAAUAUUCAUUAUCAUCUUCAUCUUCAUCACUACAUUCUCUAUCUUCAUUUUCUGCUUCCGCUAAUGAUGGAUCCACUUCCGCCCACAUUAGGAUUACUCGUCAAUGGUUGAUCAAAUUUGAUAGAUUCGCCUUCUGAAACAAGAAGUUCUGGCCCUGGAGGGAUAAUAUCAACCACUUGACGUCCAUCCGAUGCAUCCGUUAUGGUUAUUUCGUAACCCCCCUUUUCUUUUCGUAUUAUUUUGCCUACUAUACCUGCUGCUGUAGCAUUAUAAACCGUAUUGUUACUCUUGCUCCCGUCGGGAUAAAUCUGACCCCUUCCCCUGUUUCCGCCUACGUAUAUAGGAUAUUUUAAGAAGUGAACAUCUUUCUUAGUAGCGGGGUCCGGGGAAAGAAUAGGAAAGGUGAUUUCACUAUAUUUUUGACCAGGAACAGGGCCUAUCACAAGAAUAUUUUUUUUAGUGGGGCGAUAGCUCUGAAAAGAAAGAUUGCCUAUCCUUUCUUUCAUCUCGGGAGAAAUCCGAUCAACAGGAGCUAAUUCAAAACCCUCCGGUAAAAUAAGAACAGCCCCUACAUUCAAAGCCCCCUUUUUACCAUUAGCAAGAACUUGUUUUAGUUGCAUAUCAUAAGGGAUUCGAACAACUGCUUCAAAUACAGUAUCAGGAAGUACGGCUUGUGGAACUUCAAUAUCCACGGGCUUAUUAGCUAAAUGGCAAUUGGCACAUACAAUACGCCCAGUCGCUUCUCGUGGAUUUUCAUAACCCUGCUGUGCAAAAAUGGGAUAUGCACUUGAAAUGGAUGUCCGAGUUAUGAUAUAUAUCAUGAGCGAUGCGGAAAUGGAUCGAGUAAUCUGUUCCUUUAUCCAAGAAAAAGUCUUUCUAGUUUGCAUGGUCCAACCAUUGAUCCCGAAAAUUUCUACAAUAAAUUGGGUAGGUCGCUAAUAUAGUUCCCUAUCCGCGAUUCUGCUAUUUACUGGAAUAAUAUAUNNNNNNNNNNNNNNNNNNNNNNNNNNNNNNNNNNNNNNNNNNNNNNNNNNNNNNNNNNNNNNNNNNNNNNNNNNNNNNNNNNNNNNNNNNNNNNNNNNNNGAGAAUCAUCAAGCAAUAUCAAAUUCUGAGUUUGCUCCUCAAUAUUAUAUAAGUCAAAAUCAUGAAACUCUUCCUCUUGAUAUGUCUCUUCAUUACUAUUUUCGGCAACAUCAUAUGUGUUUCUUGCUUUUGUUGUGAUUACAGUAGACCAACCUUUAGCUUUAGUCGACACUGGAUUAGCAUAGAACACUUGUACAACUUGUGAUGCAAUAACAAAUGGCUCAUACGGCUUGUGCCUUGAAUUUGUAUCAAUUGUAGUUAUCCCGUACUUGUUAAUAACUACCCUUUUUUCAGAAUCAUACCAUUCACAUUGGAACAAAAAUACUGAAUUCUCUUCUCCAUAGUAUUCUAGUUCAACUACUUUAAUUAAUUGUCCAUAAUAGUCUCGUUCUUGGCCUUCAAAAGUACAUCCCUAGACUAAAACACCACUAUUUUGAGUUACCUUUCUUGACUCCAAUUCUUUUGUAUGGAACCUAAAGCCAUUGACAAUGAAUCCAUCAUAACAUGUUACCUCUCUAGACGGACCCAUAGCGAGCGCUUUUAGACGCGUAUCAACGACAUCAUCAUUCUUGACUCUCUUUUCAAACCAUUUUAUAAAUGUCGAAUUAUGUUCCUUUUAUAGCACUUUAUCCGACAUGUUUGGACGUAAUUCUUUCAAUAAAUGCUUGUGCUCCCUAGAAGUAAUGAAAUAAAUUAGUAGAUAUAGAGUAAUGAUUUACAUAUCUAAAAGUAAUAAACUUUAUAAGAAUUAAAAUGUCAUACUCGAUGAAAUCAAAGACUUCCUCAUAAUUAGACAAGAUGUAUAAGGUUGCUGCCUCGAGUUCUUUAUCAGAUAGAUCUUCACGUUUUCGUUUUCCUCCAAUUGGACGACCAGGCCUAGGGUGGCUAAAUAUUGAUAACUUUCCAUUAGUUUCAGCUUGACCGCCAUCGUCAUUUCGAUCAGCUCGGUUGAACUUGGUUUGCACCCUAAGAUCAAAAUAUCGAGAAGAAAAGUAAACUAGUUCGUCUAUUAUGUAUGCCUCAGCUAUUGAACCCUCGGGGCAAGCCUUGUUACGCACCCUUUUCUUCAAAGAACACAUGCACCUAUAAUUAUAUUGAAGUUAGGUAAUCACUUUAACUAUAAAAAAGCCUUGGCAAGAAAAGAGAUAUAAUUUAUUAAAACAUCACCUCUCGAAAGGGUACAUCCAACGAUAUUGUACUGGCCCUCCGACCUUGGCUUUAUAUGCCAAAUGAACAAGUAGAUGCUCCAUUGAAUCAAAGAAAGAUGGUGGAAAAAUCAUCUCAAGAUUGCAUAAUAUUUCAGCAAUAAAUAGCUCAAGCUUCUCUAACUCAGCUAACUUAUACACCUUAGAGCAUAUGUCUCGAAAGAAUUUGCACAAAGCAUUUAUUGGUUCCCAUAUAGAGUUUGGUAAGAAAUCACGAAAGGCCAAUGGCAAGAAUCUCUGCAUGAGAACAUGGCAAUCAUGGCUCUUUAGCCCAAUUAUUUUGCAAUUGUCAAGGUUAAUACAAUGAGAGAUAUUUGAAGCAUAACCGUCUGGAACUUUCAACGAUUUAAGCCACUUGCAAACUUGCUUGACUUCUUCGCUUUUUAAAGAAUAUUUAGCUUUUGGCAAUUUAAAUUUCCCAUUACCACUCUCUUCAGGAUGUAAUUCAAAUCUUAUACCAAGCUCUUGCAAAUCUAAACGAGCUUUAAGGUGGUCUUUUGAUUUUCUAGUAAUGUUCAUCACAGUGUAAAAUAAAUUAUCAAAAAUAUUUUUCUCAAUAUGCAUCACGUCUAAGAAAUGUCUUAUUAGAAGCAAACUCCAAUAAGGCAAUUCAAAGAAGAUACUUUUCUUUGUCUAGUUAUGCUCGAUUCCAAACCCAGGAGUCUUAUCGGUACUAUUGUUUUUAUCCUUUCCAAAGAUGACCGAACUAAAUUGAGAUACAAAAUUUAACUCCUCAACACCUGUUAGUCGAGGCGGGGGAUUUCUCCGUUCGGUUUUAUUAUUGAACUUACUCUUCUCAGCUCGAUAUUUAUGAUUACGCUUCAACCAACGACGAUGGCAUCCAAAAUAACUCGGCUUCCUCCCAUGUUUAAGGUUAAAAGCUACACUUGGAUCCAUACAAGGACAUGACAAGGCCCCAUGUGUACUCCAACCCUUCAAUAUGCCUAGCGCAGGAAAGUCACUGAUUGUCCAUAUUACAGCUGCUUUCAUAUAAAAAUUUUGCUUUGAGAAAGCAUCAUAUGUAUCAACUCCAACAUCCCACAAAGUCUUUAGUUCUUCUAUAAGAGGUCGCAAAUACACAUCAAUCUCUCUUCCAGGUCCAUGUGGACCUGGAAUAAGCAGUGACAUAAACAUGUACUCCUCUUUCAUACACAUCCAAGGGGGGAGAUUGUAUGGAACAAGGAAAACUGGCCAUGUCGAAUGAGGUUUGCUAGAAUGCCCAAAAGGAUUAAAUCCAUCAGUAGCUAAGCCAAGUCUUAUACUACGAGCAUCUUCAGCAAAAGAUGGGUAAUUGAGGUCAAAAUAUUUCCAAGCCUCACUAUCAGCAGGGUGCCUUAGCUCACCUGGAAUAUCACAUCAUUUUUCUUUGUGCCACCUCAUAGGCUCGGCCGUUUUUGAUGACAAAUAAAGCCUUUGAAGCCUUGGUAUAAUUGGUAAAAAAACUUAAGACCUUCCUUGCUAUUGGUUUAUUCUUUUUCCCUUUAACACUGCCAUGGUUUUUAUACCUAGAUUCGUUACAAAUUGGGCAAGCAUCUAAAUCUGCAUAUUCUCCUCGAAACAAGAUACAAUCAUUAUUACAUGCAUGUAUUUUUUGUAGAGGUUGCCCAAGGUCCUUCAUUAAGGCCUUGCAGUGAUAAAAUGACUCGGGUAAUUUAUUCUUUUUAGGCAACAUUUCCUUGAAAGCUGAAAGAAAAGCAUCAAAUCCAGCAUUAGACAAACAAUACUUGGAUUUUAGGUGCAACAACAAAGUUACGGCUAAUAACUUGGUGUGAUUUUGACAACCAUCCCACAAGGGCUCGUCUGCAGCCUUUAGAAGGUCAUAGAACUUCUUUGAUUCGCUAUUAGGAUCCUCAUCAAAUUUAGGGCUAAUGCAGCUUGUAAUAUCCCUUAACAUGUCUUUAGGCCAAUUUGCAAUUCCCUCAUCAAUAUCGUCAUCUUAAUUCCCUACUUUCUUAAGUGACUCCCCAUGCUCCGUCCAUGUAGUGUAGUUUGGUACAAAUCCAUGCUUAUAAAGACACAUUUCUACAUCUUCACGUGAUUUAUAGUUUAUGAAAUCACACUUGGCACAAGGACACCGAAUCAUGCCAUCAUCUACGCACUCAGGAUUAGAAAAUGCAAAAUCAAGAAAUGUAUUGACCCCACUCAUAAAUUCAUGUAUAUGUUUAGACUUUUUCCCAACAUGCCUAUACAUCCAACUUCGAUCAUCCAUCUACCAUUUGUAAUUCAAAUAAUUGAAAAAUGUUCAUUUAUGGUGAUAAUUAACCCUUUUAUGAAAUAGAAAAGAAAAAAAAAACUGUACUGACUUUACAACUUAUUUUCUAGCACACUGUUCUUAACAUGGUCACAACUUAUAAUUAAAGAAAACAACAUAUACUACCUGAAUUCAAGAUAAUAUUGGUUAUGAGGUAGUAAAUCAAACAGAGAAAGCGUAAUCAGAGAAAGCAUAUUAGAUUUUCUAAUUAAUGUUCCUAAUUAGUUUUAUAUUAGAUUUUUUACAUGCUACACAGGAAUUGGGGCCAAAUUCGAACAGAGAAAGCAUAAUCAAAAUUCUAAAAUAAUUGGGGCCAAAUUGGAACAGAGAAAGUAAAGAGGGAGACAAUAAACACCCAAGGAAGAGAGGAUUUACCUUCAAAAUCACAAAGCUUAACUUGGAUCACAACUUUGGUACGUAGAAGAAAGGGAGAUGGUUUUAGUUACCGUCUAUGGAGAAGAUGGGAAGAGUUGUUUAGAGCCGCAGAGAGCACUGGGCAGAGGCCGUCGACUGAGAGGGAGUAGUCGACUGUCGACUUUGUCAAGAAAGAGGCAAGCAAGUAGCAACUGAAGCAAUCAAACAAAGAGUGAAGAAGGAGAACUGAAGAUAAGGGCUAGGGCAAAUGUCAAAUGUGAAAGUGAAAUCAGAAAUGGACCGCCGACUCGGUCACUUAGGAUUAUAGAUAGGAGUGAGAUAUAAUAAUAUUAUAAAAUUGUUUUUUUUAAGAAUUACGGUUCGGUUAUUCGGGUAUCCAAAUAACCAGUUUUUGAACACCGAAUCUGUAAUCGAAUACUAAAUAAUAAUUCGGAUAUAACUGAAAUUGUAAAAAAACCGAAAAACCGAAAUAAUUCGGUUAAAAAAUUUCGAUUCGGUUCGGUAAUUCGGUUUUAUUCGUUUUUUGCUCACUCCUAGUCACUGGACAUUUAAUUUUUGUUGGCUUGUUGUUGCUGACUUGCUGUAUUUUGGACAGUUAAUUAGGCUUGCAUUAUUAAGUCAUAAAUUUCAUGUUGGCUUGUUGUUGCUGCUGGACAAGUAAGUUAACAGUUGCUGCCUGCUGGGCAGUUAAUUUGCUAAAUAGUUAACAGGGAAUUUAUGUUGUAUGAUAUUUCGGUUAUUACCCGAAUAUCCGAAAUUACAAUUCGGUAUUCGGUAAUUCGGUUAUUUUCACAUUUCGAUUAGAAUUUUGGAUAGUGGAAUUGUCAUUAAUUCGGUUUUCGGUUAUAACCGAAUAGCUUAUUCGGUUCGGUUAUAACCGAAUGAUCACUCCUACUAAUAACUUGGUAUUUUGAAUCAAAUAUCGGCAUCGACACAUAAGGCUGUAAAAUGAGCAAACAGUUCGGGGUCGAUUCGUACUCGCUCGACUAAAAGUUCAAUUCGAGCUCGACUCUAAAUAUAAAUGAGUCAAAUAUGAGCAAAUUUUAAAGUUCUAUAAAUUACUCGAACCUCCUCAAAUUAUAAUUUUCUAUUGAUACUCGGAUCAUAUUCGUUCGAAAAGUUCAAACUGUUCAGGCUCGAUUCGGAAUCGUACUCGACUCGAUAGCUAAAUGAUCCUCAAUCAAACCUUAUAAUAUACUUGAUAAAAUUUGUGAACCAAAUCUGAUAGAAAUACAUUACGAAAAUUUAAAAAGAUUAUAAAAUGAGUUUUAGUUUUAGUUGGACCAGAUUAAGUAAUCUCAAGUACAUGAAAUUAAAAAUAAAAUAAAAUUAACAAAUUGAAAAAAACAACAACUAGUAGACUCGGGCGUAAAUUAACUUUUAAGGGUUUAAUACACUAUUUGUACGUUCCAAAUUUUAUAUUUGACUUUGUACCAUUGACAUUUAUUUUUUCGUGGGCAUAUAUUUUUAUUAUUAUUAGUUAUUGUCAAUUUUGGUGGAUAAAUUAUUUAAUGUUUGAAGACUAUUUGGGGGAUAUUAAAUAUAUCAUUACUCAUAAUGAUAUUAAAUAUAGUGGGUGCAGAUGAUAGUAAUGUUAUAAAAAAAUUUCAGGCUUCACAAAGAAGAAUAUAAGUUAUUGUAUUAAGCUUCAAUACUUUUUGUAAGAGUAAUAAUUGAUAUUAAAACAUCAUUUUUAUUAAUAAUAUUAUUUUAAAAUAAUAAAAGAGAGGAGACUUAAUUUGUAGCUUAAUCUAAAGAAAGUAUAUAAAUUUUUAAUAUUAUUUUAAUUUAUUUUACUUUUUUGAAUAACAAAUUUGUACUUAAUUACUAGUGGAUCAAUUAAUUCAUAUCUCACAAAUUUACUAAAAAUAAUAAUUAAAUGAUACUCUUUUUUUUGUAGAACAAAGGGUAUAUCAAAAGAUAAUUAAAUCAAAAGAAAUUUAAGCUAAUUAAAUUUAAUUAAAAGAUAAUUAAAAUUUAAACAAACAAAAAUAGACUAAUUUAGUGGCAUAUUCCACUCAUUUUGAAGAAAUGGCGGGAUCUCUGUUUCUAUCUUUAAUUUCAAGUACCAUUGUAUAAACUUCCCCAUCUUUUCCAUAGGCAGCAAACUGAAACCCUACAUCCAUCUUCUACCAAAAUUGUGAUCCCAGUUAAGGUUGUGAUUUCAAAGGUAAGUCCUCUCUUUGGGUGUUUAUUCUCUCCAUCUUUCCUUUCUCUGUUCUAAUUUGUCCCCAAUUCUUAUUUUAGAAUUGUGAUUAUGCUUUCUCUUUUCGAAUUUGGCCCCAAUUCCUGUUUUUAUAGAGAUGUUUUACGAACUGUUAUUGACAAUUUGAUUGUUCAUGUGUUUGUGGAGAUUUAAUAUAUAUAUAUAUAUAUAUAUAUAUAUAUAUGAUUUUGAUAGCGUAUUUACUAAUUUUAANNNNNNNNNNNNNNNNNNNNNNNNNNNNNNNNNNNNNNNNNNNNNNNNNNNNNNNNNNNNNNNNNNNNNNNNNNNNNNNNNNNNNNNNNNNNNNNNNNNNNNNNNNNNNNNNNNNNNNNNNNNNNNNNNNNNNNNNNNNNNNNNNNNNNNNNNNNNNNNNNNNNNNNNNNNNNNNNNNNNNNNNNNNNNNNNNNNNNNNNNNNNNNNNNNNNNNNNNNNNNNNNNNNNNNNNNNNNNNNNNNNNNNNNNNNNNNNNNNNNNNNNNNNNNNNNNNNNNNNNNNNNNNNNNNNNNNNNNNNNNNNNNNNNNNNNNNNNNNNNNNNNNNNNNNNNNNNNNNNNNNNNNNNNNNNNNNNNNNNNNNNNNNNNNNNNNNNNNNNNNNNNNNNNNNNNNNNNNNNNNNNNNNNNNNNNNNAUAUAUAUAUAUAUAUAUCCCUCGAUUUAUAUAUGUAUGUUAAUUAGGUACGUAUAUGUAUGCAUGAAUAUAUAUGAAACUUUGUUAGUUAAUUACUUUGGUUGAGAAUGGAUUGUAGUUUGUAAACAAAUCUAAUAUGAAACUGAUUAGGAAAAGACUUAAAUUGGAAUUCUUCUUUUGGUUGAAUGGAAGGGUUACUCAUUACUUCAUUAAUUUGACAUUAAUUUUGUAUUAUUUUGUUUAAUUAUGUUUUGGUUGGUUAUGUUUUUCAUUUAUUUUAUUCUAUUCCAAGUCAUUAAGAGCACAUGAUGUUUUAGGUAAAACACUGAUUCUACUGGACAGAUGAUUCAUGUACAAAACCAAAGUUAGUGCACACACCCUAUUAUUUAAUAUUCAAAACAUUGGGUUGCUGUUGGGGUGGGUCUGUAGGAGGGCAGGGGUGGAGUUGCAGGGGAGGCGAAUGGAAGAGGGCAAAAGUGCUGGAUGAAGGAGGGACGUUGGCAUGUUCUUGAAUGAUGGUAACCCAUUCUUUAUACAUUUUGAAUGAGAGUGGUUAAUUGCAAAAAAGCACUUGCAAUAGCUACAUUGAAAUUGGUUCCAUUUAUGAGGGACAAGAAAAGCAGCAGUGGGCAGUAAGGAACUGCUAUAACAGUUUUGGGUAUAUCAUUCUAGCUCUAGAAUCUAGUUUGAAGACUUAACCAUAGAGUUUUAGUUUUAGUUGGAGCUGUACAUUCUUUACCAUUAAUGAUUAGUGAUUCUAUUCAAAGUUACCAUGCUUUUUUAAGUUCUCACUUGGGUUUUUGUAAAUGGGUCAAGCUUUGCUUAUUGUGUGCAAGAAAAUCUGAUAUCGCUGUGAAAUCUAUAGUAAGAAAAUUAAAAAUGGUCACUUUGAUAUACUUGCACUUAAUUGAUGCCCACAAUUGUCGUCUUUAAUUGUACUAAUCCAUCAAAGGAGCAUGUCAAUAUUGUUCUAUUCAGCAGUACUAUGAUUUAAUUGAUGCCCUCAUAGUAUCCAUCAAAAGAACAUUUAAUCUUGAUGUAACCAGCAUGCCACGGAACCUGACAUGUGUAGCAAAAAAGCUUUUUACAGUUCAGACAUAUUAGAAAUGAUUGUUCCAUUGAAAUGAUUGUUUGGCAUAUUAGAGGAUCUAACAAGUGAUUACAGUCCAAAGUGGACGACAUUUAAUGCUGGCUACAUUGUCUUCAACUUUUACUUCGAUGUACUUGGUGAAGCAAUCCACACAAAAAGGAUGAAAACAUUCAUCAUUCUUCUUGAAAACAUUCAAUGCAUAUCUCACAAGUGAAAGUUGAACUCUCUUCUUCACCUGAUUUAUCCUCUUCUGUUUUCGCCAAACUCACCUCUUGUUUUUAGCUGUGUGUUCCCCAUUGUUUGUUCUGUUUCUGUUGCAAAAAAAUCAUCAGCUCAUGUGAGAAACAAUUAGAGAAAGUGGAAUUGUACAACAGAAACAUGCAUGAAGUUGUAUAUUAUUGCAAAAUAAAUGGCAACUCUUUCUACAAUUACAAAGAAAAUGCCAAACACAUUUUGAAUUUGCAGCUACAACUAUUACAUGUGUUAUACAAGAGAUGAGAAUACAUUUUGAACAUGCAUGUGUCAAUUUGUGAUCUACAACACAUUUUGAAAAUGCCUAACACAUUUUGAACAUGCAUGUGUUCUACAAUUACAUGAAUUAAUUUGCAUGUGUUGUACUUUGUGUUGUGCAUAUAGUAAUAGGUUCAAUUAAAUGUUGUGUCAAGUGAUAGUGCUAAUUUAUUUAUUUUUUGAUAAAAAAAUGUACAUGCUUGUGGUAUAAUUUCAAACUAGUUUUCCAAUGAGUCAUGAUUAAUUAUUGCUGAUUAAUAUGUUGGGUAUAUAAAUUGUUCUUUGUACGGUUGAAUGUUAUUGUCUUGACAGGUAAGAUGCUAAUUGAUUUUGGAGCUAGUAGAGUAGUGAAUAAUUUUGAAAUUGUAUUACAACAUCAUCUUGAAUAAUUUCUUUUAUUUAUCCUAUAUUUAAUUAUAAGUUUUUUUUCUUCUCCAGCUAUGGUGAGAACUAGAGGUGGGAGUAGUCUUUCCGGUAGGAGAUCAACUCUUCCUCAUAAUAGUGGCGAGACUGUUAACAUGAACAGAAUGAGAGAUGAGCCUAUUGUAUCUCAUGAUAGUGGUGAGAGUAUUGAUAGGGCUACACCGAAUACUACACAAGCCGAAAGGUUAUCUCGUAAGAAAAGGGGGCCAACUCUAGGGAUAAUAAAGCCUAAAACAGGCCAAACAAAGAUGCUUGUUAAUAUCAUUGGACAAAAGUAAGUUUUUACUAAUCUACUCGUGCUUGUCAAUAUGCAAGUUACAUACAAUCAAUUCUGGAUACGUUAAAGAUUCAUUUUCUGACACAUAAUAUAACGUCCGUUUUAACUAUAACAGGGUAAUCUAUGUAGCACAAUGUAAUCCAAAGAACAUAAAAGCAACUAAUCAUAUCAUGUUACUAUAAAAAGCAAUUAAUAGGGGUUCCAUUUAACAAGAUUUGAUUAAUCCUAUUGUGACAACUUUGUUUCUACUUUUCAUUAUUGUUGUACUAAUCAUAUCAUGCUAUGUUACCAUAUCUUGUAAUUAGCUUCCUUGAACCUGAAGCUCGAAGCAAGACUCACAUAUUAUUUCAAAAACGUUUUAAAGAAGCUCGAACCAAAUUCGAGCAAUGGCCAAAACAUGAAAUUGAACUUCUUUGGGGAGAAUAUUUGGUAUGUUUUAAUGAACACACAUUUUAAUUGUAGAAAAAAGUUUAUCAAAAAGUGUAUUAUUCAUUAUAUAUUAAUUAUUAUUUUUACUUGUGGAUGGUGUUAUAGAAAUAUUUUCGUUUCUCUUCAUCGAAGGAGGAGGGAAGGGGUCGAAUCAUAUGGGAGGAAAAUGCACGAAAAAGCUACCCAAACUAUUUAUGGAGAUGGAAAGAUGAUGCCAUUAAGAAGUUUGGCUCCAUUGAGGAAGCAAGGGAUAAAAAGCCUAAUUGGACAACUCUUGAUGUGUGGCAGGAGAUGUGUGAUUAUUGACUGAGUAAAGACUUUUUAGACUCUAGUGAGCUACAAAAAAAGAACAGAAACAUAACUACGUAUGUUCCUCACACAUCAGGCUCCAUAUCGUACGCCGUUAGGAGGGAACAAGAGGUAAAUUAUAAGUUGAUAAAAUCAAAUUAAUAAUAUGCGUAGUCGAUAAAUGCACAUGAUAAUGGUAAAAGAUUCAUAUCAUGAUGCUCUGUUUGGAGUUUUUAAGUGUUCAUGUGGUAUGUAUUGCUUAUUUUUAAUAUUAAUGUUUAUAAUUAAAAUAAUUAUUAUUUUGCUUGUUUUGUCUUAGAAACAAAGACUGCAUCGUCCGCCAACGCAAUAUGAGUUAUAUAAACAAACUCAUAUGAGGAAGGAGAAGGGUAGCGAGGAAAAAACGUGGGUUUGUGAUGAAGCAAAGAGGAAUUUGGUAUGAUUUUCUCUUGUAAAAUUAUAAACUUUGUUUACUCAUGCGAAAGUGAAGAUUGUUGUUCGUUCUUUUCAUAAUUAGUUAUGAGUAUUGUUAAUUAUAUAUACAUAUUUUAUGCAUUGUAUAGGAUGAUUAUGAGAGAAGACUCUUAGCCAAACAUGGUGAUACAGAUAAGCCCGUGAAUGAGUUAGAUGAUCCAAAUUUGGAGACAUGGCAGAAAACUGUUGGAGGCGUCAAAAAGGGUAGACUUGUUGGUCGACCAGGGGAAAAAUGGAGUUCUCGUCGUGGUUCGUAUUGUCCAUCUUUGGUUGCAGAUGAGAACUAUAUUAAAUUAAAGAAAAUGGAAAGCUACAUGACUUAUAUUCAUCAAUACACAAAAAAUAUGGCCGAAACACUUGCACUUGAUCCUCCUAUAGACUUUUGUGAUUUGUUUGCUUCAUCAAAUGCAUCAGCUGAUAUUCCAACGAAUAACUCAACCACGCAUGCUGAGAAUGACAACGGAGAUGAUGACGACUCUCAAGAAAACUUCAUGGAGAAUUCAGGAUGAUUUAGCUCUGCUUUACUUAUCAAUUUUAUUAGUUUAGGGUUCUUUGAUAGAUGUUGGGUUUGUUAAUUGUUUGAUGAACCUAUGACAUGUAGUUACCUAUUUAAGUAGUUGGUAAUGAAUUUAUUUUUAAUUAAAUGGAUCAGAUUUCUUCAUUUUAAUAAAUUUGUAUGAUUUUACGUUUCAAAUUUAUUGUAAUUUAUGUCAUUUAUAAAUUUGAAAUAUAAAAUUGGCAAUUAAAUAUAUUUUAAUAUAGGAAUUUGGUGAUGGCUUUACUAUCACCAAAACGUAUAAAAAGGUUACAAAAAUAGGAAUAAUUGUGAUUGCUUUAGCCAUCACAAGAGACUUAUGCCAUCACAAAAGAAUGUGAUUGUUUUGGCCAUCACAAAUAAUUGGUGAUUGUUUUGGCCAUCACAAAAAGAUGUGAUUGCUUUGGCCAUCACAAAUAAUUGGUGAUUGUUUUGACCAUCACACAAAGAUGUGAUUGCUUUAGCCAUCACAAAUAAUUGGUGAUUGUUUUUACCAUCACAAAAAGAUGUGAUUGCUUCGGCCAUCACAAAUAAUUGGUGAUUGUUUUGACCAUCACAAAAGAUGUGAUUGCUUUGACCAUCACAAAUAACUACUAUGCUAUCGAGAUUACUUUCGCCAUCACAAAUAACUUGUGUGAUUUCGUGAUGGUCAAACUAAUCACAAAAUACAUGUGCGCUAAUGUGACUGAUUUAGUCAUCACAAAAGGAUCGAAUGUUUUGGUGAUUGCCAAAACCAUCACGUAAAACCUUUCAUGAUGGACGUAUACAAAACGGCCAUCGUGAUGCUUAAAAUCAUCACGUAAACCUUUCGUGAUGGUUUUUUUAGUUUUUGUGAUGGAUUUUUGCCAUCACAAAUGACCAUUUUUUUAGUAGUGAUCGAAAGGACGUGGAAUUUAAUAUUGGAGAUCACGUGUUGUUACGUGUUGCUCCAUGGAAAGGAGUUACGAGAUUUGGAAAGAGAGAAGCUCAAUCCUCGAUUCAUUGACCCAUUUUUAAUCCUCGAGCGAGUAGGAACUAUGGCCUAUAGACUCGCCUUACCGCAAAGUAUGUCUCGUGUUCAUAACGUUUUUCACAUAUCUAUGUUACAUAAAUAUGUGAAAGACCCGAACCACAUUAUUGAAUUAGAACCAGACAAGAUAGAGGAAGAUUUAACAUAUGAAGAGUUACCUAUUAAAAUCUUGGAUAAGAAGGAUCAUAUUCUACGCUCCAAGGUUAUACCUCAAGUCAAAGUUUUAUAAGAGAAACCACGAUGUGGAGGAAAUGACCUGGGAGUUAGAAUCUGAGAUGAAGUCAAGAUAUCCUCGUCUCUUCGAUAUACCAGGUACGUACCCUAGUUUCGAGGAUGAAAUUUCAUAAGAAGGGGAGGUAGUAAGACCCCAACUUUUAUGAAUAAAGAAUAAUUUUCUCAAAAUAUAUUUUUGAAUAUUAUGGUGUGGAUUUGAUAUAAUGUUAUAGUUGUGGGUAUUAUUUACAAAUUUUGCAAAGUAAGCAAGUGGUUAUAUAAUAUUCGAUUGGUCGGGGAAUAUUCGUUUUAACAGGGAAUAUUCGUACGACGGUACAAUCAUUGGUGGACCCCACAAAGAAAGUAUUGUUGUAGUUAAAAAACGACAGAAUUAUCUUUUUAUAAAAAUAAUGGCGAAAGUGUUGCCGUUAAAACUGUUGAACUAACCGGUAAUAAAAGUACAGUAAUACGCGUGGUUGCAUAGUAGUACACAGUAUUGAUUAUUGAUGUUUACGUGAGAAGUCACUCAGUUAUACUCAAUUAUUACUAUAGUAAUUGUUGCAUCAUAUCUCUCAUAUUAUUGAUUCAAUUAUUGUCACAGUAUCAUCUGCAUAAUAUGUUAUAUUAUCAAAUCAAUAAUUGAGACGACAAAGUUAUUAAUAUUAUUAAAUUACAAUAUUGACAAUGUCUUGAAGUUCUGUCAAGGAGAGGUUAGAUAAUCUAAUUGCGCGCCAAUAGGGAGAAAUCCUCAUCGGAAAGCCCCCUCUUUCCUGGAAACUACCUGGUUGUUAAAUAUUAUGAGUUAUAAUAUUAAUGAUGAAUAAGUUUGUGUUGAUCAAAGAUGAAAUUAAUAGUUCCAUUGUAUGGAAAUUAUUAGUGUUAGUUGAAAAUCGACAUUUAUUUCGAUAAUAAUUGAUGUCUGGAGGUUUUAUUGACCAAUCGGGUAAUUAACCGGAUAAAUGAGCAAUUAAUUGCUAUUUAUUCACAUGCUUAUAACUAUGUGUUCACAUGUGUGUACUAUUGAUUCACAUGCAUGUACUGUUAGGGGAGUUGGUGCAAGAUUGAUAAUACUUGCAUGACUAAAUUAAAAAUUGAGGUAUAGAUGAAGGUACUAUACUAUACUUAAUUUUUUCACAUGUUUAGAACUAUUGAGUCACAAGAUUUACUAUUGAUUCACAUGAAUUACUAUUAGGGGAGGUGGUGCAAGUUUGAUAAUACUUGCAGGACUAAAUUAAAAAUAAAAAAAAAGAGGAAGGUAUUAUACUGUAAUAUUUUGAGCCCCAAAAUGUGCAAUUAUUGAAACUAUAUUUUCCUAUAAAUAGAAGCUCAUUCUUCCUUCAUUUCUUACCAAUUCACUAAAGCUAUAGAACAAUUAUUAUAGAGAGAAAUUAUAGAGAGAAAGAAGAAGAGAAGUAUGCUACCUCACUACUCCAGUAUCCAGUUUUCUUCUAAGGUAAGGGGUAUUAUUUCUUUCGUAUUCAUGAAGAGAGUUAUUUCUUUCAAUACUCGUAAGGGUUGUUAUUCCAUUCUUUAUUAUUCUGUUGGAAUAACCUGUAUAGGUGGAUUACCGAAUGCGGUGUGAAAUUCUUCUGUUAUUCCAUUCUUUAUUAUUAUGUUAGAAUAACCUGUCUGUGCAGAUUAUGCACGCCUGGUGAAUUCUUUUGUUAUUCCAUUCUUUAUUAUUUUGUCGGAAUAACCUGUCUGUGCGGACUACGCACGCCUGGUGAAUUCUUCUGUUAUUCCAUUUUUUAUUAUUCUGUUGGAAUAACCUGUCUGUGCGGUCUAUCGCAUGCCUAGUGAAUUCUUUUGUUAUUCCAUUCUUUAUUAUUUUGUUGGAAUAACCUGUCUGUGCGGUCUAUCGCAUGCAUGGUGAAUUCUUCUGUUAUUCCAUUCUUUAUUAUUCUGUUGGAAUAACCUGUCUAUGUGGAUUACCGCAUGCAUGGUGAAUGAUCCUUUGUAUUCAUUCCUUAUUAAAUUGUGGAAAUGAUAUGUCUACGUGGAUUACCGCAUGGCGGGCAAAAAUCCAUUUGCAAUUUUAUAUAUUCUAUUAUACUCAGUUGCUUAAAGUUUUGGCUUCUAUACUCCAUGAAAUUAGUAGAAUAUCCUGGAUAUUUGCGCUUCAUCCAAUAUCUUUUCAUGGACAUAUUCUUCUGAGCAUUCUUGAAUUUUACUCCACAAAGCAGUAUUAUGUUGACAAAUUGGAUGUUAUUAAUUUCUGGAUAAAUUAAAUUAUAAAUCUUUAAUAUUUAUCCUUGAACUUGUUUUAUUGAAUUAUUAUGUCAUUGUCAUCAUCCUCAUGCUUAUAUUGUGAUGAAAGUCAUCUUUGGCUUACGUGCAUAGAUGGAUUUGGUAUAAUUAUGACCAGGAAUUAUUCGGUAUAAUCAUGACUGUAAUGUGACGAAUGAUGUGGUGAAAGUCCUCAUUGGCCUGUAGUUCAUUGAUGGACAGUUGUUGGUAUGAUUAUGACCAGGGAUUAUUCGGUAUAAUUAUGACCAUUGAUGAUUACACGAGUAUCCUUGGCCAUAAUGCAUGGAUGAUUCGAUUUUAUUUAUUAAGCUGAGUCUCAGCGAUAAAGUUGAUGAAAAACUUUUUAAGUCAUAGAAGAUAGUAGAUUUUAUACUCUAUAAUUGACUCUUCUAAUGGAUUGCUUAUUCCGCUGUAGUUUUUUAUCUAAAACUUAUUGUCUAUUAUAUUCUUUCAGUUGUUAUACUGUUGAAGGCUAAGGAUAAUUUAUUUUGCAUUAUCUUAGUAAUAAUAUUUCUUACUGGGCUUGUUGAGCUCACCCUUUUCUUUCAUGGUUCUCUUCAAGAAAUGAGAACGUAGCUGGGACUAGUCGGGGAACAGAGUGACGGUCCAGAUGUUUGGAUUAGUAGUCCUCACUAUUCUGUGAAAUAGUGUGAUAAUAAAUGUAAUGAGGACUCCAUUGAGUGUGGAUAUUGUCUAGAUGACAAUAUUCUUAUUAAAACUCUUAGAUUAUGUUUUGUCGUAUUUUACACGACUGUUGUACAAUUAAGUUGUAUUUGAAUUUUGUACCAUGUAUCUGGCGACUCAAGAUGGCUGAUGUAUACCUAUUUUGGUGGCGUCACAUUAACCCUAUUGUUAUAUAUAUUAUAUCCGAUUAUUGUUUAUCAACAUAAUAUUAUACUAUAUAAUUCAGAUAUAUAUUCUGUUCAUUAAUUUCUAAAAAUGAUUAUACAAGUGUCUCCACCUGGAUAAUCAUUGUAUUUAAUCACAUGUUGAUAUAUAUAUAUAUAUAUAUAUAUAUAUAUAUAUAUAUAUAUAUAUACCUAUUGAACCCCAGUAUGUAUACAUUAAGUAAAAGUCGUCUAAGCUAUUCGACCAGCUAGACACAAAUUUAGUUAUAUCGUUUAAUAUGACAAAACUUUUUUGUAUCCAAUCAAAUUAUUUUGGUUCGGAUUCCAGACUAAGUAUGAACAUCCCGAACAUGAGAAAACUUUUAUGCGCCCAAGGCGGACAGAGUAAACGAUAAUAUCUUUCUUUCAUGCAGUAUUGAUCAAUACAGGGUCCAUGGGAUGUAUACCCUCGUGCCCGUAAGUUAUGACGGUUUGCAGAUGAAGUUCUGUUUAACCUUUUUGAAAAUAGAAAACAAUGUGUAUGUCACCCUAACCCUAUAUAUAGUCAAUACAUAGUUUCAAAAAUGUGAGAUAGAGUUGAUAUGUUAUUAUUAUCAGUUUAGUUUACUUCACAACUAUUGAAUCGUUGUAGAAGUAAUGUACAAAGAAAACAUUUAAUUCUUUCAGAUAAUUAUAUUUAUAAUUGUUAUUACUUGCUGGGCACUCAAAUGCUCAUCCUUGCUUAAUUUAAAUGUUUUCAGCUAAGCGUGAUCAACCUGAAGGUUUAGACAAUAAUAAGUGAAAAGGAAAGCAAACAGAAUAUGUUUAACGGUAUCUUUUGUAAUAGUUAAACUGUAUUAAGAUAAUGAUAUGUAUUAUCUAUCAUGUAAAGAAUUAUAGUAAAUGUUGCGUACUUGGGAUUAGACUAUGAUAUUUGUAAAUUAAGUUUGAUUUUUAUAUUAUUGUUAUUAUUAUUAUUAUUAUUAUUCUGCUCAUAAAAAUGGUAUCGUGAAGCACCGAGUUCGGGUUUCAAGUACCUAAAUUUGGGGGCGUCACAGUAUGGUAUUAGAGCUAUAGGUUAGAAACCUUAGGUGGGUUAAACCUUAGGCUAUAACCUUAGAACAGAGGGGAACGUUGAAAAUACAAAUAACUCAUAUAGAGUUUAUAAGGAGAUGAAUUUAAUAAAUUCAUCGUGAAACAAAAUAAAAGAUAACUAAUAAAACUAUUAUUUGCUAUGUGUUUAUACUUAGUGUUAAUCCGGAUAAUUUAUUUGUAUAGAUGUCAGAUAGAAAAAGAAUUAGAAUACCCUCAGAUCAUAAAGAAAGAGCAAAUCUCCAUGACCGAGCCAAUAUUAAAGCUAAUAGCUGAAAUAGAGGCACACAUUGAAAACUACCUCAAAGAGGAGGUUAUUUUGGAAAGUAUAAUACCAGAUCCAGAGACGAUAGUAUAACAGAUAGGUUGAGUGUAGUUAAAGAAUAUAUGGUGAAGCUUGAGUUCUUAAACUCAUUUAUUUGUGGUAAGUUCUUAAACUCAUAAUGUGUAGUAAGAAAAAGGGAAGUAUUUUAGAAUACCUCAUAUCAUUCUCGAAUUACUACUUCAUCUCCUCACCAGCUCUUGAACCCUUGACCUCUAGAAACUCAAUAAUCAAACGAGUACCAAAUGUCUACAAGGAGGACUAGUAUAGUUAUGUGUUAAUGGAUUAUUGAGGAUAAUAGAAUAUAUAGAAUGCUAAGCAAUUGAUCAUUAGUAAAGACGUAAGAAAUAGAUAGUGUUAGUAUUACUUGAAUAGGUAUGAUUCUAUGUGGUGUAAAUGAUAAGUAUGUCUGUGUAAGGAAAUAUUCUCAACUUUUGUAUAAGUUAUGGCUGCGAUUCCUGACUUGUGUGUUAUAAAGGAAUAGCGGAUGUUUAAAGCAGUAUGUGCUAUGGUAUGUCAAGUGAUAUGAAUAUGAGUCUAUGUUGGAUUAACGAAAUAAGUUGAUAUAAAGAUAGUAAUUAUUUAUCUGAACACUGGUUAAUACAGUAAACCGAAUUUUCAAAAUCUAAAAUUUUGAGUACAUGAUUAUUUGAAUAGAAAGUUUUGCGUUAUUUGAGAUGCAUGUACGAUAAGGCUUAGAAUGUAAGUUAAUAAGAAUAAUUUAUGAUAAUGCCAUCGAGAAGAAGAACCUGUCAAUAAAGCUAGAAGAUAACCAGACCCGCCAUAUAAUUUUGCGAAUGUGGACGCUCAAGCUAUGCAGAACGGAAUCCCAGCCGCGGGAAAUCGGCCAGAUAAUCGAUCGACAAACUUUAGAGACUUCAAGGCAAUCGUACUGCCAAGAUUUAGAAGAUCAACUGAUCCUGUUGACGCGUUUGUGAUAGUUAGGGUAACAUAGGGGCAAAAAGACAGCUUUUGCCACCUAUACGAUGAAAGGAGAUAGUUUUGAUAAUACCUGAAAUAAGCCAAGAGUGUGAUGGAAAGGAAAGUUUGUGUGUUGCAAAUGUGGACAGGAGGGAUAUAUCUCUCCUAACUCUCCCAAUCCAAAAGUGUAUAGUGGGUGUUUUAUUUGUGAGUUAAGGGAGCAUAAGGUGAAAGACUGUUUAAGAAAGAGAAGGGAGGCAAGGAAUGCGAAUACGAGGAGAGGCAGCAGGACAUUGACGACAACGAGACCAACUUCAACAAACAAACUGACGGAAUCAACCGCAAGAGUCAUCAACAUGACUGUUUAGGAUUCGGUAGCAGCCGGGGAUGCAACUCCAAGUAUUACUCGAACCAAUUUUAUUUUCUUAUAUAUGAUUUUCUUAUAUAUAUAGUAAAUUAUUUUAUAAAUUAUUUUGAAGGAGGAAUUUGAGUUCUUUUAGAAAUCAAAUUUCUGUUUAUGAAGAUAGAUAAGCUUUUUGCUGAAUAGUUAAAGAUCAGUUAGAUCAAUUAUGAUCGAGAUCUACUUGCAAUGAUUGUAUAGGUUAUGUACCCUUAUAUGUAUAGGUUUUAAAACGGUGAUUCCGGGGACGAAAUCUUUAUAAGGGAGGGUGAAUGUAAUAACCCGAUAUUUUCUAUAUAAUUAAAUCAGAAAUUUUGUGUAUGAAUUUAUUUAUUUAUUUAUUUAUUAAAGUUGGAAAUAUGUGCCAGGUAAUGUGUAUAUGUAUAUAUGUGAUAAAUAAAAUAUAUUUAUUGCAUGAAUAAUUACCAAUAGUUUUAUUUUAGAAUUAUUGCUCAUUAUAAAUUAUAUUAUAAUAAUAAUUAGUUUUAUAGUAGAAAUGUUUUUAUUAAUUCUAUUCUAUGAAAAUGUGUUUAUAUAUUAUUUAAAAAUUAUAUGAAAUGAUUAAAGACUUAUUAUAAUGAUUAUUCUGUUUUAUUAUAUGAAUUUUAGUUCAGAUUAUUUAAGUUAAUUAUUUUAACUUAAUUAUUAUUGUUAUGUAUGCAAGAUAAAUCAGAUAUGGAAUCCAAAUCCUAAUUUUGGAUUUUGAACAACGAAUGAGAAUAAUAAUAUAAUAUUAAUUAUAUUUUUAUUCUUCAGUGCUAUAAAUAUGUAUGUUAUGUUUGUAAGGUUAAUCUGGGGAGCAAUUUCCUUAUGACCUGAUAAAACCCUAAUUUGAAAGUCAAUUACGACUGUAAAAUCUGUUAAGUCAUUGUGAUAUGUGGUAUAUGAUUUGUAUUAUAAGUAUUAAUGUUAAUUAUAUAAAACCCUAAUUAGUAAUUUAAAACUCUAUUUUUCUUAUAUUAGAAACCCUAAACAGUAAUUAGCUAUCCGCUAAGUGGAAACCCUAAUUUAAAACUCAACUAUGAGUUUGAGACUAUUAUGUAACUGUGUUAUUAUGUUUAAGGUUAAGUAUUAUAGAAUUUUAUAUUAAUUAGAGAAACCCGAAUUAACAUUUAGAAAUCCUAAUUUCCAGAAACCCUAAUUUCUAAAUUAGUAAACCUAAUUUCUAAAUUAGUAACCCUAAUUUACUAAAAUAAAAUCCUAAUUGUUAAUUUAGCACGCUUAAUGAUAAUUAGUAAAAUCUAAACCUAAUUUUCAAGUCUAUGUAAUGAGGAAACCAAAUUAAUUACGAAACCUUAAUUUGUAUUUUUAGAAACUAAAAAUUUCAAUUUUUGUUUAAAUUAGAAAUCCUACAACACUUUGUGCUAAACCUUAUGGUCAAACCCUAAGGGUCAAACCCUAAGUGUUUGAUAAGUUACUAGUUUGCCCUUAAAUUGGUUAGCCAAAUGACAAAAAUACCCCUCUUGCAUUAUUGGACAUAACUUGUAAGACUAACCAAUUUUGAGUUGCUCAACAACUCUUACCAGCCCCAUUUGACUAAAAUGCCAGCAAUUAGCCAACUUGAUUUCAUGUUAUAUAUAGAGAGAUCAGGAAAGAGAAAUUUCAUUUAUUAGCCACAUUUGUACAAAAAACUCCUUACCAACUCUCUCUCUCCCAAAACCCACGAAAUGUUGUAGUAGAUCAGUCCCAUAUUAAAGCCCCACUAACACACUUAACCAAAUCAGCAGCCAGAAUCAAGAAUUGAUGUUUAAAGGUAUAAAAUCCUAAGUUAAAGUUUUGAUCUUGUAUGCUAUAUUGGAUUUAUGGUUUUUAUGUUUAAUCAUGUAGAAUAAGGUGUUAAUAGGUGAUCUGGGUUGGCACAUGUUAGAUCCAUAACAUCAAAGUGCUCGAAAUCUAAGUUUUUCAAAAUCUGGAAUUUUUUGUUUUUGUUGUCUGACAGCGAAUGUCAGGCCUUGUAGAUCUGUGCUUGUUUAUUGUUUUGAUGAUUUAAAGGUUUGAAGUGGUAGUUUGGUAUGAGGUCUUUCAUAUGAAAGUGGAAUCACUGUUAUUGGAUGUCUAGAUCGAAAGUUAUUGAUGGUCAAAAGUCGUUGACCAACCAUGACCGAGUGUAAAUCUGGGCAACCCAGAAAGCUUUUUCAGCGUCUGACAAUGUUUUGGAAGGCUUAGAUCUGUCAGUGUGUAAAUGAUUUGAUGAUGUUAUAAUAUACAGUUUAUAGCCUGUCAUAUGUACUUUAUAUUUGUGGCUUUAGAUCCUUUAAACAAACAAUUGAUCAAACUUAGUGGAUGGUCAAACUUGGCCCCUCGGUCACGAUUUCAUUUCUGGGAAUUUCCAGAAAAUCGGAAGAACAGCCCUCUGACAGGGUUUGACCAAGUUAUAUCUUGUAGAUCUGUUGAUGUUAAACUGAUUUGUUGUUAUAUUAUUGUUCCUGGACAUAAGGACUACAUCUUUGAGGCAUUAGAUCACUUGAAUCAUGAACGGAACCUAGAUUAAAUCGAGGAUGAAAGUGACUGGUCGACCACCUGGGUUUCUGGAAAACCCAGGAAUGCUCUGACAACAUAUUUGCAAGCCUAGAUCUCCUUGUGUGUUUGUUGUAUGACCUAGAUAUUGAUUGCUAGUUAUAGUGUUGUAUAAUGACUUCAAUAUUGAUGCUUAAGUUUGCCCAGAAACGAAUUAGACAGAGAAUUAUUAGUGGUCAAAGUUGACCCCUCAAACACAAAGCUAUAAGUGUUCUUGAGCUCAAGAACACCAACAGCGACGCUUACUGUCGCUAAAAGCCAAUAACGACGGUUUCUAAUACUUUUAAUUUCUGAUUUUUCGAAAAAUACUUAAAAAUAGAAAAUAAAUUAUAAAAAUUACAAAAAUGGUUUUAAAAAUUAUUUUCAAUUAUGAAAAAUAACUUUUAAUUAUUUGGGAUAUUUUUCAUUAAUAUUUAUAUAUUUUUUAAUAUUAAUAAUAUUUAAUUUAUUUAAUUAGUGUAUUAAAUAAACUAGAGAAAAAUGAUUUUAAUGUUAUAAAAAUCAAUUGAAAUAAGAAUAAAGUGUUUAAAAAUAUUUUUGAGUUAUAUAUGUAACUUUUAAUAUUUUUGUGAUGAAUUUCAUUAAUUAAUUAAUAUUGGUGAUAAUUAAGUAAUUUAAUAAAUGUAUUAAAUAAAUUAUGAAAAAUAGAAUUUGUGAUUUAAAAAUCAUAUAAAAGUGAUUUAAAGAUUAUAAAAAAAUAUUUAAAGUUAUAAAAUAUAACUUUUGAUAUUUUGUCAUGAAAAAUAUUAAUAAUUUAAUAUUAAUAAUAUUAGAUUUAUUUAAUGAUUAUAUUAAAUAAUUUAGUUUAAAAAUAAUUUUAUUAUUAUAAAAAUCAUUUUAAAUGAAAAUAAAGUGUUUAAAGAUAUUUUAAGUUAUAAAAUAUAACUUUUAAUAUUUAAAGGAUAAUUUCAUUAAUAAUUUAAUAUUAAUGAUAUUAAUUUAAGAUUUAUUGAUAUUAAAUUUAUUUAAUAAUUAUAUUAAAUAAAUAUUUUUAAAAUGGUUUUAUUAGUUUAAAAAUCAUUUAAAAGGAUAUAAUUGAAUUAAAAAUAUUUUAAGUUGGAAUUAAUGACGUUUAAUAUUUGGAUAAAUAGUAAAUUAAUAUUUUAAUAUUAAUGGUAAUUAUUUAAAAAUGAUUUUAAAUGUUUUAAAAAUCAUUUAAGGGUAGUAUUAGUACUUUAAAAAUAUUUUGAGUUAUUAUCAAUAACUUUAAUAUUUUGGUAAUGAUUAUAUUAAUAAUUUAAUAUUAAUUAAAUAUUAAUGAUAAUAUGAUUAUGUACUAUUUAAAUCAUUUAAUUAUGAUUCCAGUGUUUGAAAUUUCAUAAUAAAUUAUAAUAAAUGUUUAAAAAUUAUUAUAAGUCAUUUAAAAAUAAUAUGAUUGAUACUUGUAGAUAUUGAGAUACAAUAUAGAGUCUUAGACUCGAUAUUUACCCAAUAAAGCCGUCGGUAGACCGACAUAUUUUAAAAAUUGAUCUAGACUUAGAUAUUUGACUGUAUUAAUGUUUGUUUGUGAUUUAAUGAUUGUUGAAUAUGUGUGACAAUGUGAUUAGGUUAUGUCCUAACUGCAAUAAGAAGUGCUAUGUGUUAUAGUAUGUUAUUCUAAUCGAACAAAUGAUUUUAUUAAUGAUAGGUUUUGGUAUUAAAGAUAAAACUAAGUUGUGUAUUGUAAGUAGCAGACCAGACAAGUAUCCUAUCUUUGCAUUUUCAUUAUGCAAUGGACAUGAGUAAGAAGUUUAGAACUGUAUUACUACUGUAUCAGAUUAUUAACCCUAUUGUUAUAUAUGUUAUAUCCGAUUAUUGUUUAUCAACAUUGUGACGACCCCAAAAUAGUUAUACAACACCCAUUCUGAGUCGCCAUAAUACAUGGUACAGAAAGAAAACUACAACUUCACUAUUACAAUUGUCAUGCAAAAUACGACAACACAUACUGUGAGUUUAAAUACAAAUAUUGUCUUCUAGACAAUAUCCACAAUCAAAUAAGUCCUCAAUACAUUUAUUAAUACAUUAUUUUACAAAAAUAGUGAGGACUGCUAAAAUAACUAUCUUGAAUCAUCACUCCAUACCCCGGCUAGUCCCUGCUAUAUUCUCACCUCCUGAGAAGAAAAAUGGAACAACAAGAAAAAGGGUGAGUUCAACUAGCCCAGUAAAGAAUAUUAUGACUAAGAUAAUAUACAACAAAUUAUCAUUAGUCCUCAACAGGGAAAAAUCUGAUAGAAUAUAAUAGACAACAAGUUUUAGAUCAGCAAAUGCAGCGGAAACAACAAUCCAUUAGAAGAGUCACGUAGAGAAUGAGUUCUACUAUCUUCUAAGAUUUAAAAGUCCAUCAUCAAUAUUUUAUCCCUGUAACAACAAUCAAUAUACAUCUUUACACUACAGGCCAAAGAUAUUCAUUUAAAUCACCAGUCGGUCAUGUUCAUCUCAACACCUGUUCAUCUUUGCACUACGGGCCAAAGAUAUUCAUCAGUUUAUCAUUCAUCUUUGCACUACAGGCCAAAGAUAUUCAGUAAUAUCAUCAUUUAGGACUGAGGAUGAUGAAAAAUAUUUUUUUUUAAAGAAACGAAUCCAGUGAAACAAAAGGACAAGGAUUAAGAAUUCGUACUUUAGUUUGUCCAAAUUCAAAAAUACUCCAUAAUAAACAAUUAUGGGACAAAUUUUAAGAAUGAAGAUCAAAACAUGGAUAUAAUCAAAGCUAGUAUCAUAAUGGACAUUUUGGAUAAAAAGGAAAUUUUUUAUUUUUCGGUGAAUAAUGUCGUAUUCGUGAAUAGUGCUGUAUACGUGAAUAGUGCCGUAUACGUGAAUAGUAACCCCGACACAAAAAGUUCCAAAUUUGAUAAAAAGAUCAGAUCAAUAUUUCGACGUAAUGAUAUUGACGAAAAUAAUAUCAUUCAUGAAGAAAAUAAUAUUCCUUACCUCAAAGAAGCAGUACUUCGGAAUGAAAGGUCGGAAGUGAUGCUGAAUGAAACUUGUACUGAACAACAACUCUCAAAGUAUCUAAAUACUCACAAAAUACGCUCGAUAAUAUAGAGAGAAAGAGAGAAAGCUUAUGUUUCUUGUGUGAUUUUCAAUUCUAACUUAGCCAUCUAUUUAUAGAAAAAUGUUAACCCGCCGAAGCAGACUUGACCUGCUACCUGAUGGCUUUACCUGUUACUAUUGCCACCCACCACAUUUAAAAUUCAAUUUGAGCACAUUUCUCACCAACCACAAGUGGGGCCCAUUCAAUUCUAGAAUUUUCCACCAAAAUCAUUUAUAACCCUAAUUUCCGAAGCAGUCACCUCUUAAAAUUCAUAACAAAUCAUUCGUUCAUUUUUAACGGUUCAAAAUUUGUGGACAUAUACCCAACUUAUAUAUGUAUAACAUAACCAAAAAUCACAACAAUCCAACGGUCAGAGUAAAAAUUAUAACUCACGCAAUAUAUCGUAAAAAUACUGAUUUGAUUUUUAAUACCUCCAUUCCGACAAAAAUAUAGAUAAAACACCUCAACAUUAACUCCUUCAAUUAUAAUCACAUAAAAUAAACAAAUCCAUCAUUUAUAUAAAAUAAAUAUUUCCUUAUCAUAUAAAUCAAUAAUUAAUUAUUCACAAAUAAUAUUAUAGAAUCACAAUUAUGACAACCAAGCCGUUUCCAGGAAAGAGGGGGCUUUCCAAUAAGGAUUUCUCCUUACUGGCGCGCAAUUAGAUGACCUAACCUCUCCUUAACAGAACUUUCUAGACAUUGCCAAUAAUGCUAUCUAAUAAUAUUAUUAAAGCAAUAUGAAUUAUUGAUCUGAUAAUGGGAAAUACUGUGCAGUAACAAUAAUUGAAAUAAUAAUAAUAUAAAAUAUCAACGCAGCAAUUAUUGAAUCAAUAAAAUAAAAUAUUAAACAGUAACUACUGUAACAAUUAUUGAGUAGUGCCUUCUUACGUAAGAAUCAAUAAUUCAACUAUACUGUGUAAUACCGUGUGCUACUGUGCAACUACGCGUAUUACUGUAUUUUAACCACCAGGUAAUCCAACAGUGUUAACGGUAACAACUGCGCCGUUAUUUAUAAAAACACAUACUUGUCGUUUUCCUUCAUCCAACCAUUUUUCAUUAUGGGGCCCACAAAUGGCUGCGCCGUCGUACGAAUAUUCCCUGACAGCAAGAAUAUUCCACGACGAAACGAAUAUUCCCCGACAACAAUGAAUAUUUUAUAACCACUUGCUUAUUUUGCAAAAUUUGCUUAUCUCAUCCAUAACCAAAAUAUUAUAUCAAAUUAACACCUUAUUAUUCACAAUAAUAAUAAUUAGAGGAAAUUCAAUUUCAUUUAUAAAAAGUUGGGGUCUUACAAACAUGAUAUUAUAUUAUAUAAUUCAGAUAUAUAUUCUGUUCGUUAAUUUCUAAAAAUGAUUUAAUCACAUGUUGAUAUAUAUAUAUAUAUAUAUAUAUAUAUAUAUAUAUAUAUAUAUAUACCUAUUGAACCCCAGUAUGUAUACAUUAAGUAAAAGUCGUCUAAGCUAUUCAACUAGCUAGACACAGAUUUAGAUAUAUCAUUGAAUAUGAUAAAACUUUUUUGUAUCCAAUCAAAUUGUUUUGGUUCGGAUUCCAGACUAAGUAUGAACAUCCAGAACAUGGGAAAACUUUUAUGCACCUAAGACGGACAGAGUGAAUGAUAAUAUCGUUCUUGCAUGCAGUAUUGAUCAAUACAGGGUCCUUGGGAUGUACACCCUCGUGCCCAUAAGUUAUGACGGUUUGCAAAUGAAGUUCUACUUUACCUUUUUGAAAAUAGAAAAUAAUGUUCAUAAUAUGUCACCCUAACCCUAUAUAUAGUCAAUACGUAGUUUCAAAAAUGUGAGAUAGAGUUGUUAUGUUAUUAUUAUCGGUUUAGUUUACUUCACAACUAUUGAAUCGUUGUAGAAGUAAUGUACAAAGAAAACAUUUAAUUCUUUCAGAUAAUUAUAUUUAUAAUUGUUAUUACUUGCUGGGCACUCAAAUGCUCAUCCUUGCUUAAUUUAAAUGUUUUCAGCUAAGCGUGAUCAAUCUGAAGGUUUAGACAAUAAUAAGUGAAAAGGAAAGCAAACAGAAUAUGUUUAACGGUAUCUUUUGUAAUAGUUAAACUGUAUUAAGAUAAUGAUAUGUAUUAUCUAUCAUGUAAAGAAUUAUAGUAAAUGUUGCGUACUUGGGAUUAGACUAUGAUAUUUGUAAAUUAAGUUUGAUUUUUAUAUUAUUGUUAUUAUUAUUAUUAUUAUUAUUCUGCUCAUAAAAAUGGUAUCGUGAAGCACCGAGUUCGGGUUUCAAGUACCUAAAUUUGGGGGCGUCACAAAUAUGGCUCAGUUAUUGGAGCGCGAUAAUGAGUCAACCCAACCAAGAGAGAGUAGCCGACAAAAUGAUAAUACCAGUGGUAGCAGUCAUCGAAGCGGUGUCAACAAACGUGGAGGGAAUCAACAUGCUAGAAAUGGUAACCACUUCGGUAGUAAUCAUGGCGAAGAUAAUAAAAAUGGAAAUUUCAAGAAGAGGAGAAUCAACAAUGAUGGAAAGACGUCAGCACCAGAACCCGUUGGUAAGGAAGGAGAACGACCAGCGAUCGUAUGCUACAAAUGCGGAGGGGAGGGAUACAUCAGUCCAAACUGUGCGCAGCCGUCCAAAAUGUAUUAUAAUUAUGGAAGAGAAGGUCACCUAGCUCGAUUUUGUCUUGCAAGGAAGCCAAGUCAAGCUGGGAUGGAGGCACCAAAGGUCAUCCCAGAAAAGUCAAAACCAGUAGUUCAAGGGAGAGCGUUUUUCGUGACCUCCCAGAAAGCAAGGAACCUGAACGAGGUUAUCAUGGGUAAGCUAAUCAUAAACUCUAGCGAAGUAUAUACCUUAUUUGAUAACGGUUCUACCCAUUCUUUUAUUUUACUAUUGGCACUCAACGUUUAAAUUUAACUCUGGAGAAAUUAGACUUUGACUUAUCUGUUAAAACUCCGUUGGGAGAAACCUUCAUUACAUCCACUGUUUAUAAGUCUUGUUUAGUUCAAAUCGGUACCCUCACAUUACCUGUCGAUCUUAUUUCUUUAAAAAUACUUGCAUUUGAUGUGAUUUUAGGGAUUGAUUGGUUAACUACUCAUCAUGCAAAAAUUGAUUGUUUUCGUAAGGUUGUUAGCUUUCAUAUUCCUAACCAACCUAUUAUGCGAAUUCAAGCAACCAAACCACUAAAGUCAAUCACUGUCAUAUCAAGCCAUAAAGCUAUUCAUUUAUUGAAAAAUAGAUGUCAAGCUUUCUUAGCCCAUGUCACAAAUUUAAACAAAAAUACGUCAUAUUUGAAUGAUAUUUCUAUUGUUAAUAAAUUUCCAGAUGUAUUCCCUGAAGAACUUCCUGGCCUACCCCCAGAGCGUAAAAUUGAGUUUGUAUUGACCUCGAACUCGGUAAAAGACCCAUUUCCAAAGCCCCAUAUCGAAUGGCUCCUAUUGAACUUCAGGAGUUAAAAACCCAACUGCAGGAGUUGUUAGACAUCUGUUUCAUUUUUCCUAGUACGUCUCCUUGGGGUUCUCCUGUUCUAUUCGCAAAGAAGAAAGAUGGGAGUAUGCGACUUUGUAUUGACUAUCGGGAGUUAAAUCAUGUCACUAUCAAAAAUAGGUACUCGUUGCCUCGCAUUGAUUACCUGUUUGACCAGUUGUAAGGAGCCAAAUUCUUUUCAAAGAUCGAUCUUCGUUCUGGAUAUCACCAGUUAAAGAUUAAAACUGAUGACAUCCGAAAGACUGCUUUCAGAACUCGGUACAGGCAUUAUAUAUGAAUUCCUAGUCAUGCAUGUCCGUUGGAUUGACUAAUGCUCCUGCUGCUUUCAUGGAUAUGAUGAACCGAGUAUUCAAGGAAUAUUUGGAUCAUUUUGUGGUCAUUUUUAUUGAUGACAUCCUCAUAUACUCCAAAAUCCGUGAAGAUCAUGAGCAACACUUGAGGUUUAUACUUCAAAAGUUUCGUGAAAACAAGCUUUAUGCCAAGUUGAAGAAAUGCGAGUUCUGGCUUAAGGAAGUGGCAUUCCUUGGGAACGUGAUAUCAAUUCACGGAAUAUCUGUUGACCCAUUGAAGAUUAAAGCAAUUCAGAGCUGGGAGCAACCUAAGUCAGUGACCGAAGUACGUAGCUUUCUGGGCUUAGCUGGUUAUUAUCGGAGAUUCAUGGAUGGAUUUUCUCGAAUUGCUACUCUAUUAACUCAGCUGACUCGAAAAGAUACAAAAUUCGGUUGGAGCGAGGAAUGUGAGAAAAGUUUUCAAGAACUCAAGAGAAGACUCAUUUCAGCACCUGUUCUGAUAAUACCAUCUGGCUCGUAGGGAUUUAUCAUCUACAAUGAUGCUUCAGGCAAAGGGUUAGGAUGUGUUCUCAUGCAACAUGGGAAAGUCAUAGCCUAUGCAUCAUGACAACUCAAAGAAUAUGAGAGGAAUUAUCCUACUCAUGAUCUAGAGUUGGCAGCUGUCGUUUUUGCGCUUAAGAUUCGGAGGCAUUACCUGUAUGGAGAGAAUGUGGAGAUCUAUACGGAUCAUAAAAGCCUCAAAUAUUUCUUCACUCAAAAGGAGCUCAACAUGCGACAACGACGUUGGCUUGAGCUAUUGAAAGACUACGAUCAUACCAUUUAAUACCAUCUUGGAAAAGCGAACGUAGUAGCUGACGCAUUGAGUAGAAGAUCAUAUGCGGGUACGAGUGCGAUAUUGUUAACGCAAAGACCCAUUUUGUAUGACUUACAAAGGAUGGAAAUAGAGUUAAAGACUCUAGGGACCCAAGUGAUGAUGGCAAAUAUACGAUUAGAACCGACUUUAAUCGAUAAAGUUAAAGCUGCUCAACUUACGGACCUGGAGCUGAUGCGUAGUAGGAAGAAAGUACAAGGUGCUAUCCUGGAAGCAAGAAUCGAUGAAGAAGGAAUACUAUGAGUCAACUCUAGACUUUGUGUUCCUAACGACCCUAAUUUAAAGUAUAAAAUCAUGAUGGAGGCGCACAACACACCGUUUGCAAUCCAUCCUGGGAGUACCAAAAUGUAUCGUGAUCUUCGACAUAUAUUUUGGUGAAGUAAUAUAAAGAGAGAGAUAACAGAGUUUAUCUCAAGAUGUUUAACUUGUCAACGUGUCAAGGCGGAGCAUCAAGUGACAAAAGGUCCAUUGCAACCACUUGAAAUUCUAGAAUGGAAGAGGGAGCACAUUACCAUAGAUUUUGUUAUUGGUCUUCCCAAGGUUUCUCAAGGCAUAGUUGCAAUUUGGGUCAUUGUUGAUAGAUUGACCAAGUCUGCUCAUUACUUACCUAUACGAGAAACCUAUACACUUGAACGUCUUGCUCGUAUAUACAUAAACGAGAUUGUAAGACUGCAUGGUAUACCAGUAUCCAUAGUUUCUGAUCGAGACCUAAGAUUACUUCACGAUUUUGGGUCAGUUUGCAGAAAGCUAUGGGCACGGAUUUGCGAUUCAGUUCUUUGAUGCCCCCAAAAUAGGUAUACAUCACCCAUUUUGAGUCGCCAGAUACAUGGUACAAAAUUCAAAUACAACUUAAUUAUACAACAGUCGUGUAAAUACGACAAAACAUAAUCUAAGAGUUUUAAUAAGAAUAUUGUCCAUCUAACAAUAUCCACAAUCAAUGGAGUCCUCAUUACAUUUAUAAUCACACUAUUUCACAGAAUAGUGAGGACUACUAAUACAAACAUCUGGACCGUCACUCUGUUCCCCGACUAGACCCAGCUACGUUCUCAUUUCCUGAAGAGAACCAUGAAAGAAAAGGGUGAGCUCAACUAGCCCAGUAAGAAAUAUUAUGACUAAGAUAAUGCAAAAUAAAUUAUCCUUAGCCUUCAACAGUAUAACAACUGAUAGAAUAUAAUAGACAACAAGUUUUAGAUCAAAAACUGCAGCGAAAUAAGCAAUCCAUUAGAAGAGUCAAGUAGAGCAUAAAAUCUACUAUCUUCUAUGAUUUAAAAAGUUUUUCAAAAUUUUUAUCGCUGAGACUCAGCUUAAUAUAUAUAUAUAUAUAAAAGCAAUAAACGCACCGGAUGUAGACUUACAGUGGACUGCCAAAGUAGACUUCUUGGACUGCAAAUGGAUGAACACUCGUCUCUCGCCGGACUAAAAGUAGCUAUAUACGAGCUAACUAGUGUUUAAAGAAAAGGAAACACUCAAAAGAUGUGUAUGCAGAGCUAAACGGACAGGGCUUCCUCGCCUUUUUCCCUCUCUUCCUUCUCUCAAAUGGCUGACCCCCCCUCUAUAUUUAUAGACGGAUGGCCGCAGGUCUACCUGCGGCUGGUCGUGGUGGGCCCGGGCAUCGCGGGUCUCGUCGUCUUGUAGUACGUGCACUUGCGCACGGUAAUGUCCAAUCGAACUUUCAGAACUUCAAUCCUAGCAUCCAAACGAAGCGUGUCUGUACUUCUUCGGACCGCUGGUGUCGAGAGUUACGUAAUGACAUGGAUUAGAGGUUGUACGAAGUCAGGAAGCGGGGUAUAUGCCCAUGGUCUUCAGGCUUCAAAUUCUAUCCAAAGUAUUGUCACAGGUAAUAGUCACUCGGGAUUGUCAUUCCUCGGUUAUUUGGGACAUUGUUGUAUGUAUGUAUGUCUGAAAGGUUGAGACGACGUGCCAUUUGUUGGACGAACAAGAUGAUGUUUGACUCUUUGCCGGAGUUAUCGCCUGGUUGAGCUGAAAGUAACCGUUGCUCAGGUUACAUCUGAGAUUGGACUACUUGUUGGUAUGCUGCUAUAUCAUCUUGUUACGAGAUGACGUUGGUGACUCCUCACCGGGUUUAUCGCCGGUUUAAGCGGAAAGCAGACGUUGAUCAGGGUUACAGCUAAGAUUGGACCGCCUAUUUGUAUGCCUCACUGUCAUCUGUGAUUGAAGCUGAUUGCAUGUGUUUGCAACAAGCAAUUCUGGAGUUAUCGCCGGAACUGCGAUGGCAUCACUUGGGGUUAUCACCAAGGAUGGGACUACUACUCCCAAUGUUGUCUCUGGGACUGGAACUGAACGUCGCGGUGUCAUCACCGAGACAGGACUGUCCUCUCCGGUGUUGUUGCCGGUCUUUUGAUCUGCACAUCUCGGGGUUAUCUCCGAGAUUGGAAAUGACGUGCCCGGUGUGUGUUCCGGGUUUGGAACCGAUGCUCCCGGUUUGUGUUCCGGUUUGGAGCGAAACUUCCGGUAGUAUCUGGACUUGUUGUGAGCUGUCUUUCAGGGUUAUCUCCAAAAGACGAAUCUACCCUCCUGCAAUGUUAGUAAUAGGAGUGCAGAAAAUUUCGAGUGUCUACAACACCUAGCAACCCAGAUCAUCACUAUAGACUAAAAACAACAUAUUCUAACACCCAAACAUAACAUUUAACAACAUAUCAAAGGUCAGAUUUUUAGGUUUAGUGUUAUACCUUCUUGCUCAAUUUCUUGAUUUUAUGUUACUGAUUUGUUAUGGGAUUUCGUGGGGCUUGAAAAUGGGACAAAAAUGCUAUAGAUUUUCGUUGGUUCUAGUGAGAGAAGCUCUUGGUUGAGUGUUGUGCAAUUUUUAGUGAACAAAUGCAUUUUCUCUAUCCUUAAAUCUAUUUAUAGACAAAUUAGAUACAUGAAUGGCUGAGCUAGAACUUGUUGUUGUCAAUUUAGUGUCACAUGGCUACUCUAGGGUUAGCCAACCACUCCAUCUAGACCUAUUUCUACAAGCAAGCUUCAAUAAUACAAUAGGGCACAAAAGUCUUUUGGCUAGCAAUUUUAAGGGCAUUUUUAUAACUUGUCAAACCCUUAGGGUUUAACCCUUAGGGUUUAGCACAUAACACAAAUGAUUUUUAGCAACUUAGGGUUUGAAUAAAAUAAAAUUAUUUUAGCUUCUAAAAUUUGAAAAUCAAGAUUUGUUAAUUAGAUUAAGUUAGUAAUUAUAUUAUACAUGAACAUUAGGGUUUAGUACCACUAAUCAUAAUUAACCUUGCCAAAAUAGCAAUUAGGGUUUAAGAUUUUAAUAAUUAGGAUUUCUAAAACUCAAUUAGGAUUUUCUAAUUAUCCAAUUAGGGUUCUGAACAUUAGGGUUUUAAUUUAAUAAUUAUGUUUACCAUAAUUAGCAAUUAAAGUCUAUUGUACGUGUUAUUAAUCACAGUAACAUAAUUUUUGACAGAUAAAAUUCUUCAGUUUAAGUUUUGAUUUAGGGUUUCUAAUAUCAGAAAUUCAAAUCUAAUUAGGGUUUGACAUUUAUAAUUAGGGUUCCCUAAUUGGCAUAUCAUUAUGUAACACAACAUAUAACACAGUUAUAUAACAGUCUCAAAUUUCCCAUUUAAAUUGAAAAACAGGGUCAAACCAAUUAAUGCUAGGGUUUGGUCAAUAUACACCAUAAUUGACCAACCAUCAACAGUACGUACAUACAGUACAUAUUUAUGGCACUGAGAAAUUAAAAUAUUAUAAUAUUAUAUAUUAUUCUCAUGCCUUGAUCAAAACCCAAAAUUAGAGUUUGGAUUCCGUAUCUGAUUUAUCUGCCAUAAAUAACCUUAUUAAUUAAGUUAAAAUAAUUAACUUAAUAAUCUGAACAAAAUUCAUAUAAUAAAAUAAUUAUUAUAAUUAUUCUAACAUCAUUUCAUAUAUUACUUAUAUUUUCAAGGAAAAUAAUUAAUAAAACAUUUCUAAUAUAAAAUUAACUGUUAUAAGAAUAUAAUUUAUAAUAAUUAAUAUUUCUAAAAUAAAUCAAUUUGUAAUAAUUAAUGUAAUAAAUUUUAUUUAUCACACAUAUAAUUAUACACAUAUUACCUUGGCACAUAUCACCCAUAUUUAUUUUAAUAAAUAAUAAAAAAAAAAUUUAUACGCAAAAUUUAUGAUUUAUUUAUAUAGAAAAUAUCGGGUUGUCACAUUCUUCACAUUCAUCAGAUUCGGGUGUGUAGCUUGAGCGGCUUUAACUUUAUCGAUUAAAGUCGAUUCUGCUCGUAUAUUCGUUAUCUUCACGUGGGUCCUUAGAGUCUUUAACUCUAUCUUCAUCAUUUGUAAGUUAUACGAAAUGGGUAUUUGUGUUAACAACAUCGCACUUGUAAACACAUACGAUCUUCUACUCAAGGCGUCAGCUACUACGUUCGCUUUUCUACGAUGAUAUUGAAUGGUAUAGUCGUAAUCUUCAAUAGCCCGAGCCAACGUCUUUGGCGCAUGUUACGUUCGUUUUAAGUGAAGAAAUAUUUGAGGGUUUUAAAAAUGGGUUUUGUACUGGGGUCAAUACAAAAUUUGAUUUCACGCUCUAGGGGUAGGCUAAGAAGUCUUCAGGAAUACGUCAGGAAACUUAUUAACGAUAGAAAUAUCAUUCAAAACUGUGACUCUCAUCCCAAGACUUGGAUAGCCCGUCAUAUUGAUACCUAUCAACUUGCCACCGUUAUUCACGGCGUCCCCUACGGAUAGUCUGGCUUCGGUGUAUUCCAAGACUUGGAAGUCAUCAGCGAAAGGCUUAGGUCUCUUUACUUAUGGCUUGAUAUGACAAUGAUUGGCUUUAGUGGUUUGGUUGCUUGAAUUCGCAUAACAGGUUGGUUAGGAAUAUGAAAGCUAACAACCUUACGAAAAGCAUGAUGAGUAGUUAACCAAUCGACUCCUAAAAUCACAUCAAAGGCAAGUAAUUUCAAAGAGAUAAGAUCGACAGGUAACGUGAAAGUGUCGAUUUGAAUUAAACAAGAUUUAUAAACAGUGGAUGUAAUUAACGAAGGUUUCUCCUAACAUAGUUUCAACCGAUAAGUCAAAGUCUAAUUUCUCCGGAGUUAAGUUCAAACAUUGAACACAACUAGGUGAAAUAAAAGAGUGAGUAGAACCGGUAUCUAACAAGGUAUAGACUUCGCAAGAGUUUAUGAUUAACUUACCCGUGAUAACUUUAUUCAGGUUUCUCGUCACGAAAAACGCUCUCUCUUAAACUACUGAUUUUGACUUGUCUGGGACAUCCCAGUUGGACUUAACUUUGCUGUAGAGUACAUUCCACCCUUAAUUGCUUCAUCACAUUCCUGAUCCAUGAUUCGAAUCAUUACUCUCUGAUCCAUAUCGAAUUGGGGUUAACCGCUCUGCACAGGGUAAUUUCGAAUUCGAUGUUGGAUUCUCCCAAUUGUUGUCCAAAAAGCAAAAUCCAUUUCAUCUAUUUUAGCCUUAUUGGAUCUGACGUCUUUUUCUACAAUAUCUACACGUCGUGCGACUUUUACCCAUGCAUCAUCUAUUCUCAUUCGUUCAGUUGUUUUUUCUUUCAUCAGAACUUUGAUCAUAGCAUUCUUAAAUUCCAGCUCUAAUAUCUUAUACUCUGCCAAAGAGUGCUUCUGUUCGAGCAUCGUACAUCGGGUAACACAAUUUUGAAUUGCUACAUCUCUUUGCUCCACGACCGCCUGUCGUUCUUCAGCCUGCUCUUCUAGCUCAUGAAUACAAUUUUGUAAUUCUAAAUUUCGAUCAUAAAAUUCUUCUAAUAAAUUCACCUCAGGUUCCUCUUCUUCCUCACUCUCAGCUGCUACCUCUGCAACUAGCUCGAGUGCAACUAUUAGUUCUUCACUCACCAUGUAGAUAUCUCUAAUUUCUUCUUCGUUUGACAUCACAUUAACCUGGUUAGUGAUUAAAGGUGUCUCAACGAUCUCAUUCACUGCAUUGUUAAUAUUUUUAGCCGCCAUUUUUAAAUACUGUCAUAAAACAAGGGUGAAUUAACAUAUCACAUAUUAUCAAUAUAUUAUGACCGACCAAUUAAAUACCAAAUAAACUUAGGUAGGUCAUACUAGCAAAGGAAUUCCCCGUCUCUCCCCUCCUAGUUCUUGUCUCACAUCUCAGCCAGGGAUCAUAUCCCUAAGCUUUGAUACCAACUGUGACGCCCCCAAAACAGGUAUUCAUCACCCAUCUUGAGUCGCCAAAUACAUAGUACAAAAUUUAAAUACAACUUAAUUAUACAACAGUCGUGUAAAAUACGACAAAACAUAAUUUAAGAGUUUUAAUAAGAAUAUUGUCAUCUAGACAAUAUCCACACUCAAUGGAGUCCUCAUUACAUUUACUGUCACACUAUUUAACAGAAUAGUGAGGACUACUAAUGCUAACAUCUGGACCGUCACUCUGUUCCCCGACUCGUCCCAGCUAUAUUCUCAUUUUCUGAAGAGAACAGUGAAAGAAAGGGUGAGCUCAACUAGCCCAGUAAGAAAUAUUAUGACUAAGAUAAUGCAAAAUAAAUUAUCAUUAGCCUUCAAUAGUAUAACAACUGAUAGAAUAUAAUAGACAACAAGUUUUAGAUCAAAAACUGCAGCGGAAUAAGCAAUCCAUUAGAAGAGUCAAGUAGAGCAUAAAAUCUACUAUCUUCUAUGAUUUAAAAAGUUUUUCAUCAUUUUUAUCGCUAAGACUCAACUUAAUAAAUAAAAUUGAAUCAUCCCUGCACCACAGCGAAGUUUAUUCAUGUAAUCAUCAAUGGUCAUGACUAUACCGAAUAAUCCCUAGUCAUAAUCAUACCAACAACUGUCCACCAAUGAAUUACAUGCCAAUGAUGACUUUUACCACAUCAUUCGUCACAUUACAGUCAUGAUUAUACCGAAUAAUCCCUGGUCAUAAUCAUACCAAGUCCAUCUAUGCACGUAAGUCAAAGAUGACUAUCAUCACAAUAUAAGCAUGAAGAUGAUAACAAUGACAUAAUAAUUCAAUAAAACAAGUUCAAGGAUAAAUUUUAAAGAUUUAUAAUUUAAUUUAUCCAGGAAUCAAUAACGUCUAAUUUGUCAACAUGAUACUGCUUUGUGGAGUAAAAUUCAAGAAUGCUCAGAAGAAUAUUUCUAUGAAAAGAUACUGGAUGAAGUGCAAAUAUCUAGGAUAUUCUACUAAUUUUAUGGAGUAUAGAAGCCAAAACUUUAACCAACUGAGUAUAAUAGAAUAUAUGAAGCUGUAAAUGGAUUUUCGCCCGCCAUGCGGUAAUCCAUGUAGACAGAUCAUUUCCACAUUUUAAUAAGGAAUGAAUACGAAGGAUCAUUCACCAUGCAUGCGAUAAUCCACAUAGACAUGUUAUUCCAACAGAAUAACAAAGUAUGGAAUAACAGAAGAAUUCACCAUGCAUGCGAUAGACCACACAGACAGGUUAUUCCAACAGAAUAAUAAAGAAUGAAAUACUAAAAGAAUUCACCAGGUGUGCGUAGUCCGCACAGACAGGUUAUUCCAGCAGAAUAAUAAAGAAUAGAAUAACAGAAGAAUUUACCAGGCGUGCUUAAUCCGCACAGACAAGUUAUUCCAACAGAAUAAUAAAGAAUGGAAUAACAGAAGAAUUCUCCAGGCGUGCGUAAUCUGCACAGACAGGUUAUUCAACCAGAAUAAUAAAGAAUGGAAUAAUAGAAGAAUUUUGCCACGCAUACGGUAAUCCGUGUAUACAGGUUAUUCCAACAGAAUAAUAAAGAAUAGAAUAACAGAAGAAUUUCACCACACAUACGGUAAUCCGCGUAUACAUGUUAUUCCAACAGAAUAAUAAAGAAUGGAAUAACAACCCUGACAAGUAUUGAAAGAAAUAACUCUCUUAAUAAAUACGAAAGAAAUAAUACCCCUUACCUUAGAAGAAAACUAGAAUAGUGAGGUAGCAGACUUCUCUUCUUCUUUCUCUCUAUAAUUUCUCUCUAUAAUAAUUUCUCUAUAGCUUUAGUGAAUUGGUGAACAAUAAUGAAGGAAUGAGCUUCUAUUUAUAGAAAAAUAUAGUUUCAACAAUUGCACAUUUUGGGGCUCAAAAAAUUACAGUAUAAUAUCUUCUUCUUUUUCUUCAUUUUUAAUUUAGUCCUGCAAGUAUUAUCAAACUUGCACCACCUCCUCUUGGAAGUCCUUGAAUCAAUCAGCUCGAAACAAUCCUUCUUGGACUCAAAUUCUAGUUAAAAUUACCUUUUCUACGCGUACCCAAGCCCCAGCUUGGGUAUUGCCUUGUAAAUAGUAAGCCCCGGCUUGCUAUGCUUCUGAUUUUGAACUCAGGACCCCAAGCCCCGGCUUGGGUAUAAAGCUUAAAAGAGCAAGCCCCGACUUGGGUGCAAGCUGCUAAUAGUUUUUUCUGCUGCAGUGUCCUCAGGUAAAAUGGCCAUAACUUUUGAUCCGGGAGGAGUUACGGGGCCUGCCACCUAUCAAAUCAAAGAUAUCGACGAGAUCUACAACUUUCAUUCUUUGAGAAUUGAGUAAUAACGAACGAAUGAAGGUAGAAAUUGGACUAGAAAUGACUGUUAUGCAAAUGGCCACCCAAAAUAGCGAAGUUAUUCAACAGUCUCCUGUGCUCCAUUGAUAUUCUCAACAUUCUCGGUUGUCAUUUUCAAAUACUGCCACAAAACAAGGGUUAAAUAACAUCACAUAUUAUCUCUAUACUCUGACCGACCAAUUAAAUACCAAAUAAACUUAGGUAGGUCAUACUAGUUCCCCGUCUCUCCCCACCUAGUUCUUAUCUUACAUUUUAGUCAUGGAUCAUAUCCCUAAGCUUUGAUACCAACUGUGACGCCCCCAAAAUAAGUAUACAUCACCUAUUCUGAGUCGCCAAAUACAUGAUAUAAAAUACAAAUACAAUCUUAAAUAUACAACAUAAGUUGUGAGUUUUAAUACAAACAUUGUCUUCUAGACAGUAUUAAAACUCAAAAUAAGUCAUCAAUACAUUUAUUAACACACUAUUUCACAGAAUAGUGAGGACUACUAAUGCUAUCCUCUGGACCAUUACUCCAUUCCCCGACUCGUCCCAGCUAUAUUCUCAUUUCCUGAAGAGAACAAUGAAAGAAAGGGUGAGCUCAACUAGCCCAAUAAGAAAUAUUAUGACUAAGAUAAUGCAGAAUAAAUUAUCAUUAGUCUUCAACAAUGUUAAACUGAUAAAAUACAAUAACUGCAGCGAAAUAAGUAAUCCAUUAAAAGAGUCAAGUAGAGAAUAAAAUCUACUAUCUUUUAUGAUUUAAAAGGAUUUUCAUCACUUUUAUCGCUGAGACUCAGUUUAAUAAAUAAUCCACAUCAUCGAAUCACCCCUGCACUACGGCCAAGGAUAUUCUUUAGUAUUACAACCAUAAAUAUCCAUGCACUACGGGCCAAGGACAUUCGUGUAUUCAUUAAUGGUCAUGAUCAUGCCAAAAACUGUCCAACAAUACACUACGGUCAAUGAGGACUUUUACCACAUCAUUUGUAACAUUACGGUCGUAAUUAUACUGAAUAAUCCCUGGUUAUAAUCAUACCAAGUCCAUCUAUACACUACAGGCCACAGAUGACUUUCAACAGAAUAUAAACAUGAGGACGAUGACAAUGAUAUAUGAAUUCAAUAAAACAAGUUCAAGAAUUUAUUUGUCCAGGAACCAAUAACGUCCAAAUUGUCAACAAGAUACUGUUUUGUGGGAUAAAAUUCAAGAAUGCUCAGAAGAAUAUUUUCAUAAAAAGAUAUUGGAUGAAGCGCAAAUAUCAAGGAUAUUCCACUAAUUUCAUGGAGUAUAGAAGUCAAAACUUUAACCAACUGAGUAUAAUAAAGAAUGAAAUAACAAAAGAAAUCACCAUGCACGUGGUACUUCGCAUAGACUGGUUAUUCCAACAGAAUAAUAAAUAACGGAACCAGGUUAGGCAAAAUUCGCACCGAUAGGAUGUUCCAACUGAAUAAUAAAGAAUGGAAUAACAACAGAAAUCACCAUGCAUACGGUACUUCGCAUAGACAGGUUAUUCCAACAGAAUACUAAAUAACAGAACCAGGUCCGGCGUAAAACGCACAGACAGGAUAUUCCAACACAAUAAUAAAGGCGGAACCAGGUCCGGCGUAAAAGUCACAGACAUGAUAUUCCAACAGAAUAAUAAAUACGGAACCAGGUCCGGCGUAAAACGCACAGACAGGAUAUUCCAACAGAAUAAUAAAGAAGAAAAUAACAGAAGAAUUUCAUCAAAUAUAGGGUAGCCCGCGUAUACAGGUUAUUCCAACAGAAUAAUAAAGAAUGGAAUAACAGAAGUUCUCUUCAUGAAUACAAAAGAAAUAAUACCCCUUACAGUUACAACAAAUAAUAUCCAUUACCGUAAAAGAAACUGGAUAUAGGAAAAUAAAGUUAGCAGACUUCUCUUCUUCUUUCUCUCUAUAAUUUUCUCUCUUUAAAGUUUCAGUGAAUUCGUAAGAAAUAAUGAAGGAAUGAACUUCUAUUUAUAGAAGAAUGGACUGCAUAGUAACUAAUUCAUGAACGGUCCAGAUUGAUUUACUUUUAAUCGAACGAUCCAUAAUUAAAGCAAAGUUUUUUAAAUAAAAUAUAAUAUAUUAUAUAUAUAACAUGUGCAAGAAAAGAAAAAUCACGGGUGGAAGACCCGUGAAUUCAUCUUACUCCCUCUGUCCAUUUUUUCAAACUUACAUAUAUAUAAUAUAAUAUAAUAUAAUAUACAUAAUAAUACUCCUCCCGUCCAUUUCAUCCAUACCCCCCCACCCAAGACUUUUCAUCACAUAUAUAAUAUAAAACAUAUAUAUAUAUAUAUAUAUAUAUAUAUAUAUAAUACUCCCACUAACUUUUCCUUCAACCAACCCGUGACAAACAUAACAUUUCACCCAAGACUUUCCUCCACAAAUGGGCCCCACCCGUGGCCCUCCUAAAAUAACUUCUAUCGAUUAUUUUGAAAACUGGAUAAAUAGGGAUCCAUAAAAUACGUCAAAAUUCACAACAAUUACUAUAACAAUAAUUGAACAAAACUGAGUAGUUCAACAGUAUUAACGGUAAAACUUCCGCCGUUACUUUCAAUAAAAUAUUUUUGUCGUUUUCUCAAUCCGACAAUAAUUCUGUUGUGGGGUCCACCAAUGAUUGUACCGUCGUACGGAUAUUCCCUGACAAAAAGAAUAUUUCCCGACCAAUCGAAUAUAAUAUGACAACUUGCAUACUUUGCAAAAUUUAUAAAUAUUACCCACAAUUAUAAUAUUAUAUCAAAUUAUUCCAUAAUAUUCAAAAAUGAUAUUUAUUGAAAAUUCAUUUUUAUUCAUAAAAGUUGGGGUCUUACAGUAGUUAAAUUCUUAUUUUUGACAUUUUUCAAAUAUUUCAUCCAUGCUUUUACAAUAGACAUCUUUCACUUUGAUGGCGUUUGACAUGCUUACAACAAGUAAUAGAAAUCAUUUUACAGUCAUUAUUUGCAUUAAUCAAGCAUGUUAGUCACAUAGUCAAGUCGUAGUUUCAAUGGUAAUGAAUAGAUUUCUUAUAUGUAAUACAUUUUUCAAAUAUCUCAUCCAUGCUUUUAUCAUCACCAUUUUUCUCUUUGAUGGGGUGUAGUAUGAUAAUAACAUGCAACCAUACAUAUGUAUAGUUACACCAUAUUAAGAACUUAGUUACAUGAAGUUUUCAUGCUUUGCUUAGAGACUUCUAGCAUACAAGGUGCUUUUGUAACUUAUUUUAUGCCUUUGAAAAUAUUCACAACUUGGUUGAGUAAUUUAUAGUUCUUAUAACACUUUUUAGCUUUAUUCUUGUAUACAAAAGUGUAUCAUUCUUGAUUUUCCUCUCUUUCCCAAAAUAGUCCUAACAUGAUCUAUUUGGGGCAAUCAAGCUAGCUUCUCUUGACCAUUUGGGCUUAGUCAGGCUUGGGGUAGCCUAGAUUGGCCUUGCAGUCCCAAUUGGCCUCUAUCUAUGGCAUGAUUUUAUUAAUACCCUCUUCUAUUAAGGUUUACUCUCACCUAUAUCACCAUUUGAUUCUGUUAUUUAUAGGUGAGGAUUUCUUUGAACUGCUACAUGUUUGCUACUUACUUGAUUUUGUUUUCUUUCCGUUUGUAGCUAACUACUCACUAGUAGCAGCUCUCUACUUUAGAUACUAAAUUUACUAGCUUUUAAUCUCCCACUAAACUUUUGGGUCAGCAGCUAGGGGACACAACUCCCUAAUAAUAGAGCAUAUUGGUUAAUUAUCUUAAGCAAUAUAGUUGUAUUGUCUGAAGGUCUAAAGGACAAGUUCAUUACCCAGCUCAGCUACUGUUGCUAUUAGUUGUUAUUUUUCAGUAAUAGAUUGACAGUCUUCAAACUUACCAUGUUUCUUCUUUAAUAACUUUUGUCUAGAAAAUUUCUAUUGCACUAUGUGCACCUUUGAAUACUUGCUUAAAUAAGUAACAAUUACACUCUAUUUAAUUCUGCAGUUUGCAUUUCAAAUCCAAACUACGUUGCCUAUAGCAGUUUAUUGAGGAUGUUUAUUAUUGCCUUAUAGCAACAACCCCCCCUAUUUUGUAAAAUUUCCCAAAUCACAAUUUUAGAUUAACCUAGACUGCCCAAAACCAUUUUAGUAAUGGCUCAUAGCUACAGUUUUAAGCCAACUGUUGCUGCUCCUAGGUAGCAGCUACAUUUGAUUUUGUUUCAUGCCUUGAACUCUCCCUAAUUUUGGUUUACUUGCACUUUAUUUGAAAGUUAUAUAACUAACAUUUUCAACUAAUAGGGAAACUUUAAAUCAAUAGUGAAAUUAUAAUCUAUAUGAUCCAACAUGUUAGCUAAACUGACCCUAGCGAGUCCAGAACAAUGGUCUACAGUCUUCUUUUGUUUUUCUAUGCCAGCAACCAAGCUUGGCUUGGCCCUGUAAGGCUGAUCACCUAAGCUUGGUGUGGCCCUGCUUGGCCUCACGGUCCCUAAGUCAAAUCCAAAGUUGUUAUAGCAGCUGCUAUCUUGGCAACUGCUGCCAUCAAGGAAUAACAGCCCUGCCACUCUUCUUUAAUUCUUAUACUUGCAAACCCCAGAGGAAUGUUUAUACACUAACUUCAACCAUACAUCCUAGUUAGCUCUUAUAAAGUUAUAUUAAUUUGUUAAACAGACUGCCCAAAACUGCUUUAGCAGUCAUUCACUUGUCGACUGUCGCUGCUUGUUUCUAUAACCAGUAGGCAGCCGUCCCAAGUCUUAUGCCACUAAAAGCUUUUACCUCUUAGAUUGAUAUGAAAUCUUGGCAUGUUAUAGGUGAUUCAAAUUCUGAUUAUUUUUAGCUACCAACUAGACUAGGAGAAAAGCUUGCUAGUGCCACUAAAGGUUAAUAUUUCUGCUGCUGCGACAUGCUUUUUGCUGCUGCUUGCAGCUAAUUGCUGCUGCCAAUGGGCAGCUGCGCCCCUUACUUCAGGCCAUUUUUGGCUUCACAUCAAUUAGCCUAUUCACAACCCACUUUCAUUGAUCAAUAAAUGGUACACCUGCCUUCUAAGCUAACUUAGCAACUGUGGCCCAAAUGUACUAUAUGUAAAUCAAAAUGGUGUGCUAACCUUCCUGCUCGGCUCUGCAGAGCAGUGCAGCACAACGCUGGGCGUUUACUGCCAAUGCCUGCAGUAGCCUCAGCUAGCUUUGCCCAAGCUCAAACAUUUUUUUUUCUUAAAAUUUGUUUUUCUUUCCAUUAAUAUGUCAAAACAUAUUUCCUAAUCUUAUAUAAGACGUCCAUAUAUAACCCCAACUUUAAUUCCCUCUAGAAUUCUCUUUUUAGCCAAAACAGUCCACUUGGGACUUUUAACAAAUAUAUGGUGUGCACAGUUUUAAUUUACUCUUUCCAUAGCCAUUUACUUGUGUUAUAAUCUCAUGUUAGCCUCCUUAUUACUCCACAGCCACCUAUCUCCUUGUGCCUAAAUUACAUACAUCUAGCAUGCUAGUGAAUAACCUUUACAACAAUAAAAAAGUAAAAUAAAUGCUAUGUGACUUUACCAGGCCAUUCGGCCAUAACAGUCCAUCACAACUUGCACGAAAUAGUGUUAAACAAGAUAGUUUAUUACUUGAUAACUUUUCCUUAAAAGUUUGAUAUCACAACUUUUACAGAAGAUUACAAUUACCCAUGACAAGUAUAAUUUACUAACACAUCUACAUUACAACAUUAAUAAUACUAACAAUAUAGCAGCCCCUUCUUUUUUCUUUUCAGGCCAUUCGGCCACUGUAGAUUACUAGCAGCAAGAAACUAAAGUGGAAAAGGAUUGGAAAUCUUACCUUAUUGAUUCGAAGGAAACAAAGAAGUUAUACUGCCCAGCUUCUCCACCUACUCUUAGCCGAACUCUUCCACCCUCUCUCUAUAUGACCGAAUUGCUAUAGCUAUUUUGUCUCUACUAAGUGAUGAAGCUAAACUAGUUAAUAAGCUUGGCCCCUUUUUUAUGGCUGAGCUUGGUUCCUUCUACUGUUAACUGCAUCACCUCCUAGUUGGCCCCUACACAGUCAUCAUUCCUAACCUAGCUUCACAGCCACCCUAGCAGACUCUACUUACCUGCUAAGCCUUAUCUUCUGCAAGCUUAUCUAACAUAUUCUUUGUCUGUUAUACAAACUAACCUACCUGUUAACUAGAACCAACUUAGAAACCAUAUGCUUACAGCCUGACUAUGUACUCACGUUAUGCCACUGCUUUUCUUAUUUAGUCUGAAACAGUUAGCUUGUUAUACACCACUGGGUUUACAGGAUUGGUUUAGGUAGGAGUUUGAUAAAUACUUAAUUUGGGCUUAAACCAAUCCUCAAUGGUGGCUGCCGAAAUUGGGCUAGAAAAUGAGUUAGAAUUGGCUUUAUAUUAGACCCAAUACCAUAACCCUUAUUCCUACAUUAAUUAAAGGAGACUUGCAAACAUACAAUUGCAAAAAUUUAUUAUGGCCUAAUAUUUUAAUAUGGACUCUUGUUAAAUUAACACAUGGACUUUUAUAUAUUAUUUUCUCUAGCAACAAUAGUUAACACAUAUAUCAUUAAAAUGUCUAUUCCAUGUAAUCUUAAAUAAUUCAUGGUGGUACAAUAUUUCUUUAUCCUUCAUAAUUUAAGAUGUUUAAUAACCUAUUAAAUAAAUAAUAGUUUUGUCACAAUGAGAAAUAACAUAAUUAAAAUAAAAUAAAAAAUAUACUCACAAAUUGACAUUAUAAUAAUUAAAUAUUACAUAGGAUUUUUUGAGUCAUUACAUACGCGAUAACUCUGCCGUUCUGCAAAAGCACACAGCCUUGUCCUUUAUGCGAUGCAUCAUUGUAUACCACAAAAUUCCCUGUAUCAUCAGGCAAUGACAACACAGGUGUUGAACUCAACCUUUUCAUUAAUUCUUGAAAACUUUCCUCCCACUUCUCUGUCCAAACAAACUUAACCGUUUUCUAGUUAAAUUCGUCAACGGAGUUGCGAUCUUGAAAAAGUCUUGAAUGAAACGCCUAUAGUAACCCGCCAAUCCUAAGAAACUCCUUACUUCUGACGGUAUCUUCGGCUGAUCCCAGUUUAUUACAGCUUCAACCUUUGAUGGAUCUACCGAAAUUUCGUCCUUAUCAAUAACGUGUCCGAGAAACUGUACACGUUCCAACCAAAACUCACAUUUUGAAAAUUUUGCGUACAACUUUUCUUUUUUCAACGUCUCUAACGUCAAUCUCAAGUGUUCAACAUGUUCCUCUUUGGUCUUGGAAUAUACCAAUAUAUCAUCGAAUCAAAUCCAUGAUAUAUUGGUAUGAACAGGGUGUUUAUAUCAUUUGUCUAAGAAUGGUUUAAACACCUUGUUCAUCAAAUCCAUGAACGCUGCAGGUGCAUUGGUUAAACCAAAAGACAUAACCAGAAACUCAUAAUGACCAUACCGAGUUCUGAACGCUAUUUUUGGUACAUCCUCUGGCCUCACCUUUAACUGAUGAUAACCACUCCUCAAGUCUAUCUUUGAGAAAUAGCUUGUUCCCUUCAGUUGAUCGAACAUGUCAUCGAUUCUAGGUAAUGGAUACUUAUCUUUAAUCGUGAUCUUAUUCAAUUCUCGAUAGCAAUGCAGAGCCGUAUCGAUCCAUCUUUCUUCUUAACAAACAACAUCGGCGCUCCCCAUGGCGACACACUCAGUUGAAUAUACUUUUUGUCGAGUAAUUCUUGCAAUUAUACCAUCAACUCCUUCAUCUCUACUGGGGCCAUUCUAUAUGGUGCAUUAGAUAUCGGGGUCGUUCCUGGUAAUAAGUCAAUUACGAACUCGAUUUGUAGAUCCGGCGGAAGACUCGGCAAAUCGUCUGGAAAUACGUCUGCAAAAUCUCUUAUGAUUGGUAUCUCUUCUAACUUCGCACUCUUCUUUUGUGUAUCGACUAUGUAGGCUAAGUAUCCUACACAUUCUUGUCUCAACAACUUCUUGGCUUGCAUCACCGUUAGACAACUUGCUUGUCGAGGUGACUUGCUGCCGUAGAACACAACCUUUGAUGGAGUCAUAAGGUUAACACAUUUCCUUUCGCAAUCAAUUACUGCUCCGUAAUUGAAUAACCAAUCCAUUCCCAGUAUAACAUCAAACUCACAAAGUCUAAUUGGUAUCAAAUCUACCAUCAUCUCGUGACCUUUUAUAACCACCCUACAAUUCCUAUAUAUAAAUCUAACAGGAAUCACUUCCUUAUUCGCAAUCUCUAUGCUUAAGGGAAAUUCUAAUUCUUCCUGAGGCAAAUCUAAAUUUUGAGCAAAUUCAUUGGAUAUAAAUGAAUAAGUAGCACCCGAAUCAAAUAGUACAUAAGCAUUAAUACCAUUAAUCUAAAUGAUACCUGAGACCACAUCCUUAGACUAUAUAACAUCCUGCACGGUCAUAUUAAAAGUCCUCGCAGUAGGUCGACUUUGUGACGCCCCCAAAAUUAGGUAUACAUCACCCAUCUUGGGUCGCCACUUACAUGGUACAAAAUACAAAUACAACUUAAUUAUACAACAGUCGUGUAAGCUACGACAAAAUAUAAACAAUGAGUUUUAACUCGAAUAUUGUCAUCUAGACAUUAUUCAAACACAAAUAAGUCCUCAAUACAUUUAUUGUCACACUAUUUAACAAAAUAGUGAGGACUACUAAUGCUAUCAUCUGGACUGUCACUCCGUUCCCCGACUCGUCCCCGUUACGUUCUCAAUUCCUGAAGAGAAUAGUGAAAGAAAGGGUGAGCUCAACUAGCCCAACAAGAAAUAUUAUGACUAAGAUAAUGCAGAAUAAAUUAUCAUUAGUCUCCAACAAUGUUAAACUGAUAAAAUACAAUAGACAUCAAGUUUAACUGCAGCGGAACAAGCAAUCCAUUAAAAGAGUCAAGUAGAGAAUAAAACCUACUAUNNNNNNNNNNNNNNNNNNNNNNNNNNNNNNNNNNNNNNNNNNNNNNNNNNNNNNNNNNNNNNNNNNNNNNNNNNNNNNNNNNNNNNNNNNNNNNNNNNNNNNNNNNNNNNNNNNNNNNNNNNNNNNNNNNNNNNNNNNNNNNNNNNNNNNNNNNNNNNNNNNNNNNNNNNNNNNNNNNNNNNNNNNNNNNNNNNNNNNNNNNNNNNNNNNNNNNNNNNNNNNNNNNNNNNNNNNNNNNNNNNNNNNNNNNNNNNNNNNNNNNNNNNNNAAUAAUUAAAACGGAACCAGGUCCGGCGUAUAGCACAGACAGGAUAUUCCAACAGAAUAACUGAAUAAUUAAAACGGAACCAGGUCCGGCGUAGCACAGACAGGAUAUUCUAACAGAAUAACCGAAUAAUUAAAACGGAACCAGGUCCGGCGUAUAGCACAGACAGGAUAUUCCAACAAAAUAACUGAAUAAUUAAAACGGAACCAGGUCCGACGUAUAGCACAGACAGGAUAUUCCAACAGAAUAAUAAAGACAGAAUAAUAGAAGAAUGUCACCAAGUAUAGGGUUGCCCGCGUAUACAGGUUAUUCCAACAGAAUAAUAAAGAAAUGGAAUAACAGAAGUUCUCUUCUUGAAUACAAAAGAAUAAUAUUCCUUACCAGAAAAGAACUUAAUAUAAGAGUAGUUUCAGUAGCAGAAUACUUUUCUUCUUUCUCUCUUACAAUUUAUCUCUCUAGAGUUUCAAUGAAUUUGUAAGAAAAUAAUGAAGGAAUGAGCUUCUAUUUAUAGAAAAAUGGAAUGCAUAGUAACUAAUUCAUGAACGGUCCAGAUUGAUUUACUUUUAAUCGGACGGUCCAUAAAAUAUAUUAUAUAUAUAUAAUAUAUAUAUAUAUAUAUAAUAACAAUAAUACUCCCUCCGUAUAAACCAAAAAAAUAAUUUGACAACUUUGAAAAAAACUCCCAACCUUUCAAUUUUCAAUACCGUGGGCCCCACAUGUUCCCCUCCCCCCAACAUGUCAAUAUCACAAGGGUCUCAUUAUAUGUAAAUAACUUUCUAUCAAUAAUAUUGAAAAAUAGGUAAAUGGGGGUCUAAAUAAUACGCCAAAUUUACAACAACUACCUCAUAAAAAUCCCUUCAAUAUUUUUAACAAUAUUUAUCAUCUUUAUUACAAUUCACAAUAUUAAUCGACCAGGUCGUUCCCAGGAUAGAGGGGGCUUUCCAAUAAGGAUUUCUCUCUAUUGGCGCGCAAUUAGAUUAUCUAACCUCUCCUUGACAGAACUUCUAGACAUCGUUAAUAUUGCAAAUAAUAACAUUAAUAACUUUGUCGUCUCAAUUAUUGAUUUAAUAAUAUAAAGAAUAUCAACAAUAAUUGAAUCAAAUAACGUGAGAUACUAUGCAACAAUUACUAUAACAAUAAUUGAAUAAAACUGAAUGACUUCUCACGUAAGCAUAAAUAAUCAAUACCGUGUGCUACUAUGCAACCACGCGUAUUACUGUACUUUUACUACUGAGUAGUUCAACAGUAUCAACGGUAAAACUUCCGUCGUUAUUUUCAUAAAAAUAUUUUUGUCGUUUUCUCAAUCCGACAAUAAUUCUGUUGUGGGGUCCACUAAUGAUUGCGCCGUUGUACGAAUAUUUCCUGCUAAAACGAAUAUUCCCCAACCAAUCGAAUAUAAUAUAGCAACUUGCAUACUUUGCAAAACUUAUAAAUACUACCUUCAACUAUAACAUUAUAUUAAAUUUAUUGCAUAAUAUUCAAAAAUGAUAAUUAUAGAAAAUUUAUCUUUAUUCAAAAAGUUGGGGUCUUACAACCCCCCCUUCUUAAGAAAUUUCGCCCUCGAAAUUAGGGUACGUACCUGGUAUAUCGAAGAGGUAAGGAUACCUUGAUUUCAUUUUAGAUUCUAACUCCCAGGUCAUUUCCUCAACAUCGUGGUUUCUCCACAAAACUUUGACUUGAGGUAUAACCUUGGAGCGUAAAAUAUGUUCCUUGUUAUCCAAGAUUUGAACAGGAACCUCUUUAUACGUUAAAUCUUCCGCUAUUUCGUCUGGUUCUAGCUCAAUAAUGUGGUUCGGGUCUUCCACAUAUUUACGUAACAUGGAUAUGUGAAAAAUGUUAUGAACACCAGACAUACUAGGCGGUAAAGCGAGUCUAUAGGCCACAGUUCCUACUCGAUUGAGGAUUAAAAAUGGGCCAAUGAAUCGAGGAUUGAGCUUUCUUAUCUUUCCAAAUCUCGUAACACCUUUCCAUGGAGCAACAUGUAACAACACAUGAUCUCCAAUAUCGAAUUCCACGUCCUUUCGAUGAAGAUCAGCAUAACUCUUUUGUCGAUCUUGUGAGGUUUUUAUACGUUGUCGAAUCGUUUGAAUCUUUUCCGUAGUCAUACGUACCAACUCCGGUCCCAACAACGUUGCUUCACCCACCUCAUCCCAGCAUACUGGAGAACAACACUUUCUCCCAUACAACGCCUCAAAUGGAGCCAUGCCAAUACUUGCUUGAUAACUAUUGUUAUAGGAAAACUCCACCAAUGAUAAGAACUUAUCCCAACUUCCAUUGAAGUUAAGGACACAGAGUCUUAAUAAAUCUUCUAGAGUUUGAAUAGUCCUCUCUGAUUGUCCGUCCGUCUGAGGAUGAUAUGCUGAACUAAAUCGUAAAUCUGUGCCCAUAGCUUUUUGCAAACUAACCCAAAAUCAUGAAGUGAAUCUUGGGUCUCGAUCAGAAACUAUGGAUACUGGCAUACCAUGCAGUCUUACAAUCUCGUUUAUGUACAUACGAGCAAGACGUUCAAGUGUAUAAGUUUCUCGUAUAGGUAAGAAAUGAGCAGACUUGGUCAAUCUAUCAACAAUGACCCAAAUUGCAUCUAUGCCUUGAGAAACCUUGGGAAGACCAGUAACGAAAUCCAUGGUAAUGUGCUCCCACUUCCAUUCUGGAAUUUCAAGUGGUUGCAAUGGACCUUUUGGUACUUGAUGCUCCGCCUUGACUCGUUGACAAGUUAGACACCUUGAGAUAAACACCGCUAUCUCUCUCUUCAUAUUGCUCCACCAAAAUGUAUGUCGAAGAUCAUGAUACAUUUUGGUACUCCCAGGAUGGAUUGCAAACGGUGUGUUGUGCGCCUCCAUCAUGAUUUUAUACUUUAAAUCAGGGUCGUUAGGAACACAAAGUCUGGAGUUGACUCGAAGUAUUCCUUCUUCAUCGAUUCUUGCUUCCGACAUAACACCUUCUUGCACUUUCUUCCUCAUACGCAUCAGCUCCAGGUUUGUAGUUUGAGCAGCUUUAACUUUAUCAAUUAAAGUCGAUUAUACUCGUAUGUUCGCCAUCAUCACAUGGGUCCCUGGAGUCUUUAACUCCAUCUCCAUCCUUUGCAAGUCAUACAAAAUGGGCCUUUGUGUUGACAAUAUUGCACUCGUACCCACAUAUGAUCUUCUACUCAAUGCGUCAGCUACCACGUUCGUUUUUCUAGGAUGGUAUUGGAUGGUAUGAUCAUAAUCUUUCAACAGUUCAAGCCAACGUCGUUGUCGCAUGUUGAGUUCCUUUUGAGUGAAGAAAUAUUUAAGGCUUUUAUGAUCCGUAAAGAUCUCCACUUUCUCCCCAUACAAGUAAUGCCUCCAAAUCUUUAGUGCGAAGANNNNNNNNNNNNNNNNNNNNNNNNNNNNNNNNNNNNNNNNNNNNNNNNNNNNNNNNNNNNNNNNNNNNNNNNNNNNNNNNNNNNNNNNNNNNNNNNNNNNNNNNNNNNNNNNNNNNNNNNNNNNNNNNNNNNNNNNNNNNNNNNNNNNNNNNNNNNNNNNNNNNNNNNNNNNNNNNNNNNNNNNNNNNNNNNNNNNNNNNNNNNNNNNNNNNNNNNNNNNNNNNNNNNNNNNNNNNNNNNNNNNNNNNNNNNNNNNNNNNNNNNNNNNNNNNNNNNNNNNNNNNNNNNNNNNNNNNNNNNNNNNNNNNNNNNNNNNNNNNNNNNNNNNNNNNNNNNNNNNNNNNNNNNNNNNNNNNNNNNNNNNNNNNNNNNNNNNNNNNNNNNNNNNNNNNNNNNNNNNNNNNNNNNNNNNNNNNNNNNNNNNNNNNNNNNNNNNNNNNNNNNNNNNNNNNNNNNNNNNNNNNNNNNNNNNNNNNNNNNNNNNNNNNNNNNNNNNNNNNNNNNNNNNNNNNNNNNNNNNNNNNNNNNNNNNNNNNNNNNNNNNNNNNNNNNNNNNNNNNNNNNNNNNNNNNNNNNNNNNNNNNNNNNNNNNNNNNNNNNNNNNNNNNNNNNNNNNNNNNNNNNNNNNNNNNNNNNNNNNNNNNNNNNNNNNNNNNNNNNNNNNNNNNNNNNNNNNNNNNNNNNNNNNNNNNNNNNNNNNNNNNNUCAAAAUCCAAUUUCUCCGGAGUCAAAUUUAAACGUUGAGCGCAAGUAGGAGAAAUGAAAGAGUGGGUAGAACCAGUAUCAAAUAAAGUAUAAACUUCGCUAGAGUUUAUGAUAAGCUUACCCGUGAUGACCUCGUUCGGGUUCUUUACUUUUUGGGAGGUUACAACAAAUGCUCUUCCUUGCACUACCGACUUUGACUUUUCUGGGAUGGCCUUUGGUGACUCUAUCCUAACUGAACUUGUCUUCGGUGCACGACAAAAUCGAGCCAGGUGACCUUCUCUUCCACAGUUGUAACAUGCUUUGGAUGGCAUCGCACAGUUGGGACUGAUGUGUCCCUCUCCUCCACACUUGAAACAUAUGAUAGGUGGUCGUUCCCCUUCCUUAACGACAGGUGCUGAUGUUGACGUCUUUCCAUCAUUGUUGAAUCUCCUCUUUUUGAAAUGUCCAUUUUUAUUGUUUUGGCCAUGAUUACCACCGAAGUGGUUACCAUUUCUGGCCUUUUGAUUUCCUCCACGCUUGUUGUCACCGCUUUGAUGACUGUUCUCACUGGUAUUAUCAUUUUAUUGGCUGCUCUCUUUUGGUUGGCUUAACUCGUUAUCACGCUCCAAUAACUGAGCCCUAUUAACAACAUCCGAAUACAAACACAGUUUAUGAGAGAUAAGAUAUUGACGUAUCUCAGGUUUCAAACCUCUUAAAAACAUUCGCGUCAUUCUCUCCUCAUUAUCAACCAAAUGGGACGCAAACUGGGACAACUCGGCAAACUUGGCUUUGUACUGCGAUACUGUCAUGUUGUUUUGUUCCAGCCUGAUGAACUCUACCUCUUUCAUGUGACGAAUACUUUUGGGAAAGUACUUGUCGUUGAACAAUUCUUUGAACUUCUCCCAAGUCAUCUUCAGUGCGGCAGGUUGAGUACGCUUUACAGAUUCCCACCAGUAAUCUGCCUCUCCUCGCAACAUGAAGGUGGCAAAGGAAAUCUUUUGUUCCUCGGAGCAUCCCAAGACAUCAAAUAUCUUGGUAAUCUACUUUAUCCAUGUCUCCGCCUUAAGUGGUUUUGGUUCUCCAAUAAACUUCGGUGGUCCCAGCUCCUUGAACUGUUUGGCGGUGACCAUCCGAGAGUUGCUAGUGUUUUCACCUGCAUUUUGGACAGGAGCCGCUCCUGCCUGAUGUUGUAUGAAUUGCAUGAAUCCUCGAAACAUUUUGUUGUUCAAUAUUUGGUCAGUGUUGUUGUUUGCAUGAGGAUUUUUGCCUUCCUGAUGCACAUUGUCCUGAUUGUUGAUCUGUGGAGACUCAACGGUCUCCUGUGCUCCAUUGAUGUUCUCAACGUUCUCGGAUGCCAUUUUCAAAUACUGCCACAAAACAAGAGUUAAUUAACACAUCACAUAUUAUCCCUAUACUCUAACCAACCAAUUAAAUAACAAAUAAACUUAGGUAGGUCAUACUAGCGAAGGAAUUCCCCGUCUCUCCCCUCCUAGUUCUUAUCUCACAUCUUAGCCAGGGAUCAUAUCCCUAACCUCUGAUACCAACUGUGACGCCCCCAAUAUUAGGUAUACAUCACCCAUCUUGGGUAGCCACUUAUAUGGUACAAAAUACAAAUACAACUUAAUUAUACAACAGUCGUGUAAGAUACGACAAAAUAUAAACAAUGAGUUUUAACUCGAAUAUUGUCAUCUAGACAGUAUUCAAACACAAAUAAGUCCUCAAUACAUUUAUUGUCACACUAUCUAACAGAAUAGUGAGGACUACUAAUGCUAUCAUCUGGACUGUCACUCCAUUCCCCGACUCAUCCCCGCUACGUUCUCAAUUCCUGAAGAGAACAGUGAAAGAAAGGGUGAGCUCGACUAGCCCAGUAAGAAAUAUUAUGACUGAGAUAAUGCAGAAUAAAUUAUCAUUAGUCUCCAACAAUGUUAAACUGAUAAAAUACAAUAGACAUCAAGUUUAACUGCAGCGGAACAAGCAAUCCAUUAAAAGAGUCAAGUAGAGAAUAAAAUCUACUAUCUUUUAUGAUUUAAAAGGUUUUUCAUCACUUUUAUCGCUGGGACUCAGCUUAAUAAAUAAUCCACAUCAUCGAAUCACCCCUGCACUACGGCCAAGGAUAUUCUUUAGUAUCACGACCACAAUUAUCCAUGCACUACGGGCCAAGAAUAUUUGUGUAUUCAUUAAUGGUCAUGAUCAUGCCAACAACUGUCCAUCAAUGCACUACGGGCCAAUGAGGACUUUUUCCACAUCAUUUGUAACAUUACGGUCAUGAUUACACCGAAUAAUCCCUGGUCAUAAUCAUACCAAGUCCAUCUAUGCACUACAGGCCACAGAUGACUUUCAACAAAAUAAUAACAUGAGGAUGAUGACAAUGAUAUAAGAAUUCAAUAAAAUAACUUUCAAGAAUUAAUUUGUCCAGGAAUCAAUAACGUCCAAAUUGUCAAUAAGAUAUUGUUUUGUGGUGUAAAUUAUUCAAGAAUGCUCAGAAGAAUAUUUUCAUGAAAAGAUAUUGGAUGAAGUGCAAAUAUCAAGGAUAUUCCAUUAAUUUCAUGGAGUAUAAAAGUCAAAAUUUUAACCAACUGAGUAUAAUAACGAAUGGAAUAACAAAAGAAAUCACCACGCAUGCGGUACUUCGCAUAGACAGGUUAUUCCAACAGAAUAAUAAUAACGGAACUAGGUCAGGUGAGAUUCACACCGACAGGAUGUUCCAACAGAAUAAUAAAUAAUUAAAACGGAACCAGGUUCGGCGUUUAGCACAGACAGGAUAUUCCAACAGAAUAACUGAAUAAUUAAAACGGAACCAGGUCUAGCGUAUAGCACAGACAGGAUAUUCCAAAAAAAUAACUAAAUAAUUAAAACGGAACCAGGUCCGGCGUAUAGCACAAACAGGAUAUUCAAACAAAAUAAUAAAGACAGAAAAAUUGAAGAAUGUCACCAAGUAUAGGGUUGCCCGCGUAUACAGGUUAUUCCAACAGAAUAAUAAAGAAAUGGAAUAACAGAAGUUCUCUUUUUGAAUACAAAAGAAUAAUAUUCCUUACCGUAAAAGAACUUAAUAUAAGAGUAGUUUCAGUAGUAGAAUAAUUUUCUUCUUUCUCUCUUACAGUUUAUCUCUCUAGAGUUUCAAUGAAUUCGUAAGAAAAUAAUGAAGGAAUGAGCUUCUAUUUAUAGAAAAAUGGAAUGCAUAGUAACUAACUGAUGAACGGUCCAGAUUGAUUUACUUUUAAUCGGACGGUCCAUAUUUAAAGUAAAAUCUUUUAAAUAAAAUAUAUUAUAUAUAUAUAUAUAUAUAUAAACAAUAAUACUCCCUCCGUAUAAACCAAAAAAAUAAUUUGACAACUUUGAAAAAAACUCCCAACCUUUCAAUUUUCAAUACCGUGGGCCCCACAUGUUCCCCUCCCCCAACAUGUCAAUAUCACAAGGGUCCCAUUAUAUUUAAAUAACUUUCUAUCAAUAAUGUUGAAAAAUAGGUAAAUGGGGGUCUAAAUAAUACGCCAAAUUUACAACAACUACCUCAUAAAAAUCUCUUCAAUAUUUUUAACAACAUUUAUCAUCUUUAUUAAAAUUCACAAUAUUAAUCGACCAGGUCGUUCCCAGGAUAGAGGGGAUUUUCCAAUAAGGAUUUCUCCCUAUUGGCGCGCAAUUAGAUUAUCUAACCUCUCCUUGACAGAACUUCUAGACAUCAUUAAUAUUGCAAAUAAUAACAUUAAUAACAUUGUCGUCUCAAUUAUUGAUUUAAUAAUAUAAAGAAUAUCAACAAUAAUUGAAUCAAAUAACGUGAGAUACUAUGCAACAAUUACUAUAACAAUAAUUGAAUAAAACUGAAUGACUUCUCAUGUAAGCAUCAAUAAUCAAUAUCGUGUGCUACUAUGCAACCACGCGUAUUACUGUACUUUUACUACCGAGUAGUUCAACAGUAUCAACCGUAAAACUUCCGCCGUUAUUUUCAUAAAAAUAUUUUUGUCGUUUUCUCAAUCCAACAAUAAUUCUGUUGUGGGUUCCACCAAUGAUUGCGUCGUUGUACGAAUAUUCCCCGCUAAAACGAAUAUUCUCCGACCAAUCGAAUAUAAUAUAGCAACUUGCAUACUUUACAAAACUUAUAAAUACUACCCACAACUAUAACAUUAUAUUAAAUUUAUUCCAUAAUAUUCAAAAAUGAUAAUUAUAGAAAAUUCAUCUUUAUUCAAAAAGUUGGGGUCUUACAGACUUGACUGUGCUGAUCCAGAGAUAGUUAAUGUACCACCAACGUUGUUGUUUCCUUUUCCACCACUUGCACUUCCUGCUGGCUUCUUAGGGCAAUCACGAGCCAUGUGAUCCUACGAACCGCAGGUAAAACAUGCUCCUUUAUUUGGACUAAAACAGUUCAGUGUAAUGUGUCCCUCCUGACCACAGUUGAAACACACCCGCUUUCCCUUCAAACAUACUCCAUUAUGAUUGUUUCCAUAAGUCGCAUAAGCUUCAAACUUUUUCUUCUGCUGAUUUCCUUGUUGUCCUCCCGCAGUCGAAUUUUCACUCCACUUCCUCUUCUGAUUGUUAUUUCCAACGUUACUUCCACCAGCCUUAUUUUCAUUCUCAGUCUUCCUCUUCUUAUAUUCUUGGUUGUACUUGGUCAAGGCAUCGCUUUCACCUUCUGCGAUAAUUGCCUUUUCCAGUAUAACCGCAAAUGUAUUUAACUGAAAUAUUGAAACCUUGCUAUACAGCCAGGGUUUCAAUCCAUGUUCGAACCUUAUCGCCUUUCGUUCAUCAGUAUUGACUUAAUAAGUGGCAAACCUUGCCAAUUCAUUAAACUUCGCAGCAUAUUCUGGCACCGUCAUAGUUCCUUGUUUCAGUUCCAGAAAUUGCAUUUCCAACUUAUUCUGAGAACUCGCUGGAAAGUACAUUUCAAAAAAUAUCUCCUUAAAUCUAUCCCACGCUAUCACUCCUUGUCCCCCACGAACCUUAUUUGCCUGCCACCAGUAGCUAGCUUCAGACUUCAGCAUGAACGUUGUGAACGCAGUCUUCUGAUCCUCGUUGACUCUAGAAACGUUGAACACUUUCUCCAUUUCCAUGAUCUAGGUUUGGGCUUCUACUGGAUUCAUAGACCCUUGAAACUCUGGCGGUCCAACCGCUUUGAAUUCCUUAAAGGUCAUGACUUGAGCUUGCGGUUGAUUCGCAAGUGCACCUGUUAACAAGGUUACCAACUGCUGAACCGGGUUAGCAUUGGCCUCGUUAUUAUUUUUAGUAGACCCCUCAGGAGGUGGUUGUUGACGUGUUUUUCUUCUUCUAGGAGGCAUUUUCUGUUAAGAUAUACGCUCAUUAGUUCAUUACUCAACUUCUUGAUUAUUUGAAGUUUAACUUAAAUAUUCUAAGAUUAAAGUUAUAACACAUAACAUUUCAAAUAAACUCUGGUAUUUUAUUCAUUCAUAAUGUUUUAAAACAUAUUAAAGAUAGCAUAACCGCUAUUAACAUUCACUUUCCUGAACUAAGCAAGUUUUAGGAUUACAUAUUCAUACUACCCCUUUAUUUAUCUCAAAAUAAGGGAUUCACAGUUUAUAUACUCACUUACUUAACCACGUAUUAUUAUUCUCAUUCUUUCUAUCUAGACAUAUUAAGAUGUCGUAAGGCUUCUCUAUGUUCUUCCUCCAUAAUUCGAUACAUCGUUCUACGAUCCAUCAUGAACUACAACGAAUCUUCAAAUUGAGGUGGAUAAUAAAAGACUCGAUCCUGGGCCCUAUCAAUUGCAGAAUUAAAGGCAUAAUCCAUCCCAUUCAUCUUGGCCUUCUUCACUUGAACUUUAUCCUCGGCACGGUCUGCACGUUAAGUCACCUUUAUCCAAGCGUCCUCUGCUCUCGUACGUUUAGUUGAAUCCUCUUUCAAGUCAUCUUUUAACUUCUCCACAUCAGUCUUCAUCUUCUUGUUCACUGCCAACAAAUCUUCAUGCUGACCCUUGGUAUGAAAUAGGUCCCACUCCGUGUUUCCAAGUCUUGAGUCGAGUUCUUGAAUCUCCGCAUCCUUCUGCUCUAUCGUAGCGUGAUGCAUCUCAACCAACUCCUUCAGCUCCUGAACUUUGUCUUGUAAUUCUAUGUUACGAUCGUACAGAGCAUCAUACAUCUCAGCUGAUAUGGAGCUUUGUGGAAACGCCACAGGAUCCUCUUCCUCAUCAUCCAACUCUAUCUCUUCAGAACUAUCCUCCUCGGGAUCGGUCACAGGUUCAUCCUCCUGGAUCAACUGUUCACGCAUAACAUGAAUAUCCCGGGGUUCCUCAUCUCUAGGUAUCUGAGGUAUUACUUCCCUAGCUGGAAUGGAUCCUCCUUCAUUAGACAUCCUAACAACAAAAUAUUUUAAGUUUACUUAACAUUUUUCGAUACUCGCGAGCACAUAAGUUAUUACACAUAGCACAUAAUGUCUUUUAUUAUUUAUCUUCAAUGGAUAGCUUAAUCCAUUCAUUAAAACUCGAUAAGAGUUAGACACCUCUAUAUUUUCUGUCUUCUUAAAGGUUACUUCCUAAGGUUUCCCCACCUAAGGUUCAUAACCUAAAGCUCUGAUACCAACAUGUGACACCCCCAAAUCUGGGUAUUCCUUUUCCACAGGAUUUGGUGCUCACUAUCCAAAACCAUUACAUCUAACUACCCAUAACAAAGGAUAAAGACAUAAUUUAAAUAACUUAACAAUAAUCUUCCCAUUAAAGGGUUACAUCGUCAUAAAACAAUCCCAAAUAAUUUAAUCUUAAAUUAUUACAUAAGUUUGCGGAAUACAUCAUAAAAUAAAACAAGUCUUAUAACAUAAACAUUUAAAUAAACUUUCAUAAAUCUUCAACACUUGGACAUCUUUCCCUUUUCUUUGCUAGUAGAUGGCUCAUCGACUUUCUCAACUUUAGCUGCAGUGUUAAAUGCAAGAGUGAGCAAACAAUUGCUCACUGAUAUAGAGAGUAGUAAUGAUAACAACAUAAGAUUAAACAACGAAUGCUGAACAAUAAUGAAAUUGUUCUAUGAAUAAAAAAUAGAAAACAAGUUCAAAUUUAAUAUCUGAGGGUCUUAAGACCACGAACUAUGUCCCCGAUAUUUAGGUAUUAUUACCCAACCUUAACAGUCAUUUAGACUAUACAAACCCUUCUUAACGUACUUAGGGGGAUCAGCCCUUUGUACCAUGUAUUGUGCACAAACAUCUAAACGUUACACGUACAAAAUCCCCUAUGUUAGGGUUGUUCGUCUCAGCUUGAAUUUAGAAUUUCUGCACUAAAGAGAGUUUAGCUCGGAACUAACUUAUCAAUGGUUCUAGAAUUUUAGAACACUACUCAAUUAUAGACUAAUUCAAUCAAUAAGAGUUUGCUUGCUACUUGAAGAUUUAAUAUAACAAAAAUAGAAUUGAACAAGGCUAUCAAAGUCAAAGAUCGAAUAUCAACAAUAUACAGUUGAGCACUACAACAAAAAAGCUUAUCAGCGACCGCCUAUCAGCGACCGCCUGUGGUCGCUGAUAUCUAUCUGCGACCGUCUACUCGAGUAAACAUGAUAUACAUGCAAAGUACUAUAUCCAAAAGAGUUAGAAUAAUCUCCUUUGAAUCAAUGUAUUAGAACAAUAUAUUCUUUUGAAUAACAAUAUCAAGAUUUAGGAAAGUGAAACUCGCUCAAUGUAACAAACUAGAUUACAAGAGAUUGUACGAUACACGAGAUAGAAUCAAUAGGCUUGCUGAACUUUAAUGUAAAAUUUAGAAUUAGAAAGCUUGUUUGACAUAAAAGAUAACAUAGCUAUGAAACUUGCAUUCAUUAAUAAAAGAAUGAAGUUAGAAAACUUGCUCAAUAAAAGUUUAGGAUAAGAAACUUGCCUUGUAUGUAAGCUACACAAGUGUAAUAAUGUUCGCCAAUUACCCUACACAUAUCAUUGGAAUCGCAAUAACAAUUAGUUGUAUUAUUAUUAGCUUUAAGGGUUUAAACCACCAUUUAGGUCAUAACCUUAACUUAACAUCUAACCAUGUUGGUUAACACCUUUAACAAAUCUAAAAUCCCUCUAUAAACUAACAUAAACUUUAUCAUUCAUUUCUUACUUUCAUAAACAUUAUUUUUUUAUUCAUUACAUAACUUAAUUAAAUAAUCACUUAAAAUCUUCAUACUUUAUAUUACAUCACGUUGAAAUAUGUUAUUGUAGUUCACGUUAACAUGUAUGCCAAACUAGAUUAAGUCCAUUAAUCAUAACCUAUAAAUAAGCAGAAGUCAUUGCCUAGGCUCAGGGCACGGCGCAGCUGCGCUGUCCCAAGCCUUGGCAUCGGCACAGCUGCGCCGUACACGGACAGGAACUGCAGCAGCAGCUCUGUUACACAGCACACACCAAAACUCAAUCAAAUUUCACAGAAAUCAUAAAACUCAACAUCUAAAACUUUGUGAUAACAUUAAUAAUGAUGUUAUUCAUCAUUCUCACUACCUAAACAUUAUAUAUAUUAAAUUUUAAAAGAUCAAAACCCCAAUUUUUCCAAUUUCAUCAUUUUUUUACGCUUUUAGCGAAUUCGAUUGCUACGAAUUCAUUUCUUAAUCAAUUGACACAAUUCAAACUACGUUGUUUUCGUUUCUUAACAUACUAACACAUUCUAACAUCAAAUUACAGAUUAUAGCAAGUAUUGAUCAUGAAAUUUCGUACUUUCUAAAGCCAUUUUUCAAAAAUAAACACUAUUAUUAUAACUUCUUCCUUACAAAGCCAAUUCUCACAUGUUUGGAAAUCAAAUAGCACUCACAUAUAAUGAUUAACAGAUUAUAAACCAUAUAUACAUGUAUUUGUAUUAAUCCAUCGUAAUUAUCAAUAGAAAUUUCAAACAUAAAAGUUAGAAUUAGAGUUAUACCUUACUCCUUUGAUUGUUUGCUAGCAAAAAGAUGGUGACUAGGUUUAGAAAUCCCUCUCCUUGACAAUCAUAAAGAAUUCAAACUCACUGUGUUUUCCUCUCUUGCUCUCUCUCCAAGCUCUCUGUUCUUCACUAAUAUCUAGCCUUAGGGAAAGGAAUAAUACGCGUAAAAAAAUAUACUAACUCCCACUUUCCCCACUAAUGUCAGGUCACAAACCCAAAAGUUUGUGUCAGUUAGAAAUAAGCCAAAGGCCACAGGGCCUUGUUUGGCUAACCACAAUUUCUCCUCUACUAGAUUAUUUUUAUAUUAUUUUUAUUAUAUAGUUUUUAUUUGUCACACUUGCCACCAAUUUAAAUAGCUUACAAUAAUAAUUAUAAUAAUUAUAAUUUUUAUUAUAAUUAUUCUGAUGAUUAAUAAAUAAUUAUAUAUAUAUAAUUUAAUUAAUAAAUUUGACUUAAACAUUACUUUAUUUAAUUUACCUAUUUUCUUUAAUAUAAAAAAAAAUUUAAUUUAAUUUAAUUAUUUCAUUAAAUUAAAUCUUUCAAAUAAAAAAUAGCAUUAUUCAAUUUAAUUAACAUUAAUCAAUUUAGUCACUAAAUUAAUGCACCACAAUUCAUCAAUUAUUUAUUUUUCUCAAUAAAUAAAUUAUUUAAAAUAUUUAUUUAAUUCAAUAAAUAUUUAAAUUAAAUUACAAAUUUCUCGAUCGUUACACUAUUCAUUCGGUUAGUAUUUACCCGGGGUACUAUUCAUGACAAAAAUUGAUUUCUUUUAUGUCCAAAUUAUUUUUGAUACAAUAUUAUUCUUGAAUUUUACUCCACAAUUGGUGAUCAUGUUGACAAUUUAGAUAUUCUUAAACUCUGGAUAAAUUUAAUUAUAAAUAUUUAAUAUUUAUCCUUUAUCUCGUUUGAUUGAUUCUUUAUAUCAUUGUCAUGAUCCUCAUGCUUAUAUUGUGAUAAAAGUCAUCUUUGGCCCGUAGUGCAUAGAUGGACUAUUGGUUAUUGGUUUUACAGUUGUUUUUCUUUGGCCCGUAGUGCAAAGAAGAACUGUUGAUUGAUAUCUUUGGUCGUAGUGCAAAGAUGAAUUGUUGAUUGAUAGCUUUGGCUCGUAGUGCAAAGUUGGACAGGUGUAUGACAUGAUCAUGACCACUGGUGAUACUAACGAAUAUCCUUGGCCGUAGUGUAUGGAUAAUUCAAUGAUGUGAUUGGCAGGAUCAUGACCAUUAGUUAACAGUUGAAUGUCUUCGGCCGUAGUGCACUGACAGACAAUUGAUUGGUAUGAUCAUUGUUAUUACACUUGAAUGUCUUAGCCUUUGGGGUAAGGAUAUUGAGUAAACGUUCUAUUAAGCCUUUGUGGCAAGGAGAAACUGUUGAUUCACAUUAUUAUAAACAUGAAUUGUGAAUUUAUCUAAAAUCUUUGGUGGUUCAGGUGAAGACAGGUGAUGAAAUUUCUCUUUGUCUUGGUAUAAUAAAGAACUGUUAAUGGGUAUUAUAGGGAUAAAAUUGAUGAUAAACUUUUAAAUCAUAGAAGAUAGUAGAUAUCAUGCUCUACUUGACUCUUCUAAUAGAUUGCUUAUUCCACUGCAGUUGUUGAUCUAAAACUUGUUGUCUAUUAUAUUCUAGCAGUUGUUAUACUGUUGAAGGCUAAUGAUAAUUUAUUCUGCAUUAUCUUAGUCAUAAUAUUUCUUACUGGGCUAGUUGAGCUCACCCUUUUCUUUCAUUAUUCUCUUCAGAAAAUGAGAAUAUAGCUGGGACGAGUCGGGGAAUGGAGUGAUGAUCCAAGAUAAGUGGCUUUAGUAGUCUUCACUAUUCUGUGAAAUAGUGUGAUAAUAAUUGUAAUGAGGACUCCAUUGAGUUUGGAUAUUGUCUAGAAGACAAUAUUUGUGUUAAAACUCUCAGCUUAUAUUUUCUCGUAUUCUACACGACAGUUGUAUAAUUAAGUAGUAUUUGUAUUCUGUACCAUGUAUCUGGCGACCCAAGAUGGGUGAUGUAUACAUAUUUUGGGGGCGUCACAUCAACAACCACCACAAAUAUAAAACCUUUGAAGCCAAGCCUGUGAGACCCCAAAUUUUAUGAAUAAAGAUUUAAAUUUCUCGAAAUAUUUUUUUUGAAUAUUACGGUGUGGAUUUGAUAUAAUGUUAUAGUUGUGGGUAAUAUUUAUAAAUUUUACAAAGUAAACAAGUUGUUACAUAAUAUUCGUUUGGUCGGGGAAUAUUCUUUUUGUUGGGGAAUAUCCGUACGAUGGUGCAAUCAUUGGUGGACCCCACAACGGAAGUAUUGUCGUAGUAAGAAAAUGACAAAAUUAUCUUUUUAUAAAAAUAAUGGCGAAAGUGUUACCGUUAAAACUAUUGAACUACUCCGUAGUAAAAGUACAGUAAUACGUGUGGUUGCAUAGUAGCACACGAUAUUGAUUAUUAAUACUUACGUAAGAAGUCACUCAGUUAUACUUAAUUAUUGUUAUAGUAAUUGCUGCAUCUAUCUCUCAUAUUAUUGAUUCAAUUAUUGUCACAGUAUCAUCUGCAUAAUAUGUUAUAUUAUUAAAUCAAUAAUUGAGACGACAAAGUUAUUUAUAUUAUUAUUUGCAAUAUUGAGAAUGUCUAGAAGUUCUAUCAAGGAGAGGUUAGAUAAUCUAAUUGCGCGCCAAUAGGGAGAAAUCCUUAUCGGAAAGCCCCCUCUUUCUUGGAAACUACCUGGUUGUUAAAUAUUGUGAGUUAUAAUAUUAAUGAUGUAUAAGUUUGUGUUGAUUAAAGAUGAAAUUGAUAGUUCCAUUGUGUUGGGAUUAUUAGUGUUAGUGGAAAUCGACAUUUAUUUCGAUAAUAAUUGAUGUUUGGAAGUUAUAUUGACCAAUCGGGUAAUUAACCGGAUAAAUGAGCAAUUAAUUGCUAUUAAUUCACAUGCUUAUAACUAUGUGUUCACAUGUGUGUACUAUUGAUUCACAUGAUUUACUAUUAGGGGAGUUGGUGCAAGAUUGAUAAUACUUGCAUGACUAAAUUAAAAAUAGAGGUAUAGAUGAAGGUACUAUACUGUAAUUAUUUUUUUCACAUGUUUAGAACUAUUGAGUCACAUGAUUUACUAUUGAUUCACAUGAUUUACUAUUAGGGGAGGUGGUGCAAGUUUGAUAAUACUUGCAGGACUAAAUUAAAAAUGAAGAAAAAGAGGAAGGUAUUAUACUGUAAUAUUUCGAGCCCCAAAACGUGCAAUUAUCGAAACUAUAUUUUCCUAUAAAUAGAAGCUCAUUCUUCCUUCAUUUCUCACCAAUUCACUAAAGCUUUAGAGCAAUUAUUAUAGAGAGAAAUUAUAGAGAGAAAGAAGAAGAGAAGUCUGCUACCUCACUAUUUUAGUAUGCAGUUUCUUCUAAGGUAAGGGUAUUAUUUCUUUCGUAUUCAUGAAGAGAGUUAUUUCUUUCAAUACUCGUAAGGGUUGUUAUUCCAUUCUUUAUUAUUCUGUUGGAAUAACCUGUCUGUGCGGACUACACACGCCUGGUGAAUUCUUUUGUUAUUACAUUCUUUAUUAUUCUGUUGGAAUAACCUGUCUGUGCGGACUACGCACGCAUGGUGAAUUUUUUUUUAUUCUAUUCUUUAUUAUUCUGUUGGAAUAACCUGUCUACGCAGACUACCGCAUGCAUGGUGAAUGACCCUUCGUAUUCAUUCUUUAUUAAAUUAUGUAAAUGAUCUGUCUACGUAGAUUACCGCAUGACGGGUAAAAAUCCAUUUGCAGUUUCAUAUAUUCUAUUAUACUCAUAUGCGAUAUCAUUUCUUUUGUACUCGUCAUAUAAUAUCAUUUUCUUUGGAAUUUUUCUUUUACGAGUUACUAUUGACAGAUUACUAUUCACCUGAUUAUUAUUCACUCUAGUAUUAUUCACUCAGGUAUUCGGGGCACUUUUCGUGUCAGAGUAUUAUUCACGGGUUACUAUUCACCCGAUUACUAUUCACUCUAGUAUUAUUCACUCGGAUAUUUGGGACACUUUUCGUGUCGAGGUACUAUUCACGGAGUACUAUUCCUGAAGUACUAUUCAUGAAAUACUAUUCACCCAAAAAAUAUAUUUCUUUUCAGUCCAAAUUAUUUUUGGGUACAAUAUUAUUCUUGAAUUUUACUCCACAAAACAAUAUCAUGUUGACAAAUUGGACGUUAUUGAUUCUUGGAUAAAUUAAAUUAUAAAUCUUUAAAAUUUAUCCUUGAACUUUUUUUAUUGAAUUAUUAUGUCAUUGUCAUCAUCCUCAUGCUUAUAUUGUGAUGAAAGUCAUCUUUGGCUUACGUGCAUAGAUGGACUUGGUAUGAUUAUGACCAGGGAUUAUUCGGUAUAAUCAUGACCGUAAUGUGACGAAUGAUAUGGUGAAAGUCCUCAUUGGCCUGUAGUUCAUUGAUGGACAGUUGUUGGUAUGAUUAUGACCAGGGAUUAUUUGGUAUAAUCAUGAACAUUGAUGAUUACAUGAGUAUCAUUGGCCGAGAUGCAGGGAUGAUUCGAUUUUAUUUAUUAAGUUGAGUCUCAGCGAUAAAGUUGAUGAAAAACUUUUUAAAUCAUAGAAGAUAGUAGAUUUUAUGCUCUACUUGACUCUUCUAAUGGCUUGCUUAUUCCGCUGCAGUUGUUGAUCUAAAACUUGUUGUCUAUUAUAUUCUGUCAGUUGUUAUACUAUUGAAGGCUAAGGAUAAUUUAUUCUGCAUUAUCUUAGUCAUAAUAUUUCUUACUGGGCUAGUUGAGCUCACCCUUUCUUUCACUGUUCUCCUCAAGAAAUGAGAAUAUAGCUGGGACGAUUCGGGGAACGGAUUGACGGUCCAGAUGGUUGUUUUAGUUGUCCUCACUAUUCUGUGAAAUAAUAUGAUAAUAAUUGUAAUGAGGACUCCAUUGGGAGUGGAUAUUGUCUAGAAGGCAAUAUUCUUGUUUAAACUCUCAGUUAUGUUUUGUCGUAUAUUACCCGACAGUUGUAUAAUUAAGUUUGUAUUUGAUUUAUGUACCAUAUAGUUGGCGACUCAAGAUGGGUGAUGUAUACCUGUUUUUGGGGUGUCAAAGUUGGUAUCAAAGCUUAGGGAUAUGAUCUCUGGCUGAGAUAUGAGACAAGAACUAGGAGGGGAGAGACUGGGAAUUCCUUCGCUAGUAUAUAUGACCUACCUAAGUUUAUUUGGUAUUUAAUUGGUCGAUCAGAGUAUAGGAAUAAUAUGUGAUAUGUCAAUUAACCCUUGUUUUGUGACAGUGUUUGAAAAUAGCAUCUAAAAAUGUUGAGAUCAGCAAUGAAGCACAUGAGACCGUUGAGUCACCAACGAUUAAUACCUAGGAUAAUGUGCAACAGGAAGAUAAUAAUCCUCAGGUAAAUAACAACACCGAUUAGAUGAUGAACGAUGGGAUGUUCAGAGGCUUUAUGCAAUUCAUGCAACAUCAGACGAGAGAGACUCUUGUUCAAAAUGCAGGUGGAAACACUGUCAACUCUCGGAUGGUCACCGCUAAGCAGUUUAAGGAGUUGGGACCACCAGAGUUUUUGAGAGAGCCAGAACCACUUAAGGCGGAGACGUGGAUAAACAGAUCACCAAGAUAUUUGAUGUCUUGGAAUGCUCAGAGGAGCAAAAGGUUCCCUUUGCCACCUUCAUGUUGCGAGGAGAGGCAGAUUACUAGUGGGAAUCAGUAAAACGUACUCAGCCUGCCGCACUGAAGAUGUCUUGGGAGAUGUUCCAAGAACUGUUCAACAACAAGUACUUUCCUGAAAGUAUUCGUCAUGUGAAAGAGGUAGAGUUCAUCAAGCUUGAGUAAAACAAUAUGACCGUGGCGCAGUACGAAGCUAAGUUUGCCGAGUUAUCUCAGUUUGCGUCCCACUUGGUUGAUAAUGAAGAGAGAAUGACGCGGAUGUUUCUAAGAGGUUUGAAACCCGAGAUACGUCAAUAUCUAAUUUCUCACAAACUGUGUUUGUAUUCAGAUGUUAUGAAUAGGGCUCAAUUAUUGGAGUGUGAUAAUGAGUCAGCACAACCAAAAGGCAACGACCAACAACACGAUAAUAAUCAUACCGGUGGCAACGGCCAUCGGAACAAUGAUAACCAUCGUGGGGGAAAUUAUUAUGCCAAGAAUGGUAACCACUUCGGUGGUAAUCAUGGCCAAGUUAAUAGAAGCGGAAAUUUCAAGAAGAGAAGGUUCAAUAAUGAUGGAAAGACGUCAUCACCAGCACCCGUUGUUAAGGAAGGAGAACGACCGCCGGUCGUAUGUUACAAAUGCGGAGGGGAGGGACACAUAAGUCCAAACUAUUCACAGCCUUCCAAGGUAUGUUUUAGUUGUGGAAAAGAUGGUCACAUAGCUCGAUUUUUUUCUUGUAGCGAAAUCAAGUCCAGUUGGGACAGUGGCACCAAAGGCGGAUACGGACAAAACAAAGUCGGUGGUUUCAGGAAGAGCGGUUUUUAUGACUUCUCAAAAAGUGAGUAACCCGAACGAAGUUAACACGGGUUAGUUAAUUAUAAAUUCUUGCGAAGUCUAUACCUUAUUAGAUAUCGAUUCUACCCAUUCUUUUAUUUCUCUUGCUUGCGCUCAGCGUUUAAAUUUGACUCCAGAGAAAUUAGACUUUGACUUAUUGGUUGAAACUCUGUUAGGAGAAACCUUCGUUACACCCACUGUUUAUAAAUCUUGUUUUAUUCAAAUCGACACUUUCACGUUACCUGUCGAUCUUAUCUCUUUGAAAAUACUUGCCUUUGAUGUGAUUUUAGGAAUCGAUUGGUUAACUACUCAUCAUGCCAAAAUUGAUUAUUUUUGUAAGGUUGUUAGCUUUCAUAUUCCUAACCAACUUGUUAUGCGAAUUCAAGCAACCAAACCACUAAAGUCAAUCACUGUCAUAUCAAGCCAUAAGUAAAGAGCCCCGAGCCUUUCGUUGGUGACUUCCUUGUGUGGAAUGCAUCGAAGCCGAACUUUCUGUAGGGGACGUCGUGAAUAACAGUGGCAAGUUGAUAGGUAUCAAUGUGACGUGUUAUCCAAGUCUUGGGAUGAGAGUCACAGUUUUGAAUGAUAUUUCUAUUGUUAAUAAAUUUCCUAGCGUAUUCUUGAAGACUUCUUAGCCUACCCCUAGAGCGUGAAAUCGAAUUUUUUAUUGACCCCAAUACAAAACUCAUUUAUAAAACCCUCAAAUAUUUUCUUUACCCAAAACGAACGUAUAAUGUGCCAAUGACGUUGGCUCGAGCUGUUGAAGGUUACGACUAUACCAUUAAAUUCCAUCGUGGGAAAAGCGAACGUGGUAGCUGACACAUUAAGUAGAAGAUCGUAUGCGUUUACGAAGUGUGACGUUGUUAACACAAAAACCCAUUUCGUAUAACUUAUAAAUAAUGAAGAUGGAGUUAAUGACUCUAGAGACCCACGUGAAGAUAACGAAUAUACGAGUAAAAUCGACUUUAAUCGAUAAAGUUAAAGCCGCUCAAACUACACACUCGGAGCUAGUGAAUACGAAGAAGAAGGUUCAAGAAGGCGUUAUUCUAGAAGCAAGAGUCGAUGAAGAGAGAAAAUCUCAAUCCUCGAUUUAAUUGGGCCAUUUGAAAUCCUCGAUGGAGUAGGAACUGUGGCCUAUAGACUUGUUUUACCGCCAAGUAUGUCGCGUGUUCAUAACAUUUUUCAUGUAUCGAUGUUACGUAAAUAUGUGGACGACCCGAACCACAUUAUUAAAUUGGAACUAGACGAGAUAGCAGAAGAUUUAACAUAUGAGGAUAUACGUGUUAAAAUCUUGGAUAAGAAGGAUCGUAUUCGACACUCAAAUUUUAUACCUCAAGAGUUAGAAUCUGAAAUAAAGUCAAGGUAUCCUUAUCUCUUCGGCAUACCAGGUACGUACUUAAAUUUUGAGGGCGAAAUUUCAUAAGAAGGGAAGAUUGUGAGAUCCCAAAUUUUAUGAAUAAAGAUUUAAAUUUCUUGAAAUAUAUUUUUUGAAUAUUACGGUGUGGAUUUGAUAUAAUGUUAUAGUUGUGGGUAAUAUUUAUAAAUUUUGCAAAGUAAGCAAGUUGUUAUAUAAUAUUCGUUUGGUCGGGGAAUAUUCUUUUUGUCGGGGAAUAUCCGAACGACGACACGAUUAUUGGUGGACCCCACAACGGAAGUAUUGUCGUAGUAAGAUAAUGACAAAAUUAUCUUUUUAUAAAAAUAACGGCGAAAGUGUUACCGUUAAAACUGUUGAACUACUCGGUAGUAAAAGUAUAGUAAUACGCGAGGUUGUAUAGUAGCACACGGUAUUGAUUAUUGAUGCUUACGUAAGAAGUUACUCAGUUAUACUCAAUUAUUGCUACAGUAAUUGUUGCAUCAUAUCUCUCAUAUUAUUGAUUCAAUUAUUGUCACAGUAUCAUCUGCAUAAUAUGUUAUAUUAUUAAAUCAAUAAUUGAGAUGACAAAGUUAUUCAUAUUAUUAUUUGCAAUAUUGACAAUGUCUAGAAGUUCUAUCAAUGAGAGGUUAGAUAAUCUAAUUGUGCGCCAAUAGGGAGAAAUCCUUAUCGGAAAGCCCCCUCUUUCCUGGGAACGACCUGGUUGUUAAAUAUUAUGAGUUAUAAUACUACUGAUGAAUAAGUUUGUGUUGAUUAAAGAUGAAAUUAAUAGUUCCAUUGUGUUGAGAUUAUUAGUGUUAGUGGAAAUUGACAUUUAUUUUGAUAAUAAUUGAUGUCUGGAAGUUAUAUUGACCAAUCGGGUAAUUAACCGGAUAAAUGAGUAAUUAAUUGCUAUUAACUCACAUGCUUAUAACUAUGUGUUCACAUGUGUGUACUAUUGAUUCACAUAAUUUACUAUUAGGGGAGUUGCUACAAGAUUGAUAAUACUUGCAUGACUAAAUUAAAAAUGGAGGUAUAGAUGAAGGUACUAUACUAUAAUUAAUUUUUUCACAUGUUUAGAACUUUUAAGUCACAUGAUUUACUAUUGAUUCACAUGAUUUACUAUUAGGGGAGGUGGUGCAAGUUUGAUAAUACUUGCAAUUAAAAAUGAAGAAAAAGAGGAAGGUAUUAUACUGUAAUAUUUUGAGCCCCAAAACGUAUAAUUAUUGAAACUAUAUUUUUCUAUAAAUAGAAGCUCAUUCUUCUUUCAUUAUCACCAAUUCACUAAGCUAUAGAGCAAUUAUUAUAGGGAGAAAUUAUAGAGAGAAAGAAGAAGAUAAGUCUACUACUUCACUAUUCCAGUAUCCAGUUUCUUCUAAGGUAAUGGGUAUUAUUUCUUUCGUAUUCAUGAAGAGAGUUAUUUCUUUCAAUACUCGUAAGGGUUGUUAUUCCAUUCUUUAUUAUUCUGUUGGAAUAACCUGUCUGUGCGGACUACACACGCCUGGUGAAUUCUUUUGUUAUUAUAUUCUUUAUUAUUCUGUUGGAAUAACUUGUCUGUGCGGACUACGCACGCCUGAUGAAUUCUUCUAUUAUUCCAUUCUUUACUAUUCUGUUGGAAUAACCUGUCUACGCGGACUACCACAUGAUUGGUGAAUUCUUCUGUUAUUCCAUUCUUUAUUAUUCUGUUGGAAUAACCUGUCUACGCGGACUACCGCAUGCAUGGUGAAUGACCCUUCGUAUUCAUUCUUUAUUAAAUUAUAGAAAUGAUCUGUCUACGUAGAUUACCGCAUGGCGGGUGAAAAUCUAUUUGCAGUUUCGUAUAUUCUAUUAUACUCGUAUGAGAUAUCAUUUCUUUUGUAUUUGUCAUGGAAUAUCAUUUUUUUUGGUAUUUUUCUUUUACGAGUUACUAUUCACGGGUUAGUAUUCACCUGGUUACUAUUCACUGUAGUAUUGUUCACUCGGGUAUUCGGGACACUUUUUGUGUCGGAGUACUAUUCAUGGGUUAUACUAUUCACGGGUUACUAUUCACCCGAUUACUAUUCACUCUAGUAUUAUUCACUCGGGUAUUUGGGACACUUUUUGUGUCGGGGUAUUAUUCACAGGGUACUAUUCUCGAAGUACUAUUCACGGAGUACUAUUCACCAAAAAAAUAUAUUUCUUUUCGAUCCAAAUCAUUUUUGGGUACAAUAUUAUUCUUGAAUUUUACUCCACAAAAUAGUAUCAUGUUGACAAAUUGGACGUUAUUGAUUCCUAGAUAAAUUAAAUUAUAAAUCUUUAAAAUUUAUCCUUGACUUGGUAUGAUUAUGACCAGGAAUUAUUCGGUAUAAUCAUGACCGUAAUGUGACGAAUGAUGUGGUGAAAGUCCUCAUUGGCCUGUAGUUAAUUGAUGGACAGUUGUUGGUAUGAUUAUGACCAGGGAUUAUUCGGUAUAAUCAUGACCAUUGAUGAUUACAUGAGUAUCCUUGGCCGUGAUGCAGGGAUGAUUCGAUUUUAUUUAUUAAGUUGAGUCUCAGCGAUAAAGUUGAUGAAAAACUUUUUAAAUCAUAGAAGAUAGUAGAUUUUAUGCUCUACUUGACUCUUCUAAUGGAUUGCUUAUUCCGCUGCAGUUGUUGAUCUAAAACUGUUGUCUAUUAUAUUCUAUCAGUUGUUAUACUGUUGAAGGCUAAGGAUAAUUUAUUCUGUAUUAUCUUAUUCAUAAUAUUUUUUGCUGGGCUAGUUGAGCUCACCCUUUCUUUCACUGUUCUCUUCAGGAAAUGAGAAUAUAGCUGGGACGAGUCGGGGAACGGAUUGACGGUCCAAAUGGUUGUUUUUGUAGUCCUCACUAUUCUGUGAAAUAAUGUGAUAAUAAUUGUAAUGAGGACUCCAUUGGGAGUGGAUAUUGUCUAGAAAGCAAUAUUCUUGUUUAAACUCUCAAUUAUGUUUUGUCGUAUAUUACCCGACAGUUGUAUAAUUAAGUUUGUAUUUGAUUUAUGUACCAUAUAUUUGGCGACUCAAGAUGGGUGAUGUAUACCUAUUUUGGGGCCGUCACAAAGCCCAUACACUCCCAUUUUAGAUCAUAGCUCCUAUGCCCAGACCCAUUAAGAGCAUACCCAGCCCCUACUAAUAUGCACAAUCUAAGCUCCCAUGAUCUAAAGCCCCUGACUUUGCAAAUAUAGAUCGAUAGAUAGAUUUUCGGGAAGGAUCACAUUUUGGUAGAUAGAUGGUUUAAUUUGUUUAACUAUUUAUUAUAAAAUUGAGUAUAAUUUAAUAUAAUUAAUUAUUUAGCUUACCUUCUCUCUCCUUGUCUGCAUUGACACAUAGAUUUAUUGAUUGCCACGUCCUUCUUCUGUUAAAUGGUUAACAGACAUAGACGACAAAAUUAAUUUUUGUAAAUAAAGUAUAGUUCAAUGAGUUGACCGUAAAAAAAUUUAGUUUAGUGAUGCAUUUGUAAACCGAUGUUGAGUAGAGUGGAGAAAAGUGUAUUUAAUCCGCUCCAAAAGUCACCACUUUACAAGUCUCGUCAACAAUCAGCACCAUGUAAACACUCACCCUCUUUGGUGAACUUGAAGAGUUUGAAAAUCAACUUAGGAGGUAUGAUGAUGAAAAUGAGGCACCAAUAAAGAAGACAUUGACACUUCAAGCUGAGAGUAACAAUGAAUGUGAUAACGAAGAUUUUGAUAAAGAAAUUGAAAUGCUCUCAAGAAACUUGAGAGACUAUUUCAAAAGAAAAUAAAAAAGGUAGCUCAACUCCAGUGGGUAAGUUCAAAACAGAACAAGAAGAAGAAAUUGUCCAACUCUAUUUCAUAGGACUAGAAGAUGAUGAUCAACUUGAGGUAACAAAUUUUCAUGAAGCUUUUGAAAUAUCUAUGCCUGAUUAUAUUGCUUUACAAAAUGAAAAUCAACAACUCAAAAAAAAAACUGUUUAUUUUAAGAAUUGCGUAAAUGCUAAUGAAUGAAGUUAAGUCAUUUAUUAAAGAGAGAAAAGAAAAUGAAUAUCUUAAAAAUGAAAAUGAAGUUUUAAAAGAAAAUUUAAAAAUGAGAGAUGAAUGCAUAAAUGCUUUUAAUGAUGGAAAAAUGAUGAAUGUGCAACAUGAUGAUAAUGUCACAAAUGCAAAAAUAACAUCUUUAAAAAAUGAUCUUGCUAAAUUUGUGCAAUGAGAAGAGAACCUAAAUGUUAUGUUAGGGGCACAAAGGUCUAGUCUUGAUAAAUAAGAAAUUGGGUAUAAUCCUAUUAAAAUGUGAAAAAUAGAACUAAUAAUAAUAUUAUAAUGAUUAAUAGAAAACCAAUGCAUAAACCACUUUAUUGUUCACCGUUUGUUACUUGUAAAAAAUAUGGUUUUAAAGGUCAUUUUAAAAUGUGGCUUUAUUAGAAUAAAGCAAAUUUGGGUAAAGAAAUGUGAUUUAUAUGCUACUAACCUAAUAGGACCCAAGAAGAUUUGGGUACCAAAAUGGUAGAGACUAUUUGUUCAUUUUGUAGAUGUCUCAAGGUCAAAAAGGAGACAGAUAAUACUUAUAAAUUAUUUGGCAAAAUUCGCAAGUACCUUAUUUUUUUAAAUAGAUUUUUAAUUAGAUAUAUUAUGAAAACUCUAUGGAUUUCGUAUCAUAUGGCUUCAUAACAUCAUUUAUUAUAAAGUUUUUAUUGUGCUAAAUGCUCCAUAUUUAAUACAAACGACAAUCUUGAUGAGGAAUAAGUGAAUAUUAUUUUUGAUGAACUUAACCAUGAUCUGUUAAAGGAAGAGAAUGAGGUUUCUGCUGGAAAUGACUAUCUGAAUUGUGGAACCCAAACAGUUCAAUCCGGAUAGUCUAAGCCGUCUCUAUCAGAAGGAAAGAUAGAUGAAAUCAGACAAUUUGACCCGUCUGUUUUAGAAGAAAACUCAAAUUUACAAACACCUAAAUCCAAACAGAUCGAGUCGUCUACUUUAGAAGACAAAACAUAUGAAUAUUCGGAUGCAGUAACUUAUAUUCCAGAGGAUGAAUCUCAAAAGCAAAUGACUACUGCCAGGCUUCCUAAAUCUUCUAGAACUAUGGGAAAUCAUCAUCCAAGUCUGAUCAUCAGAAAUUUCAACAUUAGGAUGUCCACAAGAAGAGGUUUUGAAGAAAUUUGUUUGCUACACUAAGGAGCUUAUCUAUUAAGCUUAUUGUUGGUAACAAAAUUGUGGAUAUAUAGGUAACAAAUCACAAAGGUAUGGUCAUUUUAUUUAAUUGCUAUAUGUGAUAUUGUUAUAAGCUUGCUCCCGUGUCUUUAUUUUAUGAAUUAUUUUUUGUUUGUCACAAAUGGGAUAGAGAUAUAACUAAAUUGAUGAUUUUUUUUUUUUUGAUAAUAACAAAGGGGAGAAAUGUUUAGAAAAAUUGAUGAUUAUGAUAUCUGAUGGUUAUAUUGAUUAUAAUAUGUUUAGAUUUUUUUGAUAUCAUAUUGAUGAUAAUGGUUGGAUAUUUUGAUUCAUUAUCUGUUAUAGCUUAUCAUUAUGCAUUAUUUAUCAUAACAGUUAUGUGAUCUUUAUAUCUCCUAUAGGCAUAAAUUUAUGGGGAGCAUGAUUGCAAGGAAUAAUAUAUUGUCAUCAUCAAAAAAGAGGGAAAUUGUUAGUUUUAUUAUUUGUGAUUUUAAUAAUGACAAUAUAUUUGUAAAUAUAAUUUAUUUAAUGUAUUGAAUUAAUUUUGUAAUGGUUUGUUGAAUAUGAUAUAUAGUAAGUUUGGUUCAUGAUAAUUUAAUUUGGUUAUAAUUCAAAUUGUUAUUACGUGCAGGAUUGAAUUGAAAUAUUUUCUUCCAGGUUGUUAUUUUGUUAAAACAGGUUGUUUCAAUUUUGAAUUGGAAUAUGUUAAGGAGUUUGUUUAGCAGUGUAAUCUAUCUAUUAAAUAUAUUAAAAUGCAGUACAUGAUAUCAUAGCUUGACAUAUGUCAUUCUCACAAUUCAACACGUGUCCUGUCUAAUUAAUAUUCCUUAAGACCCUUAACAAAAGUGCCCAGCUAACAUAACAAAUGAGGAUGAAAACAAACUUUAAUUCAUUCCCCUAAAUUUUAGAUUUAUAAUCCCCUAAAUCAUGCUACAAAUCUAAACUAUUUUGAUAAUAUCAACUGUUUUGAUAUUAUCCUUUGUAAUUUAAUUAUUAUUUAAUAAAAUUACUUUUUUAUGCUAUUAAUUAAUUUUUUAGAUUUAUAAUCUUCUAAAUAACUACAAAUCUAAACAGUUAAUAACAUAAUGUCAUUCUCUUAAUUUUUUAAAUUUACAAUCCUCUAAAUCACUACAAAUCUAAACUGUUUUGAUAAUAUCAACUGUUUUGAUAUUAUCCUUUGUAAUUUAAUUAUUAUUUAAUAAAAUCAUUACUUUAUCUCAACACCACCCCCUACAAUGUAUAUUCAUUUGUUUUUCUGUGUAAAAUUUGAUCAUCGCACAACAAUCUACCAUCUUCUUAUUAUAUUUUAAUUUAUUAAUUAUACAUACAUAUUUAUUGAAUAAUUCCGCCCGCAACGCACGAGUUUGUAUCUAGUGUGGUCUAAUUUGGAGUCUUUAAAUUAACUGGUUUAGAUAUUUGUGUAGAGUAUGGGCUCUAUCUACUCGUUAAUUUUAGCCUAUGUUGAUUACGUAUCUUUGAUUUUCUAAUUUUGAGAAUAUUUUAAGCUGUUAGCUAUAUCUAUAGUUCUGAAAUAUCAAAUUCUCGAAAUGAAAGACCAAGUCAUGCUAACCAUUUCAUAUAGUCGUUGGACUGAGUUCUAUAUAUUUUCUUCAUGUUUGUCUAUAGUGAGCAGGACUCUUGAAGCUUAUAGCAGCCAUAUUACACAGAUUAAUCAAGAGCUUUUCAAAGUUAUUUUCAGCUACUCAUUAUAUUGUUAAUUUAUUUCAGUUAAAAAUUAAGAGUCUAUUAUAAUCUAUAUUUAUUGUAUUAAAUUUUAGUUCAAGUCUUGUUUGGCUUGAUCGAUCCAAUAGUGGAUAGGUUUGUUCGAAGAAAACUUUUAAGGUUGCAGAGGUGCAAAUGUCUCAGUGGUGAGAAAGGUUGCAAUGAUGCAAAGGGGCAGAGGUGUUCAUCGCAGUGGAAAAUUUUAUUUGAACAGGGAGUUCUUUUUAUUAUACUUAAUGGAGUCUUAAAAGUUUAAUAAAAAGAGUCCAAUACCGGUUGGUUUUGAACGUGGAUUAAGCCGUUAGAGUUUAAGGGCAGAACCACGUAAAAAUUCUUGUCUGUGGUUUGUUAAUUCUUCUGGGUUGAUAAUUUAUUUCUCACGUUGCAUCUAAUCUCAUUCAUAUUACAUUUUAUUGUUGGUAGGAAAAGUAUACUAAUCUAGACACUAUCUUCUGUCUUUAUAACAAAAGUAAAAUUGACUCUAAAGCAGACACUUUUAUUUGUCUGUUUUAAGUUUAGCAGCAAGUUCAGCAGCAGGAAAAUAAAAUUAGUCAUUGUUAGUGUGCUUAUUUAUAGAAUUACAUCCACAUCUGUAAUUCUACUGAGAUUUAAUGAAUGUUUAUUUUGCCGAUUAAAAAACAAAGGAAAAAGAAUAAAAGUAAUAAGAUGUUCGAAACAUUUGAUUGUAUUAUUAUAUUUUUGUGAGCCAAGGUGAAAGCAAAGCCACCUAGUGGUAGUUGUUUUAUUUAUAAUAUGGUAAUAACAACCAUGAACUGAUAGUUGAUUUAUUUAUUAUAUGCUAAUAACAGCUAUCAGCUAGUGGUUGAUUUAUUUAUUAUAUUCUAAUAAACAGCCAUCAACUAGUAUAUAGUUUCUUGAUCAACUGUUCAUAGGAAGAUUACUGAUCGUUCAUUUAGGCGUUGGGGGGACUAAUUUGAACACCAUAGAUAACUAAACCCGUCUCCAUAGUCGUGUUUUCACUCCCGUCGAGAGCAAAUUUGAAAUCUCCAGAGUCAAAGCUAUUCAAGAAUUCCCCAGCUUUGAGUGAAAUCGGUGUGUUCCUCGGACAAUCCAUCAACCUAUAUCCAUUCACUUGCGUGGACCCAUCCGGAGGAGUAAGUGUAAGACUCACCGGACUUUCUAUGUUAAGGUUGUCUUUCAGCAGCACCACAAAAGACACCUCAUAAGUUCAUUUUUCAAGAGUUUCUGUCGGAUAUUUUCCAUCAACAUGUAGGACUAAGCUACCAAUUAAUUCAGCACUGGCAUCACUGAAAAAAAAUGAUAGUAGAAUUAAAGUCAGAAACUUUUGAUAUAAGGAGCUUAAAUUCAUUAAGGUGAUUUUAUUGAUUUUUUUUUCUGGAAAAUUUUUAAUGUUAAGUCCUUCUAUCUGACUAGAGUCUAGACUUCAAUAAAAUUUCUAUAGUCCUUCUAUCACUUUAAUUUAAUGACAUAGUUGCUUAUAUAUCCCUAUUUUUAACUGAAUAAAAUUCAGGUGUUUAAACACAAAUCUUGACCUUUGACAUCAAUUAAGUUAACUAAGUCUUAUUUCUACUUACGUAAACUUCCAGCCUGAAGGGUUGGCAUAAUUGAGUUCCUUUGCAUGCACAAAAGCCCAACUGCUCUGAAUAAGUCAACAGAAAUUUACAUUAUUAUAUGGAUAGAUAAGGCAAACCAGCGGUGACCAAUAAAUGAUAUGUCGAUGCCUUUAUAAAUAUAUAUAUAUAUAUAUAUAUAUAUAUAUAUAUAUAUAGAAUAUUGACGGUUGACAUUGUCAAAAUAACAAUUAUAAAAGUGUUGCCAAAUGUAUAUUUACUCUGAUAGCGAUGACAUUAUCAACCACCUAUAUAUAAAUAGCAAAUGUUUCAUAGCAAAAGUUUAUUACAGAAUAUGUAUCACUCAAACCAUCUUAUAUCAAUCAUGCAUUACAACAUCAGAUAGAUGAGAUCUUAAAAUUUUUGAACACUCCGCGACAUUAUGUUGCAAAUGGUACCAAAUUUUAAAAAUCCCAAAGGUGUAAGAUGGUCUAAAUUUUGCAAAAAUGUAUCACUUGCAAAAUUUACAAAUAUUAAGGAUUAUUUUUGUUCUGUAGACAACUUUAGUGUGUAUAUAUAUUUGAUGUUUGUUUCCAAUUUCAGUGGACUUACCUUCUGGCCCGGGUCCUUUUUGAGCAACGCAUUUUCCUUAGCUUGAGACAACAAUGUCUUGAGGUCAACCUUGUGAUACCUCACUACUUGUGCCAUUUCGCCUUUAAUUCUGCUAUAUAUAUUUUUUGUUUUUGUUCUUGAUGUCUAUAUAUCUCUCUUCCAAAGGCUAGCUCUAUUUAUAGAUAGCACAAAAGAGGGUAUAUUCAAUAAUAACCUAUCUUCAAAUAUUCCUUCCUUUUUCACAGUGGGGAUCCUGAUAAGUUUAACAUCAUCAUCAUCAUCGCCAAGGAUAUAGAGCAUCAGAUUCUGUUUAAUAAUUUUGUUGGAAUAUUUCUUUUCCAUUUCUCAGUUCAAUAAUUCUUUCUUUAGCUUGUUGCGCUGGCAAAAUUCGAUGAAGGCGAAAGGUACGUAGGCAUUCAAGUAAGUGAUGAUUUUCUUCUAACCAGAAGUAUGAGCAGGUUGAUGAUACAUAUGUCAUGCCAACAUAACAAACUUUAGAGGAGCCGAGUUCGAAAAAGAGAGGGUACUGGUAUAAUUGCCUUAAUUCGAUCUUAUCACCCAAGCACGGGUGCCAUCUAUUUUGGUUCAAUAUAAUGGAGUAUAUAUUCAAAUCAACAAAACAAGGCAAGAACAAAAAAUAAAUUUAAAGUGCAUAUUUUAAUAGGAAUAUCUAUUAAUAUAUAUAGGUAUGUUACUCAAAUAUCUAUACCAUCUAUACCAAUUUAUAGCAAGAUAAAUACGAGUUAUUUAAGUUGGUCUUGAGCCAAUUUAGUAAUCCAAUUUUGGUGACUCCGUAACUCAAAAUGUUUUUUUUUUGUUUUUUUGUUUGAUUUUUAUGUAUUCUUGGUCAUAAAUUUUGAUAUUCCCAAAAGUCAACUAAAACACUCAAAAGUUAUAUAUUUUCACAAAAUUUUAGUACACAUUUAUUAUUAAAGAUGGAAUAUAUUAUCUAUCAUUAAGAAUUGAGUAAAUAUAUAAAAAUAAAAUAAAAUUAAUGAAAUAACUUUUGAGCUAUCAAGUCAUCAAAUUUGGAGAGCUGAGUUGACUUGAGUUAUAUUAAAAUGUCAUUCAAAAAUAUUAUAUAUAUAAUUUACCAAAUAAAUCGUUUUUAAACUUAUCCGUACUUCGUACGGAUUAUUAAUUUUGUUUGUAUUAAAAGUAGAAGUAUAAGCAUCUCGCAGGCCAAAAAUAAAAAAAGAAAAAAAAAAAGAAAAGAAGAGCAAGACUACUUCUUUUUCUUCCUUUUUAUCUCCUUUCUUUCUUUGUUUCUUUUUAGACGGAGGACUUCAUUUCAUCUUUGAAAAUAAACAUAAGAAUUUAUCAAAGGAAAUACAAGAUAGACGAUACAAAUAUUGAGAUCUAAUGGAACUUUUGUUGUCUAAUUAUUAUUAUUUUUUAUUUUCAAAUAUACGCAUACAUGAUAAAGAUUCACAAUUAUAUAUAAUAGGCUAAAAUCAACAAUCCGCUAAAAAAUUUGCGGUCUGUCAAAAUGUUUAGUUGUCGAGCUAGUAUAAAUUACCGUCUACCAAAUCGUUAUUAGUUAACAAACUAGUGUAAAAAUUUCACUUUGGAAGCUAAUAUAAACUAUCAUCUAUCAAAUUGUUAUUAAAUGGGGAGCUACGAAUGUAAACUAUCGUCUAACAAACUUUAUUAGCUGAUGAGCUAGUGUAAAAUAUCAUUUAUCAAACUGUUAGAUAGAGUGUUGGUUACAGUUAAAUGUGUCUUUGGAUCAAUUCCUAUACAGUCCGCUUCUCCAACGGACCGGUUUGUCAGCGAACCAACUAUAGUGACGGUUCAAUCCGUCGUUAUAGCAUAGAAAAAUGUUAACGCCAAGAUUCGUCCACGUGCAAAAACGAAAUCACACAGAGGAACUUGUCGGCUUGGGCCGCCAGGGGAUAGCUCUGGUAUAAGAAUAAGUACUGACUGAAUAAAGUUAACAAUGGAGGCUUAUAAUUUUAGUGCUGAAAAAAUAAUAAGAUAUUGUGUGCAUGUGAACCAGGGUAUAUAUAGCCUUGUAUUUAUAGUGAUCACACCUCUUUAAAACGCAUCAUCUCGUAUAGGAGUAGAAUUCCUCAUUAAGAUGGAUACCUUAAUGGGACAUGAUUGAAUCUCCUUAAAAAAAGAAAGUCGGAUACUAUCCUGACUCUUUCCUUAGAAGUUAGAAAUUAAAUAUAAUUAGGAAUCCUAGAUUCCUUAAAAUUCUCCCACUGCCCGUGGGGAGACUUCCUCCACGUGGACUAUGGCCCACCGAAUUCUGUGGUCCCAAAUAAUCAUGUUCCAACAUUGUCCCCCAUUGUAAUACCUAGAAAAAUAAUUAAAAAAAUAAAAAACAUUUAAGUUUAUAUUUUAAAAUAUAUUAGUUGGAUUUUAUUAUUUAUUUGGGUCAAAGUGGUCAUUAAUUUAUGUGGGCUAAUAAAUAUUAAUAAAUUAGGGAUAAAUUAAUUUGAUAAAAUUGAGCCUUAAAACUAAUUGGGUCUAAUUUAUAUUUGUGUAAUAAUAAAUCUUAUUAAAAUUUUAUUAAAAUUAAAAGAAUUAAUAAAACAUAUUAAUUAAUGAAUAAAUAACAAACCUAAUCUUACUUUUAUUAUACAAACUGAGGGAAAGAAAAAGAAGAGAAGUAGGUGAGGCGACUUAAGAGUGAAGAAUGAAAAUUUGUCACUCUUGAUAUUUGGCAAGACACAUUUAGUAAGUUGUUACUAUUUGUUUUUUAAAUUGUUAGAUCCAUCAUGUAGAAAGCCAGUGAUUCAUAAGAAAGUUAAAAUACAUUAUAUAUGAAGUAUACUUUUAGAAGUUUGAUACAUUAUUGGUUAAUGUGGAUAGCCUUUAAGGCAGAGUAUCCAUGUGAAUUGGAUAUCGUGAAUGGCAUACUAAAAUAAUAUACGCUUAGUAUAUGGCGUGAAUCAGAUAAGAUCAAAAGGUAUUUACUGAUUAAAUGUAUCUGAAUAUAUCUAAAUAUAUCUGAAUGUAUCUGAAUUGUAUGUUCUCCAAAAUCCUAGCACCCAUAUUUAUAGGCCAUAGAAAAAUCCAUAACCAAUUAAAUAGGAUUUUUAAUAUAAAAUUGAGUAUAGAUAGAAACGAUAACUUUUCUAAAACAGAUUCUAGGUAAUACCUAAACCCAAAUCCAAUAAGGAUUCAUGUUAUACCCAACAAAUGUCCACCUUGACUUGAAUCCUCCGAAUAUUGCACAAACAGUAAACUUUUUCCUCUUCUCAAAAUGCACAACUCAAGUGCAUCGAACACUAACCACGUCCAAGCAAUGUUUGAACUUGGUAUGUGUUAACGGCUUCGUUAACAUGUCAUAUGGAUUUUCUGCUGUACCAAUCUUCAAGACCUUAUUGUCACCAUCUUCAACAAUGUCUCGAACAAAAUGAUACCUGACAUCAAUAUGUUUCCCCCGAGGACAAUACUCACAGAAGUCAAACUUUAUUAUUUUUUGUAUAGACAACUCGCUAGAUUUCUUCGUCUCCUAAUCCGUAUCAGACAUAUCUACAGGCUUCAUUGGCUUCCCUACAAUGGCUUUCUUCAAGCCUUGCUGAGUAAAAACAGCCUUCAUCCGAACCUGCCAAAGACUGAAACUAAUUUUCCCAUCGAAUUUGUCAAUAGAAAAUUUUGUUGAUGAAGUCGAACUCAACGUCAUAGUAUAUAUCGAUAAUAACCAAGCUCUGAUACCAAUUUAUUAUGACAAACUAUGACAAACACAAUAAAUCAAUGCAGAAAGAUAAAGACAAUAACACAAGGUUUUACAUGAAAACUCAAAUUGGAAAAAAACUACGGAGAAGGCAAAAGAAAUCCACUAAAUAAAUAUCUGAAGAGUACAAGAUAAAAAAAGAGAAUACUAAAUUGAGUAUAGGUAAAAAAGAUAACUUUUCUAAACCAAAACAGAUUCUAGGUAAUACCUAAAUCCAAAUUCAAUAAGGAUUCAUGUUAUACCCAACAAAUCUCCACCUUGACUUGAUCAUUCCUCCAAAUAUUGCACAAAUAUUGAACUUUCUCUUCUUCUCAAAAUGCACAACUCAAGUGCAUCGAACACUAACCACAUCCAAGCAAUGUUUGAACUUGGUAUGUGUUAAUGGCUUCGUUAACAUGUCAUCUGGAUUGUCUACAGUACCAAUCUUCAAGAUAUUAAUGUUACCAUCUUCAACAAUUUCUUGAAAAAAAUGAUACCUGACAUCAAUAUGUUUUCCCCGGGACAAUGCUCACAGAAGUACAACUUUCUUACUUUCUGUCCAGAUAACUCGCUAGUUUUCUUCGUCUCCCAAUCCGUAUCAGAGAUAUUUACAGGAUUUAUUAGUUUCCAUACAAUGGCUUUCUUCAAGCCUUACUGAGUAAAAACAGCCUUCAUCCGAACCUACCAAAGACUGAAACUAAUAUUCCCAUCGAAUUUGUCAAUAUCAAAUUUCGUUGAUGAACUCGAACUCAACGCCAUAGUUUGGAUCGAUAAUAACCAAGCUUUGAUGUGACGCCCCCAAAACAGGUAUACAUCACCCAUCUUGGGUCGUCAAAUACAUGGUACAUAAUACAACUACAAACUUCUUUUAUACAACUGUCGUGUAAAAUACGACAAAACAUAGCUGAGAGCUCUCAAUGGAGUCCUCAGUACAUUUAUUAUCACACUAUUUCACAGAAUAGUGAGGACUACUAAAACAACCAUCUGGACCGUCAAUCCGUUUCCCAAUCAGUCCCAGCUAUAUUCUCAUUUCCUGAAGAGAACAGUGAAAGAAAAUGAUGAGCUCAACUAGCCCAGUAAGAAAUAUUAUGACUAAGAUAAUGCAGAAUAAAUUAUCCUUAGCCUUCAACAGUAUAACAACUGAUAGAAUACAAUAGACAACAAGUUCUAGAUCAACAAAUACAGCGGAAUAAGCAAUCCAUUAGAAAAGUCAAGUAGAACAUAAUGUCUACAAUCUUCUAUGAUUAAAAAGUUUAUCAUCAAUUUUAUCGCUGUAAUACCCAUCAACAGUUCUUUAUACCAAAGACAAAGAGAACUUUCAUCACCUGUCUUCACCUGAACCACCAAAGAUUUUAUUUAAAUUCACAAUUCAUGUUUAUAAUAAUGUGAAUCAACAGUUCCUCCCUGCCACAAAGGCUUAAUAGAACGUUUACUCAAUAUCCUUACCCAAAGGAUAAAGAUAUUCAAAUGUAAUAACAAUGAUCAUACCAAUCAGUUGUCUAUCUUUGCACUACGGGCCAAAGAUAUUCAACUAUAAAACCAUUAGUCAUGAUCAUACCAAUCAAUUGCAUGUCGGUGCACUACGACCAAAGACAUUCAACUGUUAACUAAUGAUCAUGAUCCUGCCAAUCACAUCAUCGAAUUAUCCCUGCACUACGGCCAAGGAUAUUCUUUAGUAUCACCAGUGGUCAUGAUCAUGUCAUACAGCUGUCCAUCUUUGCACUACGGGCCAAAGCUAUCAAUCAAUAGUUCAUCUUUGGAUUACGACCAAAGAUAUCAAUCAACAGUUCUUCUUUGCACUACAGGCCAAAGUCAUACAACUGUAAAACCAAUAACCAACAGUCCAUCUAUGCACUACGGGCCAAAGAUGACUUUUAACGCAAUAUAAGCAUGAGGAUCAUGACAAUGAUAUAAAGAAUCAGUCAAAUGAGAUAAAGGAUAAAUAUUAAACAUUUAUAAUAUAAUUUAUCCAGAGUUCAAGAAUAUCCAAAUGUUAUCAAUCACUUAAUAAUCUCAUAAUCUAAUAUCAUUAAUAUUAUAACAAUAUUUUAAUCAUUUCUUAAACUUAAUUAUAAACAAUUUAUUUUAAUUGUUUACACUUUACUAAUUAAUGCAUUUAAUCAGCCUAAAAUGCCAAACUCAUAAGAUUUCAUCACCAAUAACCAAAACUCUCAUAAAAAAUCUGCAUAUACCUUAUAUAGGAUUUUCAAGCCAUAAAAUCCUAUUUAUCAAUUUUUUAACUUCACAUAACUUAUUUAAUUUAUAUGUUCGUAACUAAACUAUUUUCAUGAAAAAUAUCAAAUCAGUCUAAAAAAGUUUUCUUUUCUGAGAUUUAGCAGAAUAUAGUCCCAUAUUGAACAUAUAUUUUUCUCGAAAUUUUUAAAAUUCAUUUACUAUUUUUCAUAUGGCCAAAAUUACCGAAUAUUUAAACAUUUAUCAUAAACUAUACUUUUGUCCAAAAAUUCCAAAAUUUACAGGGUAUACUCCUUUGAUAUAUAUGUACGCCCAAUAAAUUUUUUAUCAAUUUUGGAGUUAACCACAAGGAUUUAUAAAGGUUUACUUUUAAAAUAGUCUUUUCCCAUAAAAUUCAUAACUUCUAAUCUAUACAUCCAAAAAUCACCAUUUUUGGACACAAUCUAGAAAACUCAUCAAAUUAUCAUUUCAAAUUUUUCCAGAAUUUUUGACGGUUAGAAAAAUUACGAAACUGCAAAUGGAUUUUCACCCACCAUGCGGUAAUCCACGUAGACAGAUCAUUUCCACAAUUUAAUAAAGAAUGAAUACGAAGGGUAAUUCACCAUGCAUGCGGUAGUCUGCGUAGACAGGUUAUUCCAACAGAAUAAUAAAGAAUGGAAUAACAGAAGAAUUCACCAUGCAUGCGGUAGUCCGCGUAAACAGGUUAUUAAUUCCAAUAGAAUAAUAAAAAAUGGAAUAACAGAAGAAUUCACCAUGCAUGCGGUAGUCCGCGUAGACAUGUUAUUCCAAUAGAAUUAUAAAGAAUGGAACAACAGAAGAAUUCACCAUGCAUACGGUACUCCGCGUAGACAGGUUAUUCCAACAGAAUAAUAAAGAAUGGAAUAGCAAAAGAAUUCACCAUGCAUGCGGCAGUACGCGUAGACAAUUUAUUCCAACAGAAUAAUAAAGAAUGGAAUAACAACCCUUACGAGUAUUAAAAGAAAAUAACUCUUUUCAUGAAUACGAAAGAAAUAAUACCCCUUACCUUAGAAGAAAACUGGAUAAUAGUAAGGUAGCAGACUUCUCUUCUUCUUUCUCUCUAUAAUUUCUCUAUAUAAUAAUUGCUCUUGUGAGACUUAGUGAAUUAGUGAGAAAUGAAGGAAGAAUGAGCUUCUAUUUAUAGGAAAAUAUAGUUUCAAUAAUUGCACAUUUUGUGGCUUGAAAUAUUACAGUAUAAUACCUUCCUUUUUUUCUUCAUUUUAAUUUAGUCCUACAAGUAUUAUCAAACUUGCACCACCUCCCUAAUAGUAAAUCAUGUGAAUUAAUAGUUCAUUCAUGUGACUCAAUAGUAUAAUCAUGUGAAAAAAAAACUAAUUAUAGUAUAGUACCUCCAUCUAUACCUCCAUUUUUAAUUUAGUCAUGCAAGUAUUAUCAAUCUUGCACCACCUCCCCUAAUAGUACUUGCAUGUGAAUCAAUAGUACACACAUGUGAACAAAUAGUUAUAAGCAUGUGAAUUAAUAGCAAUUAAUUGCUCAUUUAUCCGAUUAAUAAUCCGAUUGGUCAAUAUAACAUCCAGACAUCAAUUAUUAUCGAAAUAAUUGUCGAUUUCCACUAACACUAACAAUCCCAACACAAUGGAAAUAUUUUUAUCAACAAAUUUAUUUUUGAAAUUUUGAAGUUUGACUUUUUCUGCAAAAGUCAAAUGUUGACUUUUUGACCAAAAAGUCAACCCCAGUAAAUUUUGUGUUUAUAGUCUAUUUUUACUAAUUUUAUCGUUCUGGACUCAAAUAUCACGUUCGCGUCUCCAAAUUUAAUUCUGAACUCAAAUUCUAGUUUUUAAUAACAUUCAUAAUUAAUAUUAUAACUCACAAUAUUAACAACCAGAUCGUUCCCAAGAAAGAGGGGGCUUUCCGAUAAGGAUUUCUCCCUAUUAGCGCGCAAUUAUAUUACCUAUCCUCUCCUUGACAGAACUUCUAGACAUCGUCAAUAUUGCAAAUAAUAAUAUGAAUAACUUUGACGUCUCAAUUAUUGAUUUAAUAAUAUAAAAUAUUAUACAUAUGAUACUGUGACAAUAAUUGAAUCAAUAAUAUGAGAGAUAUGAUGCAGCAAUUACUGUAGCAAUAAUUGAGUUUAACUAAGUGACUUCUUACAUAAGCAUCAAUAAUCAAUACCAUAUGGUACUAUGCAACCACGCGUAUUACUGUAUUUUUACCACCAAUUAUUAUAUGACAACUUACUUACUUUGAAAAAUUUUCACAUAUCACCCUUAACUUUAACAUUUUAUCAAUUUAACUAUUUACUAAAUAGAAUAAUAAUUAUAAAAAUUGAAUACUUUCAUUUCGUAAAAUUCGGGGUCUUACAAUCUCAUCUCCUUAUGAAAUUUUGUCCUCGAAAUUUACGUACCUAGUAGUUCGAAGAGAUGAGAAUACCUUGCUUUCUUUUUCGUUUUGUACCUUCCCGGUUAUUUCCUCUCUAUCAUGAUUUUCCCAUUUCUCAUCUCCUGUAUUUCAGAUAUCAUUCUAGAAUAUAGAUUCAAAAUAAGGGUUAAUUAACAUGCCACAUAUUAUCUCUAUAUUCUGACCAACCAAUUAAAUAACAAAUAAACUUAGGUAGGUCAUACUAGCGAAUGAAUUACCCGUCUCUCCCCUCCUAGUUCUAGCCUCACAUCUUAGCCAGGGAUCAUAUCCCUAAGCUUUGAUACUAAUUGUGACGCCCCCAAAACAGGUAUACAUCACCUAUUUUGAGUCGCCAAAUAUAUGGUACAUAAUACAACUACAAACUUCUUUUAUACAAUUGUCGUGUAAAAUACGACAAAACAUAGCUGAGAGUUUAAACAAGAAUAUUGCCUUCUAGACAAUAUCCACUCUCAAUGGAGUUCUCAUUACAUUUAUUAUCACACAAUUUCACAGAAUAGUGAGGACUACUAAAACAACCAUCUGGACCGUCAAUCUGUUUCCCGACCAGUCCCAGCUAUAUUCUCAUUUCCUGAAGAGAACAGUGAAAGAAAAGGGUGAGCUCAACUAGCCCAGUAAGAAAUAUUAUGACUAAGAUAAUGCAGAAUAAAUUAUUCUUAGCCUUCAACAGUAUAACAACUGAUAGAAUACAAUAGACAACAAGUUUUAGAUCAACAACUGCAGCGGAAUAAGCAAUCCAUUAGAAGAGUCAAGUAGAACAUAAUGUCUACUAUCUUCUAUGAUUAAAAAGUUUAUCAUCAAUUUUAUCGCUGUAAUAUCCAUCAACAGUUCUUUAUUAUACCAAAGACAAAGAGAACUUUCAUCACCUGUCUUCACCUGAACCACCAAAGAUUUUAUUUAAAUUCACAAUUCAUGUUUAUAAUAAUGUGAAUCAACAGUUCGUCCUUGCCACAAAGGAUUAAUAGAACGUUUACUCAAUAUCCUUACCCAUAAGGAUAAAGAUAUUCAAAUGUAAUAACAAUGAUCAUACCAAUCAGUUGUCUAUCUUUGCACUACGGGCCAAAGAUAUUCAACUAUAAAACCAAUGGUCAUGAUCAUACCAAUCAAUUGUAUGUCAGUGCACUACGGCCAAAGACAUUCAAUUUUUACCUAAUGGUCAUGAUCCUGCCACUCACAUCAUCGAAUUAUCCCUGCACUACGGCCAAGGAUAUUCUUUAGUAUCACCAGUGGUCAUGAUCAUGUCAUACACCUGUCCAUCUUUGCACUACGGGCCAAAGCUAUCAAUCAACAGUUCAUCUUUGGAUUACGACCAAAGAUAUCAAUUAACAGUUCUUCUUUGCACUACAGGUCAAAGACAUACAACUUUAAAACCAAUAUCCAACAGUCCAUCUAUGCACUACGGACCAAAGAUGACUUUUAACGCAAUAUAAGCAUGAGGAUCAUGACAAUGAUAUAAAGAAUCAGUCAAAUGAGAUAAAGGAUAAUUAUUAAAUAUUUAUAAUAUAAUUUAUCCAGAGUUCAAGAAUAUCUAAAUGUUAUCAAUCACUUAAUAAUCUCAUAAUCUAAUAACGUCCAAGUUGUCAACAUGAUACUUCUUUGUAGAGUAAAAUUCAAGAAUGCUCAGAAGAAUAUUUUCAUGAAAACAUACUAGAUGAAGCGCAAAUAUUAAGGAUAUUCCACUAAUUUCAUGGAGUAUAGAAGUCAAAACUUUAACCAAUGGAGUAUAAUAAAGAAUGAAAUAACAAAAAAAAUCACCAUGCAUGCGGUACUUCGCAUAAACAGGUAAUUCCAACAGAAUAAUAAUAACGGAACCAGGUCAGGCAUAAUACGCACCGACAGGAUAUUCUAACAGAAUAAUAAAGAAUGGAAUAACAACAAAAAUCACCAUGCAUGCGGUACGUCGCAUAGACAGGUUAUUCCAACAGAAUAACAAAUAAUGGAACCAGGUCUGACGUAAAACGCACAGACAGGAUAUUCCAACAGAAUAAUAAAGACGAAACCAGGUUCGACGUAAAACGCACAGACAAGAUAUUCCAACAAAAUAAUAAAGACGGAACCAGGUCUGACAUAAAAUGCACAGACAAGAUAUUCAAACAGAAUAAUAAAGAAUGGAAUAAUAACAGAAUUUCACCAUGUAUGCGGUACUUCGCAUAGACAUGUUAUUCCAGCAGAAUAAUAAAUAAUGGAAUAACAAAAGAAUUUCACCAAGUAUAGGGUAGUCCGCGUAUACAGGUUAUUCCAACAGAAUAAUAAAGAAUGGAAUAAUAGAAGUUCUCUUCAUGAAUACAAAAGAAAUAAUACCCCUUACAGGUACAACAAAUAAUAUCCCUUACCGUAAAAGAAACUUGAUAUCGGAGUAGUGAAGUAGCAGAAUACUUUUCUUCUUUCUCUCUAUAGUUUCUNNNNNNNNNNNNNNNNNNNNNNNNNNNNNNNNNNNNNNNNNNNNNNNNNNNNNNNNNNNNNNNNNNNNNNNNNNNNNNNNNNNNNNNNNNNNNNNNNNNNUAACUUUAUAAAAGUAUUCUGUUUUAUAUAAAAAGAUUUUACUAUUAGCCUAAUAAAACGAAUAACUUUAUAAAAGUAUUCUGUUUUAUAUAAAAAAAAAUUCUAUUUUAUUACAUUAAUAAUACUAAUAAAACAAAACUUAUAUAUAUAUAAUAUAUAUAACAAUCAACAAUAAUUGAAUCAAAUAACGUGAGAUACUAUGCAGCAACUACUGUAGCAAUAAUUGAACAAAACUGAGUGACUUCUCACGUAAACAUCAAUAAUUAAUAUCGUGUGCUACUAUGCAACCACGCGUAUUACUGUACUUUUACUACCGAGUAGUUCAACAGGUUUAAUGGUAAAACUUCCGCUGUUAUUUUCAUAAAAAUAUUUUUGUCGUUUUCUCAAUCCGACAAUAAUUCUGUUGUGGGGUCCACCAAUGAUUGUGCCGUCGUACGAAUAUUCCCUGUUAAAACAAAUAUUUCCCGACCAAUCGAAUAUUAUAUAACAACUUGCAUACUUUGCAAAAUUUAUAAAUACUACCCACAACUAUAACAUUAUCUCAAAUUCACACCAUAAUAUUCAAAAAAAUAUUUCGAGAAAAUUAAAUCUUUAUUCGUAAAAUUUGGGAUUUUACAUUGUCGGCUCACAAUCUCCAGAAGACUAAAAGCCUCCUAUAAUUUUUCAUUAUAAUGUGUUUUUACCCGGAGAUAACUUAACGAAAGAGCCAGCCAUAGUUCAGAAUACAUGGAUCAAUGAUAUUGGAUGGGGGAAGAAGGAAAGAUGCCCUGACCAUCGAUCCACUAACAUUGUGAAAUGUACAUUAUAUACAUUCUCCUUGCUAGCUUUUGUUGGUAACCAAACCUUCACACCAAGGUAACCAAACUGUCAUACCAAGGUAACCAAUCCACACCUCCAUACCAAGGUAACCAAACCUUCAUACCAAGGUAACCAAUCCACACCUGUAGUUUUUUCAUAAUGCAGUUGGUAACCAAACUUUCAUCUCAAGGUUACCAAACCUGCAGUUUUUUUAUAGUGCAGUUGGUAACAAAACUUUCAUACCAAGGUUAUCAAUCCACCUCCACACCUUCAGUUUUUCAUAGUGCAGUUGGUAACUAAACCUCCAUACCAAGGUAACCAAUCCACACUUGCAGUUUUUUCAUAGUGCAGUUGGUGACCAAAUAAACUAUCAUACCAAGGUUACCAAACCUGCAUACCAAGGUUACCAAUCCACCUCCACACCUGCAGUUUUUUCAUAGUUCAGUUGGUAACCAAACUUUCAUACCAAAGUAACUAAACUGUCAUACCAAGGUAACCAAUCCACUUCCACACCUUCAGUUUUUUCAUAGUGCAGUUGGUAACCAAACCUUCACACCAAGGUAACCAAACCUUCAUACCAAGGUAACAAACCUUCAUACCAAGGUAAUCAAACCACAUCCACACCUGCAGUUUGUUCAUAGUGCAGUAAUUGGUAGCCAAACAUUCAUACUAAGGUAACCAAUUCAGUGUUAUUAGGUUACCAAUUUAUUUUGAAUGUGAUGCAGUUGGUAGCCAAACCUUUAUGCAGUGGGUAGCCAAACAUUCAUACCAAGGUAACCAAUUCAGUUUUAUUAAGUUACUAAUUUAUUUUGAAUGUGAUGCAGUUGGUAGCCAAACCUUCAUGCAGUUGGUUGCCAAACUUUCAGUCCAAGGUAACCAAUUCAUACUGUAGGCGUUGAUGUAGAUUGGUUACCUUAGUAUAAAGGUUUGGUUACCUUGGUAUAAAAGUUUGGUUACCUUGGUACGAAGGUUUGGUUAUCAACAUUACAUUACACAUCACUCUCUUAUCUCUCUCUUUUCUAUUCAGAAAAUAAUUUUUUUUUAUAAAACUAGAACUGAAGGUGUUCCAGUACUAUUAUUAAGUAGCUAGCUAGCUUAUUACAUGAUGACACCAAUUAUGCCUUUAUCUCCGUUCAUGUCAUGAACUCUAAUUGCUCUCUGGUGCCAUGACAUUACUAAUGAUCUUCUCCUCUGCAGUAUCUCGUGAAUUUUCUUUUCUUACCGGAAAACGGUUGCUCCCGCCACCACUGCCCCACCCUCCACCUCCACCGUCUCUGUAACCACCACCUGAGCCACCACCGCCAACUCCNNNNNNNNNNNNNNNNNNNNNNNNNNNNNNNNNNNNNNNNNNNNNNNNNNNNNNNNNNNNNNNNNNNNNNNNNNNNNNNNNNNNNNNNNNNNNNNNNNNNNNNNNNNNNNNNNNNNNNNNNNNNNNNNNNNNNNNNNNNNNNNNNNNNNNNNNNNNNNNNNNNNNNNNNNNNNNNNNNNNNNNNNNNNNNNNNNNNNNNNNNNNNNNNNNNNNNNNNNNNNNNNNNNNNNNNNNNNNNNNNNNNNNNNNNNNNNNNNNNNNNNNNNNNNNNNNNNNNNNNNNNNNNNNNNNNNNNNNNNNNNNNNNNNNNNNNNNNNNNNNNNNNNNNNNNNNNNNNNNNNNNNNNNNNNNNNNNNNNNNNNNNNNNNNNNNNNNNNNNNNNNNNNNNNNNNNNNNNNNNNNNNNNNNNNNNNNNNNNNNNNNNNNNNNNNNNNNNNNNNNNNNNNNNNNNNNNNNNNNNNNNNNNNNNNNNNNNNNNNNNNNNNNNNNNNNNNNNNNNNNNNNNNNNNNNNNNNNNNNNNNNNNNNNNNNNNNNNNNNNNNNNNNNNNNNNNNNNNNNNNNNNNNNNNNNNNNNNNNNNNNNNNNNNNNNNNAGAGUGUUGGGAGAUAGCAUUAGAUAUACAUAAUAUUUUUACAUAUUUACUAAUACACAAAAUCAUUUUCUAAUUUCUCUUUCAUCUUUCAUUCUAAACUAGCUAUCAAAGCAAAACAAAAAAGAGAGAGGGAGAGCAUAGAUUUGAUAGCCUUAAGGAGGUAAAGGGGAAGAAUUUUAAUCUUCAUGCACCCUAAGUUCAUCAAUUACUUUGGUAAAAGAAGAAGAACAUCCCAAAGAACAAGGUAAAGACCCUAAAAAAUUUCAAGUUUUGUUACUUUCUUUUGAUAAGUUUUGAUGAAAUAAAGAGCUUGUGUUCUUGAACUUUAAAACUCUUGAUCUACAUGUGUAUGCUUUUUUCACAUGUAGGUCUAGUUAUUUUUGAAGUUAAAAGUUUUUAAAAAAAAGAAAAAAGAAGAAGAAAUGAAAGUAUGUUCAAAAGGGGCUAAACACCCUAAAUUAACUAUUUUUUUUAUUUAGUUUUUUUUGAUGAAAUGUAAAGAUGAUGUUUCUAAGUUCUAAAAUUUUUUAUCUUUAUGUUUUCUAGUGUUUCAUAUAAAGAUCUAACCAUUUUUUAUGUUAAAGGUUUGAUCAAAGGUAAGGAAAGGAAACUAGUUUUUUUUUAACGAAUAAAAACCCUAAAACUUUUUAUUCACUUUGAAAUGCUAUCAUUUAAAAUCUACAUCUCCUAUUUAUGAUCCGUCAAAGAUGGGUGCUAGAUAUAGGAGUUAGCUUUCAAACCUAAGUGGUAUCACUCAAAUAUGUUGAAUUUACAAGCUUUGGUGACUGUUUUAACAAAGCUAUCCAGAUUUUUAAAAGAGAAAAAUGGAACAAUCUCAUUAUACUACAAAACAAUAUUAUUAAGGUUUAUUUACACUAUUUUAAGAGAAGCUAGAAAUGAGUUGCUGUUUGUCCAUAAGCAACAGCCACAAAGGUACUGUCUGAGAGCCUAGGAAGAGCUCCCAGACACUGUUUGUAUGCCUACUGCUACUGCCGAGGCAGUAGCCCUGCACCAAGUUCACUUUUAGCAACUUCUGAUAUUCUACUUUGCUUAGGCUAAAUUUUUAGAGAUGGUAAAGGUACUAUAUUAGUCUCUUUUAGAAACCUACGAGGCUUAAAUUUCACGUUUAUUUACUGUCCAAAAACAAUUGUCAAAGUGACUUAACAUAAUAGGUUUUAAUUUUUCACUUUGGCCUAAUAAUGUAGUUUAUUUCAUUUUAGUAAUGUUAAACUUAUUAAUUAUCUUUAUAUGUGUUGUCUCAACCACACUCAAGCUGCAAUUCCUUCUAAAAUCCCAUUUUUAGUUAAAACAGUUCACCUAGGACUUUUAACAAACAGGUGGUGUGCACAGUUCCAAUUUCUUCUUUUCAUAGCCAUUUAUUUGAGUUAUAAAUCCAUUUUUAUCCUCCUUAUUAUUCCUCAGCCCAACCUAGCUCCUUAUGCCUAAAUCCAGCUCAUAACAGUUAAAUACACGAUUUAAUAUGUGUAUAAUCAAGUAAUUGACAACUAUCUAGUUAUAACUUAGUUAGCUCACUAAUUUUCUUACUUUCAACCUUAUUAACAAUACAUUUCCAGCCCCAACAGUAGGCACAAUCCAUAACAGUUCUAGGCAUAGCAAUAUAUUGUACAAUCAUAAGCAUGUGCAAUCACUUAUUACAAUUAUAGGCAUAAGCAGUCACUUAUUACAACCUAACAAUUUCAAUUCUUGACAUACAAACUUAGUAAACAAUGGUUUUAUUACUCUACAUAAACAAGGUUCACAACUUAUAACUUUAAGCAUGAUAACUAGAAACAACCUCUAUCUUGAUUAAGGUGAAUAUUAAAGCACUUGGAAUAUGUAGUCUCUAAAAGAUAUUUGCAUACAUAGCUUCAAUUGGAUAAAUUCUUAGCUUACAUGUGAUUCUCACAACACAGUUUUUUUAUUAGUUAGUAAUAUAACCAAAUCAAGUCAUGACUUUGAAAUUAUAGGUAGCUAGGGGUUGUUUUGAAUCCUAAUCCAAAACAGGCCCAGAUUUGCCCUACUCUAGGCUCUUUUGAAAACUUCCAUAAACCUUCAUGGUUAGGUUCUUUAGACCCCAUGUUAUAAAGUAUAACCCACUUCAUUUUCAAGGACAGAUAAGUUCUUAUAUAAGUUUAUCAAUCUAGUUAAAAGUGGUUUCAUUUUGCUUAUGUAUAUGAUUGUCAUGGUAUGUAAGUUAUACCAAUACAUGUUAUACUUAGGCAUAGAGGGUACUUGAAGCAUAGCUACCCUUUAAAUGAGAACUUAAACAUAAUUUUGGACUCCAUUCCCAGCCAGCCUAUUUUGACACUAUAACAGUUUUAGAGUAGCAUUUUAGGCAUGGUUUAUUACACCAAAACAGUAGCAAGCACUAACGUAUAUGCCUUUCUAACACAUGAACCUUUUAUGUACCAUAUUUUCAUGAUUUAAAGCAUCUAAAGUCAAGGUCUUUAUGCUUUAGGCCAACACAACCCUCUUUAGUAUUUAAAUUCAAAAACAAACAUGGUUUACCAACAUGUUUACGAAGAUAGCAUAAGUGUGCAACAUAGAAGCUUAUACUAUCUUUUUAUAUAGUAUUUAACAUGCAUAAUAUAUGUUUGGAUGACAUGGAAUAUGUAAGACCCCAACUUAUUAUAAAUAAAAUUGAAUUUCUCUAUUUAUUAUCUUGAAAUAAUAAGGUGAUAAUUUGAUAUAAUACUUUAGUUAUGGGUGAAAUGUGCAAAUUUUGCAAAAUAAGCAAGUGGUUAUAAAAUAUUCAUUUUUGUCGAGGAAUAUUCGUUUGGUCAUGGAAUUUUCUUGUUGUCGGGGAAUAUUCGUAUGACGACGCAGCCAUUUGUUGGACCCAUAACAGAAUAAUUGUCGGAUGAAGAAAACAAUAAGCUUGAGUUUUUAUAAAUAACGGCGUAGUUGUUACCGUUAACACUGUUGGAAUACCCGGUGGUUAAAAUACAGUAAUACGCGUGAUUGCACAGUAGCACAUGGUAUUACACAGUAUUUUUGAAUUAUUAAUUCUUACAUAAGAAGACACUACUUAAUAAUUGUUACAGUAAUUACUGUUCAAUAUUUUAUUUUAUUUAUUCAAUAAUUGUUGCGUUGAUAUUUUAUAGUAUUGUUGUUUCAAUAAUUGUCAUUGCACAGUAUUUCCCAUUAUCAGAUCAAUAAUUCAUAAUAUUUGAAUAAUAUUAUUAGAUAGCAUUAUUGGCAAUGUCUAGAAAGUUUUGUCAAGGAGAGGUUUGGUCACUUAAUUGCGCGCUAGUAAGGAGAAAUUCUUAUCGAAAAGCCCCCUCUUUCCUGGGAACGGCCUGAUUGUCAUUAUUGUGAUUCUGUAAUAUUAUUUGUGAAUAAUUAUUUAUUGAUUUAUAUGAUAAGGAAAUAAUUAUUUUAUAUGGACAUAAAUGAUAUGAGACCCCAGAUUUUAUGAAUAAAUAUUUAUUUUUCUCGAAAUAAUUUUUUAAUAUUAUGGCGUGGAUUUGAUAUAAUGUUAUAGUUGUGGGUAGUAUUUAUAAAUUUUGCAAAGUAUGCAAGUUGUCAUAUUAUAUUCGAUUGGUCGGGAAAUAUUCUUUUUGUCGGAGAAUAUCCGUACGACGGCACAAUCAUUGAUGGACCCCACAACGGAAUAAUUGUUGGAUUGAGAAAACGAUAAAAAUAUUUUAUUAAAAAUAUCGGCGGAAGUUUUACCGUUAAUACUGUUGAACUACUCGGUAGUAAAAGUACAGUAAUACACGUGAUUGCAUAGUAGCACACGGUAUUGAUUAUUGAUGUUUACGUGAGAAGUCACUCAGUUUUGUUCAAUUAUUACUACAUUAGUUGCUGCAUAAUAUCUCACGUUAUUUGAUUCAAUUAUUGUUGAUUGUUAUAUAUAUAUAUAUAUAUAUAUAUAUAAGUUUUGUUUUAUUAGUAUUAUUAAUGUAAUAAAACAGAAAAACUUUUUAUAUAAAACAGAAUACUUUUAUAAAGUUAUUCGUUUUAUUAGGCUAAUAGUAAAAUCUUUUUAUAUAAAANNNNNNNNNNNNNNNNNNNNNNNNNNNNNNNNNNNNNNNNNNNNNNNNNNNNNNNNNNNNNNNNNNNNNNNNNNNNNNNNNNNNNNNNNNNNNNNNNNNNNNNNNNNNNNNNNNNNNNNNNNNNNNNNNNNNNNNNNNNNNNNNNNNNNNNNNNNNNNNNNNNNNNNNNNNNNNNNNNNNNNNNNNNNNNNNNNNNNNNNNNNNNNNNNNNNNNNNNNNNNNNNNNNNNNNNNNNNNNNNNNNNNNNNNNNNNNNNNNNNNNNNNNNNNNNNNNNNNNNNNNNNNNNNNNNNNNNNNNNNNNNNNNNNNNNNNNNNNNNNNNNNNNNNNNNNNNNNNNNNNNNNNNNNNNNNNNNNNNNNNNNNNNNNNNNNNNNNNNNNNNNNNNNNNNNNNNNNNNNNNNNNNNNNNNNNNNNNNNNNNNNNNNNNNNNNNNNNNNNNNNNNNNNNNNNNNNNNNNNNNNNNNNNNNNNNNNNNNNNNNNNNNNNNNNNNNNNNNNNNNNNNNNNNNNNNNNNNNNNNNNNNNNNNNNNNNNNNNNNNNNNNNNNNNNNNNNNNNNNNNNNNNNNNNNNNNNNNNNNNNNNNNNNNNNNNNNNNNNNNNNNNNNNNNNNNNNNNNNNNNNNNNNNNNNNNNNNNNNNNNNNNNNNNNNNNNNNNNNNNNNNNNNNNNNNNNNNNNNNNNNNNNNNNNNNNNNNNNNNNNNNNNNNNNNNNNNNNNNNNNNNNNNNNNNNNNNNNNNNNNNNNNNNNNNNNNNNNNNNNNNNNNNNNNNNNNNNNNNNNNNNNNNNNNNNNNNNNNNNNNNNNNNNNNNNNNNNNNNNNNNNNNNNNNNNNNNNNNNNNNNNNNNNNNNNNNNNNNNNNNNNNNNNNNNNNNNNNNNNNNNNNNNNNNNNNNNNNNNNNNNNNNNNNNNNNNNNNNNNNNNNNNNNNNNNNNNNNNNNNNNNNNNNNNNNNNNNNNNNNNNNNNNNNNNNNNNNNNNNNNNNNNNNNNNNNNNNNNNNNNNNNNNNNNNNNNNNNNNNNNNNNNNNNNNNNNNNNNNNNNNNNNNNNNNNNNNNNNNNNNNNNNNNNNNNNNNNNNNNNNNNNNNNNNNNNNNNNNNNNNNNNNNNNNNNNNNNNNNNNNNNNNNNNNNNNNNNNNNNNNNNNNNNNNNNNNNNNNNNNNNNNNNNNNNNNNNNNNNNNNNNNNNNNNNNNNNNNNNNNNNNNNNNNNNNNNNNNNNNNNNNNNNNNNNNNNNNNNNNNNNNNNNNNNNNNNNNNNNNNNNNNNNNNNNNNNNNNNNNNNNNNNNNNNNNNNNNNNNNNNNNNNNNNNNNNNNNNNNNNNNNNNNNNNNNNNNNNNNNNNNNNNNNNNNNNNNNNNNNNNNNNNNNNNNNNNNNNNNNNNNNNNNNNNNNNNNNNNNNNNNNNNNNNNNNNNNNNNNNNNNNNNNNNNNNNNNNNNNNNNNNNNNNNNNNNNNNNNNNNNNNNNNNNNNNNNNNNNNNNNNNNNNNNNNNNNNNNNNNNNNNNGAUAUUGUUUAGAAGACAAUAUUUGUAUUAAAACUCACAGCUCUCUUGUUGUAUAUUAAAGAUUGUAUUUGUAUUCUGUACCAUGUAUUUGGCGACUCAGAAUAGGUGAUGUAUACCUAUUUUGGGGGCGUCACAGUUGGUAUCAAAGCUUAGGGAUAUGAUCCCUGGCUGAGAUGUGAGAUAAGAACUAGGAGGGGAGAGACGGGGAAUUCCUUCGCUAGUAUGAACUACCUAAGUUUAUUUGGUAUUUAAUUGGUCGGUUAGAGUAUAGGGAUAAUAUGUGUUAUGUUAAUUAACCCUUAUUUUGUGGCAGUAUUUAAAAAUGGCAUCCGAUAAUGUUGAGAAUAGCAAUGGAGCACAGGAGACCGUUGAGUCUCCACAGAUUAAUAAUCAGGACAAUGUGCAACCGGAUGACGAUAAUCCUCCUGUAAACAACAACACUAAUCAAUUGACGAACGACGGUACGUUUAAGAGCUUUUUAGAAUUCAUGCAACACCAAACGAGAGAGACUCCUGUUCAUAAUGCUGGAGGAAACAAUGGCAACCCACGGUUGGUCACCGCUAAGUAGUUCAAGGAGCUGGGACCACCAGAGUUUUUGGAAAAGCCAGAACCACUUAAGGCAGAGACGUGGUUAAAGCAGAUCACCAAGAUAUUUGAUGUCUUGGGAUGCUUGAAAGAGCAAAAAGUUCCAUUCGCCACCUUUAUGUUUCGUGAAGAAGCAGAUCACUGGUGGGAAUCUAUAAAACGUACCCAGCCUGACGCACUCAAGAUAUCUUGGGAGAAGUUCCAAGAGCUGUUCAACGACAAGUACUUUCCUGAAAGUAUUCGUCACAUGAAGGAGGUGGAGUUCAUCAAGCUGGAGCAAAACAAUAUGACCGUGUCGCAGUACGAGGCUAAGUUUGCCGAGUUGUUCCGAUUUGCGUUCCAUUUGGUUGAUAAUGAGGAAAGAAUGACGCGAAUGUUUCUAAGAGGUUUGAAAUCCAAUAUACGUCAAUACCUCAUUUCUCACAAACUUUAUUUAUAGUCAGAUGUUGUGAAUAGGGCUCAGUUAUUGGAGCACGAUAAUGAGUUAGCACAACCAAAAGGCAAUGACCAACAACACGAUAAUAAUUAUAUCAGUGGCAACGGUCAUCGGAACAAUGAUAACCAUCGUGGGGGAAAUUAUCAUGCCAAGAAUGGUAACCACUUCGCUGGUAAUCAUGGACAAGAUAAUAGAAGUGGAAAUUUCAAGAAGAGAAGGUUCAAUAAUGAUGGAAAGACAGUAGCACCAGCACCCGUUUCAAAGGAAGAAGAACGACCACCGAUCGUAUGUUUCAAAUGCGGACAGGAGGGACACAUCCGUCCAAACUGUAUGCAGCAAUCCAAAACGUGUUUUAAUUGCGAAAGAGAAGGUCACCUAGCUCGAUUUUAUCGUAUGGUAAAGUCAAGUCCAGCUGGGAUAGUGAUGCCAAAGGAUGUCCCAGACAAGCCAAAGCUGAUAAUUUAAGAGAGAACGUUUUUUUUCUCGUGACGAGGAACCUGAAUAAAAUUAUCAUGGGUAAGUUAAUCAUAAACUCUUGCGAAGUCUAUACCAUGUUAGAUACCGGUUUUACUCACUCUUUUAUUUCACCUAGUUGUGUUCAAUGUUUGUACUUAACUCCGGAGAAGUUAGAAUCUGAUUUAUCUAUUAAAACUCCGUUGGGAGAAACCUUCGUUACAUCUAUUAUUUAUAAAUCUUGUUUGAUUCAAAUCGACACUUUCAUGUUACCUGUCGAUCUUAUCUCUUUGAAAAUACUUAUCUUUGAUGUGAUUUUAGAAAUCGAUUGGUUAACUACUCAUCAUGCUUUUCGUAAGGUUGUUAGAUUUCAUAUUCCUAACCAACCUGUUAUGCAAAUUCAAGCAACCAAACCACUAAAUUCAAUCAUUGUCAUAUCAAGCCAUAAGUAAAGAGCCCCGAUCCUUUUGUUGUUGACUUCCUUGUGUGGAAUGCACUGAAGCCAGACUUUCUGUAUGCGACAUCAUGAAUGACGAUGGCAAGUUGAUAGGUAUUAAUAUGACGUACUAUCCAAGUCUUGGAUGAGAGUAACAGUUUUGAAUGAUAUUUCUAUCGUUAAUAAAUUUCCUGACGUAUUCCUGAAGACUUCAUAGCCUACCCCUAGAGCAUGAAAUCGAAUUUUAUAUUGACCCCAGUACAAAACCCAUUUCUUACACCCUCGAAUAUUUCUUCAACUAAAAUGAACGUAACAUACGCCAAAGACGUUGAAUCGAGCUGUUGAAGAUUACGAACGUACCAUUCAAUACCAUCGUAGGAAAAGCUAACAUGGUUGCUAACGCGUUGAGUAGAAGAUCGUAUGCGGUUACAAGUGCGAAUAUAAGAACCCACGUGAAGAUAAUGAAUAUACGAGUAGAAUUGACUUUAAUCAAUAAAGUUAAAGCCGCUCAAGCUAAAUACUCAGAGCUGAUGAAUGUGAAAAAGAAGGUUUAAGAGGGUGUUAUUCUAGAAGCAAGAAUCGAUGAAGAGAGGAAAUCUCAACCCUCGAUUUAAUUGGCCCAUUUGAAAUCCUCGAUUGAGUAGGAACUGUGGCUUACAGACUCAUUUUACCGCCAAGUAUGUCGCGUGCUCAUAACGUUUUUAACGUAUCGAUGUUACGUAAAUAUGUGGACGACCCAAACCACAUUAUUAAUUUAGAACCAGAUGAGAUAGCAGAUGAUUUAACGUAUGAGGAGAUACGUGUUAAAAUCUUGGAUAAGAAGGAUUAUAUUCGACACUCAAAGGUUAUAUCUCAAGAGUUAGAAUCUGAAAUGAAGUCAAGGUAUCCUCACCUGUUCGGCAUACCAGGUACGUACGUAAAUUUUGAGGGCGAAAUUCCAUAAGGAGGGGAGAUUGUGAGACCCCAGAUUUUAUGAAUAAAUAUUUAAUUUUCUCAAAAUAAUUUUUUAAUAUUAUGGUGUGGAUUUGAUAUAAUGUUAUAGUUGUGGGUAGUAUUUAUAAAUUUUACAAAGUAUGCAAGUUGUCAUAUUAUAUUCGAUUGGUUGGGGAAUAUUCUUUUUGUUGAGGAAUAUCCGUACGACGGCACAAUCAUUGGUGGACCCCACAACGGAAUUAUUGUCGGAUUGAGAAAACGACAAAAAUAUUUUAUUAAAAAUAACGGCGGAAGUUUUACUGUUAAUACUGUUGAACUACUCGGUAGUAAAAGUACAGUAAUACGCGUGGUUGCAUAGUAGCACACGGUAUUGAUUAUUGAUGCUUACGUGAUAAGUCACUCAGUUUUGUUAUUGGUAUUAUUAAUGUAAUAAAACAUAAAAUCUUUUUAUAUAAAACAGAAUACUUUUAUAAAGUUAUUCUAUAAAUAGAAUAUAUUAUAUUCUAUUAUGCAUAGUGUUUUGCAUAGUAAAAUCUUUUUAUAUAAAACAGAAUACUUUUAUAAAGUUAUUCUAUAAAUAGAAUAUAUUAUAUUCUAUUAUGCAUAGUGUUUUGCAUAGUAAAAUCUUUUUAUAUAAAACAGAAUACUUUUAUAAAGUUAUUCUAUAAAUAGAAUAUAUUAUAUUCUAUUAUGCAUAGUGUUUUGCAUAGUAAAAUCUUUUUAUAUAAAACAGAAUACUUUUAUAAAGUUAUUCUAUAAAUAGAAUAUAUUAUAUUCUAUUAUGCAUAGUGUUUUGCAUAGUAAAAUCUUUUUAUAUAAAACAGAAUACUUUUAUAAAGUUAUUCUAUAAAUAGAAUAUAUUAUAUUCUAUUAUGCAUAGUGUUUUGCAUAGUAAAAUCUUUUUAUAUAAAACAGAAUACUUUUAUAAAGUUAUUCUAUAAAUAGAAUAUAUUAUAUUCUAUUAUGCAUAGUGUUGCAUAGUGUCUGCAUAGUGAUUUGCAUAGUAAAAUCUUUUUAUAUAAAACAGAAUAUUUUUAUAAAGUUAUUCGUUUUAUUAGAUUAUAAAUAGAAUAUAUUAUAUUUUAUUUAAAAGAUUUUGCUUUAAAUAUGGACCGUCCGAUUAAAGUAAAUCAAUCUGGACCGUUCAUGAGUUAGUUACUAUGUAGUCCAUUCUUCUAUAAAUAGAAGCUCAUUCCUUCAUUAUUUUCUUACGAAUUCACUGAAACCCUAGAGAGAGAAAUUAUAGAGAAAAAAAAGAAAAGUAUUCUGCUACUUUACUACUCCGAUAUCAAGUUUCUUUUACGGUAAGAGAUAUUAUUUGUUGUACUCGUAAGGGGUAUUAUUUCUUUUGUAAUCAUGAAGAGAACUUCUGUUAUUCCAUUCUUUAUUAUUCUGUUGGAAUAACCUGUAUACGUGGUCUACCCUAUACUUGGUGAAAUUCUUCUGUUAUUCAAUUCUUUAUUAUUCUAUUGGAAUAUCCUGUCUGUGCGUUUUAUGCCAGACCUGGUUCCGUCUUUAUUAUUCUGUUGGAAUAUCCUGUCUGUGCGUUUUACGCCGGACCUGGUUCCGUCUUUAUUAUUCUGUUGGAAUAUCCUGUCUGUGCGUUUUACGCCGGACCUGGUUCCGUUAUUUAUUAUUCUGUUGGAAUAACCUGUCUAUUCGAAGUACCGCAUGCAUGGUGAUUUUUGUUGUUAUUCCAUUCUUUAUUAUUCUAUUGGAAUAUCAUGUCUGUGCGUUUUACGCCAGACCUAGUUCUAUCUUUAUUAUUUUGUUGGAAUAACCUGUCUAUGUGAAGUAUCGCAUGCAUGGUAAUUUCUGUUGUUAUUCCAUUCUUUAUUAUUCUGUUGGAAUAUCCUGUCGGUGUGUAUUACGCCUGACCUGGUUCCGUUAUUUAUUAUUCUAUUAGAAUAACUUGUCUAUGCGAAGUACCGUAUGUAUGGUGAUUUCUUUUCUUAUUCCAUUCUUUAUUAUACUCAGUUAGUUAAAGUUUUGACUUCUAUACUCCAUGAAAUUAGUGGAAUAUCCUUGAUAUUUAUACUUCAUCCAGUAUCUUUUCAUGAAAAUAUUCUUCUGAGCAUUCUUGAAUUUUACUCUACAAAGAAGUAUCAUGUUGAAAAUUUGGACGUUAUUGAUUCCUGGAUAAAUUAAUUCGUGAACUUGUUUUAUUGAAUUAUUAUGUCAUUGUCAUCAUCCUCAUGUUUAUUUUUUUUGAAAGUCAUCUGUGGCCUGUAGUGCAUAGAUGGACUUGGUAUGAUUAUGACCAGGGAUUAUUCGGUAUAAUCAUGACCGUAAUAUUACAAAUGAUGUGGAAAAAGUCCUCAUUGGCCCGUAAUGCAUUAAUGGACAGUUUUCGGUAUGAUUAUGGCUAUGGAUUCUCUUCGGCCAAGGGUGCAAAAAUGAAUUGUUUUAUGUCAUGAUCAGGACCGUUGAUGAAAACACGAUUUUCUUUGGCCCGUAGUGCAUGGAUAAUUCGUGGUCGUGAUACUAAAGAAUAUCCUUGGCCUGUAGUGCAGGGAUGAUUUGAUGAUGUGGAUUAUUUAUUGGGCUGAGUCUCAGCAAUAAAAGUGAUGAAAAAACUUUUUAAAUCAUAAAACAUAGUAGAUUCUAUUCUCUACUUGACUCUUUUAAUGGAUUGCUUGUUCCGCUGCAGUUAAACUUGAUGUCUAUUGUAUUUUAUCAGUUUAACAUUGUUGAAGACUAAUGAUAAUUUAUUCUGCACUAUCUUAGUCAUAAUAUUUCUUACUGGGCUAGUUGAGCUCACCCUUUCUUUCACUGUUCUAUUCAGGAAAUGAGAAUAUAGCUGGGGCGAGUCGGGGAACGGAGUGAUGGACCAGAUGAUAGUAUUAGUAGUCCUCACUAUUCUGUUAAAUAGUGUGAUAAUAAAUGUAAUGAGGACAUAUUCUGAGAGUGGAUAUUGUUUAGAAGACAGUAUUUGUAUUAAAACUCACAGCUCUCUUGUUGUAUAUUAAAGAUUGUAUUUGUAUUAUGUACCAUGUAUUUGGCGACUCAGAAUAGGUGAUGUAUACCUAUUUUGGGGGCGUCAAAAAUGAUGGGUAGAAAAAUAUUUAUUUUGUGUGGUUAUAAAUGAAGAAAUUAAUUUUGAGGUAUUUUAUAAUUAUUUUGUCAGAAUGGAUGUAUUAAAAAUCAUCCGUAUGUGGAUUUCGGACAUUUUUUGUUUAGAAUUUGGAAAAACUUUCUUCUCUAAAGUUGUAGAGAAUUUGAUUUCCUAUGGAAUGGACAUAAAAUUCAUAUUUUUCUGAUAAAAGAGCUAUUUAUUGUGAAUUAAAUGGAGUAAAGAUAAUCAAAUUGAAUUAGUUUUCAAAUUGAAUUUGAAUUCUUUUAUUUAUUUAUUUUUCAAAAAUAUGUGAUAAAUUAUUGGGGUGGGUGAGCAAAGUUGGACAAUCUUGAUUCAAGUAAGGUGUGCGUAGAAGAGAAGGAAAUAAGAAUAUUAUUUUAUUAUUUUAGUCUCCUUUGGCGUUCUAGCAUUUUUCUAUAAAUAGGUGCUUAAGUUAGAAUUGAAAAUCACACCAGAAACAUAAGCUUUCUCUCUCUAGAUUAUCGAGCGUAUUAUUGUGAGUAUUUUUCUUGAGUAUAGGAAUACUUUGAGCGUAGUUUUCUGCAAGAUUUUCUCAGAAUAAUAUCCAAUAUUCCAGGCAAAUCCAGUUUCUACUAAGGUAAAGGAUAUUAUUUUAUUGCUUUUAUAAUUCCUGAAAUGAUUAGAAAUUUCACUUCAUCUAAUAUCCUUUUAUAGGAAUAUUGGUCUGAACUUUUUAUCAAAUUUAGAACUUUUCAUGACGGGUACUGUUCACCGGUACUGUUCACGGGUACUGUUCAAAAAAGAAAAAAAAAUUUCUCCUUCCCAGUUAUCUGUUGUGACCUUUAAUCCUGAAAUUGAAUCCAUGUUUUUGAUCUUUAUUCUUGAAUUUUACUCCAUUAUGGUUUAUUAUGGAGUAUUUUUAAACUUGAGUUAUCUAAAGUACAAAUCUCUAAACUUUAUCCUUUUAUCUCACUUGAUUCGUUCUCUAAAAUGUUUUUCAUCAUCCUCAGUCCUUAAUGGUGAUACUUGAUAAAUAUCUUUGGCCUGUAGUGCAAAGAUGUAUGAUUACCUGAUGAAUAUCUUUGGCCUGUAGUGCAAAGAUGAACAGGUGUUGAGAUGAACAUGACCAACUGGUGAUACAAAUGAAUAUCUUUGGCCCGUAGUGUAAAGAUGAAUAUUUGAUUCAAGAUGUAUAUUGAUUGAUGUUACAGGGAUAAAAUAUUGAUGAUGGACUUUUAAAUUCAUAGAUGAUAGUAGAUUUCAUUCUCUACUUAACUCUUCUAAUGAAUUGUUGUUUCCGCUGCAGUUGUUGAUCUAAAACUUGUUGUCUAUUGUAUUCUAUCAGAUUUUUCCCUGUUGAAGACUAAGGAUAAUUUGUUGUAUAUUAUCUUAGUCAUAAUAUUCUUUACUGGGCUAGUUGAGCUCACCCUUUUCCUUUUUGUUCCAUUUUUCUUCUCAGGAAGCGAGAACAUAGCAGGAACCAGUCGGGGUAUAGAGUGAUGGUCCUAGACAGUUGUUUUAGAAGUCCUCACUAUUUUUGUAAAAUAGUGCAUCAAUAAUUGUAAUGAAGACUUUAUUUGAGUGUGGAUAUUGUCUAGAAGACAAUAUUUGUAUUUAAACUCACAGUAUGUGUUGUCGUAUUUUGCACGACAAUUGUAAUAAUAAAGUUGUAGUUAUUUUCUGUACCAUAUAUUUGGCGACUCAGAAUGGGUGAUGUAUACCUAUUUUAGGGGCGUCGCAGAAUAGCUUAUACCAUAUCAGUCAUUAUCAAAUCCUCUAGUCUAGCAUACAAAAUCCUUAAAACGGUGGCUAAGUCUUAGUUAAAUGCUUAGCUCAUAUAUAGACCGGUAUACACCAAGUUAUAAUCAUCUUAUGCUCAUGCAAAACUAACCUUUUAAGCACAUUUGCAUCUUUAGAAUUUUAAUAUAGAAUAUUGGCAUAGGAUUAGACUUGGCUGUACUCAUUUUCAACACAGUUGACUCCAAUAGUCUAUUAACAGACAUUUUACCAAACAGUUGGGAUGCGGUUCAUAUCUAUCCAUACAAUACAUAUAUUCUUAGCUUAGUGAUCCCAGCCUUAUGGCUUAAACAAUAACAAGCAUAAGAUGAUACAUAACAACUCCAAUCACGGUAAUCCAAAUAGCAUUGAAACAGGCAUCCUAUUGUACCAAUUCCAAUAUAACAGCCAUACAUGUUACCUAAACUCUAACAGUCCAGUUGCUAUCAUUUAAAGAAACAGGAACGAAUGGAAAAGGAUUGGAAAGGUCAGAAUUGGCUUACCUUGUUGAUUUGAAGGUUACAAGUGGGUUGAGCUGCCCAGUUUCUCCUCCUUCUCUAGCCGAAGCUUUUCCUCUCUUACUCUAUAUGACUGAUACCGUUACUUCUUCCCUUUUUCUUUUAACUUUGCUAAGUGGUGAGCUAAUCGGUUCUAGGCCAUAAGCUUGGCCUUUUAUGGUUGAGUUUAUCUCCUCUUUUCUGGCAGUACUAUCACCUUUAGUUGGCCUCUACACAACCACCCUAUCAAGCUCCCAUCCAUCAUUCCUAUUCUAGUUCACUUGGCCCCUAUAGGGCCUGUCAGACCAUAGCUAUUCUGCUUCCUCUUAUCCACUGCAAGUUUAUCCCACCUGCUAGCUGACUGUUAACUGAACUAACAUGCUAACUAGAAACCAACUUAGAAUUCGUAUAACUUGCUACUUGACUUGGUGCUCAAGCCAUGUUAUUGUUUUUCUUAAUUGGUUUGAAGCAGUUAUCUUGCUAUACAUCACUGGGUUUACAGGAUUGGGCUGGGGGAACAAUGUGACAAUUUUAAUUUGGGUUUAAACUAACCCUCCCUCUUUAACCAUGUAGCUGCCAAAUUGCACUAAGAAAAUAGGUUAAAAUUGGCCCUUUUAAUUUUGUUAUAGACCUAAUACAACAACCCAUACCCUAAAAUAGUUGAAAGGGGCAUACAAGCAUACAUAGCAAAAUUUAAUAUGGCCCAAUGUUUUAGAAUGGACUCAUUUUAAACACAAAAUUUUUUCUAUCUUAUUAAAUUCCUUUUAGGCUAGCAACAAUAGUUGGUACAUAUAUCAUUAACUCUUUUUUUUUACCAUUCAUGAUCUAAGAUACUUAAUAAAAUAUUAAGUAACAAAUAAUUAUAAGGUCAGGAUACAAAAAUAAAAUAAAAUUUAUACACAAAAUUGACAUUAUAACAACUGAAUAUUUUAUAGAAUUUCUGAGUCAUUACAUUUACUUUGUUAAGGACUAAUGAUAAUUUAUUUUACAUUAUCUUAGUCAUAAUAUUCUUUACUAGGCUAGUUGAGCUCACCAUUUUCUUUCAUUGUUCUUUUCAGGAAAUGAGAAUAUAGUUGUGACUAGUCGGAGAAUGGAGUGAUGGUCCAAGAUGGUUGCUAUAGUAGUCCUCACUAUUCUAUAAAAUAGUGUGAUAAUAAUUGUAAUGAGAACUUCAUUUGAGUUUGGAUAUUGUCUACGAAAUAAUAUUUGUAUUAAAACUCACAACUUACGUUUUGUCGUAUUUUACACGACAAUUAAUAAUUGUAUAAAUGCAGUUUGUAUUUGAAUUUUGUACCAUGUAUUUGGUGACUCAGAAUGAGUUGUAUGGACCUAUUUUGGGGGAGUCACGAAUAGGACCCAAGAAGAUUUGGGUACGAAAAAGGUAGACUAUUUGUUCAUUUUGUCAAUGUCUUAAGUUCAAAAAGGAGACGAAUAGUACUUAUAAAUUAUUUGGCAAAAUCUGUAAGUACCUUAUAUUUUUUUCUAAAAUAGUGUUUUAAUUAGAUAUAUUAUGAAAAAUCUAUGGAUUUCGUAUUACAUGGGUUCAUAACAUCAUUUAUUAUAAAGUAUAUAUUGUGCUAAAUGCUCCAUAUUUAAUACAAAUGACAAUCUUGAUGAGGAAUAAGUGAAUAUUAUUUUUGAUUAACUUAACCAUGAUCUGCUAAAGGAAGAGAAUGAGGUUUCUGUUGGAAAUGACUAUUUGAAUUGUGGAACCCAAACAGUUCAAUCCGGACAGUCUAAGAUGUGAGACCCCGAAUUUUAUGAAAUAAAAGUAUUAAAUUUUUCUAUUUUGGUAAAUAGUUAAAUUGAUAAAAGUUUAAAGUUAAGGGUCAUAUUUGAAAAUUUUGCAAAGUAUGCAAGUUGUUAUAAAUAUUCGAUUGGUCGGAGAAUAUUCUUUUUGUCGGGGAAUAUUCGUACGACGGCACAAUCUUUGGUGAACCCACAACGGAAGUACUGUCGUAGUUAGAAAAAGACAAAAAUAUUUUAUGAAAAUAACGACGAAGGUUUUACCGUUAAAAUUGUUGAACUACCCGGUAGUAAAAGUACAAUAAUACUCGUGGUUGCAUAGUAGCACACGGUAUUGAUUAUUGAUACUUAUGUGAGAAGUCACUGAGUUAUACUCAAUUAUUGCUACAGUAAUUGUUGCAUCAUAUCUCUCAUAUUAUUGAUUCGAUUAUUGUCAGUAUCAUCUGCAUUAUAUGUUAUUUUAUUAAAUCAAUAAUUGAGACGACAAAGUUAUUCAUAUUAUUAAAUUGCAAUAUUUAUAAUGUCUAGAAGUUCUGUCAAGGAGAGGUUAGAUAAUCUAAUUACGCGCCAAUAGGGAGAAAUCUUUAUCGGAAAGCCCCCUCUUUCCUGGGAACAACCUGGUUGUUAAAUAUUGUGAGUUAUGAUAUUAAUGAUGGAUAAGUUCGUGUUGAUUAAAGAUGAAUUUUAUAGUUUUAUUGUGUUGGGAUUAUUUGUGUUAGUAGAAAUUGACAUCUAUUCCGAUGAUUAUUGAUGUCUGGAGGUUAUAUUGUUCAAUCGGGUAUUCGGGACACUUUUCAUGUCAGAGUUAUUAUUCAUGAGUUACUAUUCACGAGUUACUAUUCAUGAGUUACUAUUCACUAGUUACUAUUCACAAGUUACUAUUCACCUAAUUACUAUUCACUCUAGUAUUGUGCAUUCGGGUAUUUGGGUACAAUAUUAUUCCAUGAGGAGAUGUGUUAAUUUUUCUGACCGUUGGUUGAAAUUAUAAUAGUAAAUCAAUAUGGAUCGUUGAUUUAAAGUCUUAAUAGUAACUUGUCCCUUCAAUAUUACCAAGAGUUAAUUGCCCCUUCGUAAAUAGUAGUUGUCCCUUCAAUAUUACCAAGAGUUAUUUGCCUCUUCGGUGUUCCAAGAGUUAAUUACCCCUUCGCAAACAGUAGUUGUCUCUUCAAUAUUACCAAGAGUCAUUUUGACCCUUCGUUAAGACCAAGAGCCACUCUCAGUUUUUCUAUAAAUAGAAGCUCAUUCCUUCAUUAUUUCUUACGAAUUCACUGAAACUCUAGAGAGAGAAAUUAUAGAGAGAAAGAAGAAGAGUAUUCUGUUACUUCACUACUUCGAUAUCCAGUGUCUUUUACGGUAAGGGAUAUUAUUUGUUGUACCCGUAAGGGGUGUUAUUCUUUCUUAGUCAUGAAGAGAACUUCUGUUAUUCCAUUCUUUAUUAUUCUGUUGGAAUAACCUGUAUAAGCGGCAUACCCUAUACAUAACCUGUAUAUGCGGCAUACCCUAUACUUGGUGAAAUCCCUUUGUUAUUCCAUUCUAUAUUAUUAUGUUGGAAUAACCUGUUUAUGCCAAGUACCGUAUGCAUAGUGAAAUUCUUCUAUUAUUUCAUUCUAUAUUAUUAUGUUGGAAUAACCUGUUUAUGCGAAGUACCGCAUACAUGGUGAAAUUCUUCUAUUAUUCCAUUCUUUAAUAUUCUGUCAGAAUAUCCUGUCGGUGUGAAUUUCGGCUGACCUGGUUCCAUUUAUUAUUCUGUUGGAAUAACCUGUAUACGCGUAUUACCGUAUACUUGGUGAUGUCUGUUGUUCUUCCAUUCUUUACUAUUCUGCUGGAAUAUCCUGUCUGUGCGUUUUACGCCAGACCUGGUUCCGUCUUUAUUAUUCUGUUGGGAAUAACUUGUCUGUGUGGUCUCUAUCGCAUGCAUGAUGAAUCCUUCUGUUAUUCCAUUCUUUAUUAUUCUGUUAGAAUAACCUGUCUAUGUGGAUUACCACAUGCAUGGUGAAUGAUCCUUUAUAUUCAUUCCUUAUUAAAUUGUGGAAAUGAUCCGGUUACGUUGAUUAUGAUGAGAGUCAUAAUAAAAGUAUUGGACUAAUGAAAAUCAUGGGUAUAUGUGGUAUUAGUAAGUGUUAUGAUGAGUUAUGUUGGUUAUUAUGUGAAAACAUGAAAGUUUCUUAGAAAUCACAAAGGGUUGAAAAUCAGAUUUUGGUGAAAAUAGAACAUGAAAUUCAAUUGACCAUAUCUCCUAUUAUAUUUCAAAUUUUUGGGUGUGGUUAAGUUCUAGAGUUAGGUCUAUGAGUUAUGUAACUUAUCCAAGUGGAAUCACUGGAAAAGGUGUUGUAGAUUUUCGUGUGGACUGAUUUUAGCAAAGGAGUGCAAAGCUGCAAAAACCCAAAACUCUACUGCCCAGAAACUUUAAGGGGCUGUUUCGGCUACUUAAUUUGUGAGAACAAUUCUGGCCUUUUGGGACAUGAAAUUAUAUGAUAUAAAGUACCUCCUGUCCAAAAAUGAGCUCAUUCUGACUUAAAAUGAGCAAGUUAUGACCAUUUCAAUAUUUAGGUUUUUCCGACGAAAAACGCUAUAACCGGAGUUCUAUAACUCCGAUGACCAUGAAAUUUAAAUUGGAAGCUCAUGUUAACAUGUGUAAGAUUAUGCCAAGAUUUGGGAAUUUUUGGAGUUAACCUUGAGGUAGCUAACUUCUUAAGGAAUUAAUUAGAAAUUGAUUUUUGAAAAAUAGUAAAUGAAUUUUAAAAAUUCCGAGAAAAAUAUAUGUUCAUUAUGGGACUAUAUUCUGCUAAAUACCAGAAAAGAAAUAUUUUUGGGACUGAUUUGGUAUUUUUCAUGAAAAUAGUUUAGUUACGAACUUAUGAGUUAAAUAUGUUAUGUGAAGUAACAAAAUUGGAAAAAUAGGAUUUAUGGUUUGGAAGGUAUAUGCAGAUUUUUGAUAAAGAAUUUGAUUAUUGGUGAUGAGAUCUUAUGAGUAUGGCAUUUUGAAUGAUUAAAUACAUUAUAUGGUAAAGUGUAAGCAAUUGAAAUAAAUUAUUUAUAAGUUUGAGAAGCGAUUAAAAUAUUGUUAUAAUAUUAAUAAUAUUAGAUUAUGAGUUAUUGAUAAUAUUUGGAUAAGUUUAAAGUCUUUAGUAUUUAUCCUUGUUUUCGUAUGAUUAAUGCUUAUAUCAUUGUCAUCAUCCUCAUGCUUAUAUGGUGAUGAAAGUUAUCUUUGGCUUACGUGCAAAAAUGGACUUUUGAUUAUUGAAUUGUAUAUCUUUGGCUCACGUGCAGAGCUAGUUUGUUGAUUAUUGGUUUUAUUGUUGUAUAUCUUUGGCUUACGUGCAGAGAUGAAUUUGGUAUGAUUAUGACCAAGGAUUAUUCGGUAUAGUCAUGACUAUUGAUGAUUUAAUGAAUAUCCUUGGCCCGUAGUGUAGGGGUGAUUCGAUGAUGUGGUUUAUUUAUUAAGCUGAGUCUCAAUGAUAAAAAUGGAUGAAAACAUUUUUAAAUCAUAGAAGAUAGUAGAUUUUAUUCUCUACUUGACUCUUUUAAUGGAUUGCUUGUUCCGCUGCAGUUAAACUUGAUGUCUAUUGUAUUUUAUCAGUUUAACAUUGUUGAAGACUAUUGAUAAUUUAUUCUGCAUUAUCUAGUCAUAAUAUUUCUUACUGGGCUAGUUGAGCUCACCCUUUCUUCACUGUUCUCUUCAAGAAAUGAGAAUAUAGCUGGGACGAGUCGGGGAACAGAUUGACAGUCCAGAUGAUAGCAUUAGUAGUCCUCACCAUUCUGUUAAAUAAUGUGAUAAUAAAUGUAAUGAGGACUGAAUUUGAGUUUGUAUACUGUCUAUGAGGACUCCAUUGAGAAUUGAUAUUGUCUAGAAGGCAAUAUUCUUGUUUAAACUCUCAGUUUAUGUUUUACACGACAGUUGUAUAAUUAUGUUGUAUUUGAUUUAUGUACCAUGUAUUUGGCGACUCAAGAUGGGUGAUGUAUACCUAUUUUGGGGGCGUCACAUAAGACGUCUGCAUCAGAAGGAAAUAUAGAUGAAAUCAGACAGUUUGACCUGUCUGUUUUAGAAGAAAACUCAAAUUUACAAACACCUAAAUCUAGAAAAAUCGAGAGGUCUGCUUUAGAAUAAAAAACAUAUGAAUAUUCGGAUGCAGUAACUUAUAUUCCAGAGGAUGAAUCUGAAAAGCAAAUGACUUCUUCCAGGCUUCCUAAAUCUUCUAGAACUAUGGGAAAUCAUCCUCCAAGUCUGAUCAUCAGAAAUUUCAACAUUAGGAUGUCCACAAGAAGAGGUUUUGAAGAAAUUUGUUUGCUACACUAAAGGAGCUCAUCUAUCAAGCUUAUUGUUGGUAACAAAAUUGUGGAUAUAUAGGUAACAAAUCACAAAGGUAUGGUUAUUUUAUUUAAGUGCUAUAUGUGAUAUUGUUACAAGCUUGAUGUCGUGUCUUUAUUUUAUGAAUUAUUUUUUGUUAGUGACAAAUGGGGAGAGAUAUAGCUAAAUUGAUGAUUUAUUUCUUUUUGAUAAUGAUAAGGGGAGAAAUGUUUAAAAAUAUUGAUGAUUAUGAUAUUUGAUGGUUAUAUUGAUUAUAAUAUGUUUGGAUUUUUUGGAUAUCAUAUUGAUGAUAAUGGUUGGAUAUUUUGAUUCAUUAUCUGUUAUAUACAGCUUAUCAUUAUGCAUUAUUUAUCAUAACAGUUAUGUGAUCUUUAUAUCUCCUAUAGGCAAAAUUUAGGGGGAGCCAUAUAGUUAGGGAGAGCAUGAUUGUAAGGAAUAAUAUAUUGUCAUCAUCAAAAGGUGGAGAUUAUUAGUUUUAUUAUUUGUAAUUUUAAUAAUGACAAUAUAUUUGCAAAUAUAAGUUAUUUAAUGGUCUGAAUAUAUUUGCAAAUAUAAGUUUGGUUCAUGAUAAUUUAAUUUGGUUAUAAGUCAAAUUGAUAUUACGUGCAGGAUUGAAUUGGAAUAUUUUCUUUCAGGUCUAAUUUGGAGUCUCUAAAUUAACUGGUUUAGAUAUUUGUGUAGAGUAUGGACUCUAUCUAUAAUAUAUUGUUACUCCUUAAUUUUAGCCAUUGUUAGAUUACAUAUCUUUGACUUUCUAAUUUUGAGAAUAUUUUAUAGCUGUUAGCUAUAUCUAUGUGCUGAAAUCUCUAAUUCUCGAAAUCCAAGACCAAGUCAUUGACGAGCCUACUAAGUUUACACAGCAACCACGAUUUGUUUGUAGACUUGUAGUUAUUCAUUUUAUACCCGAAGUUAACAAAUUGUAUGAAAGGUUCAUCCUUUCAAUUAUCUACAUAAUUUAUUUUUUCCUACUCUAUGCAUUCCUAAGUAUCAGAUCGGAUCAGAUCAUAAACAUCACAAUAAACCAUCUAGUGGUAAUUGUUUUAUUUAUAAUACGGUAAUAACAACCACCUAGUGGUAGUUGAUUUAUUUAUUACAUGCUAAUAACAACCAUGAGCUGAUUGUUGAUUUAUUUAUUAAAUGCUAAUAACAGCUAUCAGCUAGUGGUUGAUUUAUUUAUUAUAUUCUAAUAACAGCCAUCAACUAGUAUAUAGUUUCUUGAUCAACUGUUCAUAGGAAGAUUACUGAUCGUUCAUUUAGGCGCUGGGGGGACUAAUUUGAACACCAUAGAUAACUAAACCCGUCUUCAUAGUCGCGCUUUCACUCCCGUCAAGAGCAAAUUUUAAAUCUCCAGAGUCAAAGCUAUUCAAGAAUUCCCCAGCUUUGAGCGAAAAUGGUGUGUUUCUCGGAUAAUUCAUCAAUCCAUAUCCGUUCACUUGCGAGGAUCCAUUCGGAAGAGUAAGUGUAAGACUCACCGGACUUGCUAUGUUAAAGUUGUCUUUCAGCAACACCACAAAAGAUACCUCAUAAGAUAAUUUUUCAAGCUUUUCUGUCAUAUAGUUUCCGUCAACAUGUAGGACUAAGCUACCAAUUAAUUCAGCACUGGCAUCACUGAAAAAAAAUGAUAGUAGAAUUAAAGUCAGAAACUUUUGAUAUAAGGAGCUUAAAUUCAUUAAGGUGAUUUUAUUGAUUUUUUUUUUCUGGAACAUUUUUAAUGUAAGUCCUUCUAUCUACCUAGAGUCUAGACUUCAAUAAAAUUUCUAUAGUCCUUCUAUCACUUUAAUUUAAUGACAUAGUUGCUUAUAUAUCCCUAUUUUUAACUGAAUAAAAUUCAGGUGUUUAAACACAAAUCUUAACCUUUGACGUCAAUUAAGUUAACUAAAUCUUAUUUCUACUUACGUA